CACCUCCAGUUUACAAGUACAACUCACCUCCACCUCCUCCCCCAGUUUACCUGUCUCCACCUCCACCCUAUCAUCACUACUACGGUUCUCCUUCUCCUCACCACUACUAAGCAAGUGCAUAAGUUUUGAGGUAAUAAUACCUAUCCAAAACUUUAUCAACACAAACUGCCAUGUAUAUCAUGCUAAGGACGUACACUUGAUCCAUGAAAAUGACUAGUAGAAGAUUUUUUUUAAGAACCAAAGAAAUACAUUAUUUUUUCGGUCUGUUUUCAAGAAUUUGAGCAGUAUACAGAUUAAAGAGUGUUUUUUUUUUUGUAAACUUGCUUGUCAACUUAAAAAUGCACAUAGCUGAAAGCCAACUGAAUAUUUGCAGGCAAAGGAGAAGGCAAUCGGUGUUUGAGACCUUCAAGAAGAUGUAGAAGAAUAAGAAUAAAAGCCCAAUGCGAGGAUGAUUCCAAGUUUCUACGUUACCAUUUCUACAUCUAAAUUGACUUUAGCUCCUGAGUUCCAUGUUUAUGGGGUUUGUACCGUUUUACGUACCAUGCAGUACAUGCUUGCAAGGUUUUCUGUCCUGUUGGCAAACUGCAGGUCCAUAUAAUAAAUGAAUACUAUUUACAUUACGACACUUUUCUCUUUUUCUCUUAUAUUUUGUCUUUAAUAUUGUUGAUCAUUUUUUUUUUAUCAAAAGCAUCAAAUGCUUAGGUAAUUUGGUCUAAUGCUAAUUGUUUUACUUUUAUUUUUCACCUACACCCCUUUUCAACUCAAAGGAUGCUAUAGUUUGUGAUAAUUGUUUAAGACCGAAGCAUGAUACUAAUAAAUAUCUCAUUGAAAGUCAAGGAAACUAACAUUAGGAAAAGUUUAAAUCUUGAUUUGAUGAAACUAUUUAUUCGUGGAAUUUAGAGAUACAAAACUCAAAUUGUGACGGUGUUGUUGCUAAAUUAUUAAGGACAUUAUCACCAUUAUUUUUCCCUGAUCACUAGUUUCAACUGCAAUGAUCUCAAUCUUUUUGUGACUAAUUCUUUCCUUAAUAAUUUAUAAAGACAAAACUCACAAAGAAUAUGUGACUAAUUCUUUCCUUUCGUCUUCUAAAGAAAAUGCCAACUGUUAGUUUAUCAAGGGGAAAAAGGAUCGACAUCAGUUAUUAUUGAAACUAGUAAGGAAUAAAUAAUGGUGAUAAUGUCCUUAAUAAUUUAACAACAGCACCAUCAGAAUUUGACUUUGAGCUUCGGUCUUAAACAAUGAUCACAAACUACAGCAUCCUUUGAGUUGAAAAAGGAAGUAGGUGAAAAGAAAAGUAAAAAAUACAAUUAGCAUUCCCUCAAAUUGUAGAAAGUUAGGUAGCAUUAUAGACAAGUUGAUAGCGGCAAUUUUACAUUUCAAACUUCACCUAUUCAAUAACUAAUUCGAUGGCUUGCUACAUGGUCAAUCUUUGGACCCCUUCCUGCCUCCAGAUAUCCCUUUCCUCAAUCAGGGGCUUCUACAAUUACCAGUUUCAAUUGUAUGGUAUAGUGUAAAUAUCAACAAAUUAGAUGUAGAUGCUAACAUAAUAAAUGUGAAUGCUAAGACAGCAACAUACAAUCGAACCUGCAAUUGUAUGAACCCCAAUCUCGCUUCCUAGUCCACCAUCUUUCUCUAGGUAAUAAUCUCCCUUCUAAUUUAUUCACAAAAUGCACCUUUCAUCACCUCCAAUAGCGUCGACAUGAUCUUUACCCUAGAAGACUAUUCACCGACUCUCAAUUGACGUCAGAAAAUCUAAGAGUAAUUCUACUUUACCCUAAGAUUGAUAUCAACAAGACAAGGACAAUUUAGAAUUAUUACACGCCUCUUCUUAAUAGGAAAAAGAAAUAGAGAAGAAAGUCAGGCCAGGUCUAAUUUCUUUUCAAAGGCAAUACAACAUUACGAAAUCAAGCAUUCAUUCAUACAAAUAUUUCAUAGUCACCGGUUUGCUGAGUAGAAAAAUUUAGACAAAAACUUAAUAUUAUAUUGUUUAAGAGUUAACAAUUUAGAGCUUAAUCUCCUUGUACUUUGGAGUUAACAAUUUAGAGCUUAAUCUCCUUGUACUUUGGACUAAACUUGAACGUGAAAGGAAAUCCCAAAACCAUAUUGGGCAUGAAUUCACACUUAAUAUACCCAAUAAAAGAUGGCGACUGGUGAAAGGCAGUGGAGACUGGUGGAGAGAUUUGAGGAAUAGAAGCAGACGGAAAAGCAACAAAUUUUUGCCGAAAAACGGUCACUUUCAUGGUUAAUUUUGCUACUCUCCAAUUGUACUUGACCAAUUACAACAAUUUCAUGGAGUUUGAUACGUGAAAAGAAUUUUUUAUAAAUUUUAUUUUGAUCCAUAAUGUUAUCUUUACAUAUAUAAAACAUUUUACAAUUUUGAUUUUGGCGCAGCUAACUUUUGGUUAACAAAAAUGCUCAUGUUUAAAAAACCAGAAAUAAAACAAAACAAGAAACAAAAGAAAUAAGAGGGUAGCAUAGACAUUUUGGAUUUUUCCGUUAAUUUGGAUGAUUUCCACCCACGUUCUAAUUUAAUCCAAAACACAAAGGAAUUACGUAGAGGUUUUAAAUAAUCAGGGAGCUUCAUGAUCGAACCCCAAACCACGUGAUAGCAUACAAGAGUUCUAUUUCACUAUCGGUAGACAAAGACUUUCUAUGGUUGAUGUACCGUAGGAAAAAAUCUGCCUAUACAACGUGAUAGCAUUUUUUCAAAAACACAAGAUGGAAAAUUGCCCCCUUAAACGUGGAAAUUCAUGAUCUUUCCUCGAACAAAGAAUACUCACGCCUAUUCAAGAUGGAAAAUUGCCCCCUUAAACGUCUAUUUGUCAAUUCUUGAAAAAAGAAUACUCACGCCUAAAACACGGCCUCUUCAUCUGCAGAAUUCUAAAAAGUUACGUAAACUCUAUAAACAAGUUGAUAGGUACAAUCGUACCCAAGAUCAAGUACAGAUAGUUGUACAUUCACUGCUGCAAUAACUAAUCUGAUGACUUACAAACAUAUCAUGGUCAAUCGUUGAAUGGUAAUGAGUCUUUUGUUAUGCAUUAGUAUUAGUGUGUACACUCUAAUAGAUUGAUACUUAUACUCUUUAAAUUAUCAUAAUAAUACCCUUAAUUAACUUUAACUCUUAAAAAGAAUACGUGUUAAUACACGAGAGUGUGUAACCUGAAUUGUUACUUAUACAUUAGUGUGUAAUAGAUAGGGAUGGCAGUGAGGGCGAGUGCCCGCGGGGGGCUCUCGGGGCGGGGGCGGGGGAGAAUUUUUUCCCCCCGUUUAGAAACGGGGCAGGGGACGGGGGAGUAUACCCCCGCCCCAUCCCCCGCCCCGCCACCCGCAAAAAAAAUUAUAUAUAUAUAAUUAUAUAUAAUAUGUAAUUUAAUUAGUUAUAAACUUAUGAUAAUGAUAUUAUUAGUUAGAUGUAUUAUAUAAUGUAUAUUAGUGUAUGUAAUAUAAUUAAUAUUAUCAAUUAUACGAAUAAUUAGACAUGUCCACUAAUAGAGUUUAUUAAUUAGUUAUACUAAAUUUACUAAUACAUUUGUACUAAAUUUCUAAUUACACUUAAUAGAAUAACACUUUUUUCUAAAAAAAAAAGCACAAACACAAUAAUGAAUUAGUGAUUGUAUUUGUACCAAAAGUGAAAACUUAACUAUUUUAGUUGUAUUUAUUUCAUCAUGUUGGAUUGUAUUCAAAUAAUUUUUGUUUGAUUGUUUUUAUGAGUUUCAAUUGUAAAAUUAAAAUGAAUAAUAACUUGAUGAUGUGUUGAUAUUUUAGUACUUGAUUAUUUAUUGAUUUAACUAUAAUAAAAUUUUAUUUUAUUAAAAUUUAACUAUAAUAAAAUUUUAUUAACCAAACGAGUUAUUAAUCCCGCGGGGGCACCCACGGGGGAAGCGGGGCGGGGCGGGGGAGUGGGAGGCGGGGGACGGGGCGGGGGUGGGGGGAGUUGUAGGUAGCGGGGCGGGGGAUGGGGGAGGGGUCCCCCGCCCCAACCCCGCCAUCCCCCGCCCCGUUGCCAUCCCUAGUAAUAGACUGGCAAGCAUUGUGGUGGUCAUUGAGAACUUACUGGAGAAAUAGUCCUAUAAGCUGUUCAAUGAGCAAUCACAACUUGCUAAUUGGAUGACUAAUAUAGCUCUAGCUGUAAUGUUUUAAUUAAAUUACAUCACUAACGUUGGGAUGACUUUUUAACCAAAAAAAAAUGCCUUAGUUCAAGCUUUUCCCUUUAUUGUGCAUUUUUUAAAGCAUUUGAUAGGCACUGCAAAUCUGUCAUUUUGGACAUUUUAUUAUUGACUAACAAUGAAAGCCGUGACGUCUACCCAUAACCAACACAAGAUUAAAUUAAUAUUAGAAAAAAUAAUUGAGUAAUUGGAAAAAAAAAAAGAGACUCAUUUUCAUUGAAACCCACCGACAAACUAAACGUGUCCAUGGCUUUUGAAUAGUGCAUUCAACGUUUAAUUGUAUAGUCCAGUUCAUUGCAGAUUACAUGGAGUAAAGAUUGUGCUCUUUCCUUUUUCACCCCUUUUGGAAUCGAUACUGUGGAGAAUUGGGUUUUUCCCUUCUUUUUUUCUUUUCUUUCCUUCUGUGCUUUGCAAAACAUAGGUAAAAAUAUGAAAUCCGAAGCAUUCUUUAAUUGGGAUUAAGUAUUGUUGUUGAAAUUAAAAAGAAAAAAGAAAGAACAACAAAAUUCCCAAUCUGGGUUGAUUGUUGAGCUCUAGAUUGGUUGCAUCGUGCUUCCAUAGAAGCUCUCUUAGUGUGAUACACUGCUUUCAAUCAGUUUAACACGGGAAAAAAAAAAAAAGAGAUGAAAAGCAAAUUUGGUGGGGAUAAUUUCAGAAACCUCCCCUGAAGAUUUUGACUAUUCUACUGGUCUCCCUUCAGAUUUUAAAAAUUACACUAAUCUUCCUUGAAGUUAAUUAUCUUGUAACAUUUAAAUUCAAUCAAUAAUUUAAAAAAUGAUAUUAUGAGAGAGAAAAUAAUGAUUUUAUCAUUGCCCCCCAUCUUACUACAUUAUUUAAUUAAUUUAAUAGCAACCCACACAUUAAAGAAAAAUAUUAAAAUUUGUUGUUUAUCAUUAAAGAUCAAAUCGCUUAUAACAUCAAAUAAUAGUAUAUUAUUUAUAUUUUUCACUCAAUAUAAUAUCCAAAUUACUCUUUUCAAUUACAUACCCAUUGUUAGACAAUCAACAACAAAUAACCAAAAAAUUUGCAACCAAAAUAUUACAAAAAAAUAAACUUUAACAUAUAAAUAUUCUUAUCAACAUAUUAAAGUUAGUUACUGAAAUUUUUAUGCUGUUAAACUUCACUCUUUUUGGUUACAGAUUUUUUUGAUUAUUUGUUAUUAAUUAUGUUUGAUGAUGGAUUUAUAAUUGAAAAGAACAAUUUGAAACUUACAUUAAGUAAAAUAUAUAGAGUGAUAUACUAUUUUUUAUAACAUAUGUGAUUCAAUCCUUCUUGAUAGGAUUGGUAAUAGAGGUAGAGGGGGGAGCCGGCUGCAUCCGGUCUACUUUUCAUAGAUAGUACAAUAUUGCGAAAUCGAUCGCAUUCACGCAAUAUUAUUUCCAAGUCAUUGCAUGGCUAAGCUGCAAAAAAAGUACGAACACAUGUUAUUAUAUAGCUUACGAUUCAAAACUUUAGAGCAUAACCCUCCACCUAACACAAUUGAAUAAUGAACAUUCACGUUUGUCAAAUCUGUCAAAGCACAGUUUGAGGACAACCCAUUCCAACCUGCAAAAGAUUUUUUACUUUUCUAAAGUUGUUGAGAGCUGUAAAAAGACUUACCAUGCUUGCAUCCUCCGAGCCUUGGGAGUUAAAAAUGAAGGCACUGAGUGCUAUAAAAAGGGGAAUAGAGGCUGCCUAGAAGCAUAUCAGCCUAAAACAAGAAUUUGUAGUUAAGAUGGGAAGCAAAGCAAAAGCAAUGGGGUCUGGGCUGACUCCUCUUCUUGCCACUGUUUUAGUGGUGUUUGUUGCUCUUGGCUUGCCCUCACAAACUGCAGCUGAUGAUCACUACAAGUAUUCAUCUCCUCCUCCUCCUUACCACUAUCCCUCACCACCACCACCAGUGCAUAUACCUCCACCUCAUCCUGUUUACAAGUACAAAUCUCCACCACACCCCCAGUACAAGUAUAAGUCACCACCACCACCUCCUCAUCCGGUAUACAGUCUCCUCCGCCACCACACACCCAGUUUACAAGUACAAGUCACCACCACCACCUCCUCAUCCGGUACCACACCCAGUUUACAAGUAUAAGUCUCCUCCGCCACCAGUUUACAAAUACAAGUCUCCUCCACCACCACCUCCAGUGUACAAAUACAAGUCUCCACCACCACCAGUUUACCACUACAAGUCUCCACCACAGUUUACAAAUACAAGUCUCCACCACCACCCCCAGUUUACAAAUACAAGUCUCCACCACCACCAGUUUACCACUACAAGUCACCACCACCUCCUCCCCCAGUUUACAAAUACAAGUCUCCACCACCUCCUCACCACUACUAAGCAAUUGCUUCUGAGGUAAUAACACUUGUUCAAUAUACCCACUUCUGCAUGAUAAAGCAUAUCUCUAUCAACACAAACUGUCAUGUCUAUCAUGCUAAGUGCCUUCACUUCAUCCACCAAAAUGACUGCUAGAAAAUUUUUUUUAUGUUACCAAAGAAAGGCAUCAUUUUUUCCCUCUGUUAUCAAGAACUUGUACAGUAUAUAGAUUAAAGAGUAUUUUUUUAACUAGCUUAUCAACUGAGAAAUGCAUAUAGCUGAUAGCCAGCUGAAUAUUUGCAGGCAAAGGAGAAGGAAACCAGUGUUUGAGACCUUCUUGAAGAUGUAGAAGCAUAAGAAUUAAAGCCCAAUGUGAAGAUGAUGAUUUCAAGUUUUUCUACGUUACCAUUUCUUUAUCUAAAUUGGUUGUAGCGCCUUAGUUCCUUUGUUUAUGGGAUUUGUAUCGUUUUACGUACCAUGCAGUACAUGUCAUGUUUGUAAGGUUUUCUAUCCUGCCGGCAAACCGCAGGUUCCAUGUAAUAAAUCAAUACUAUUUAUAUUACGACACUUUUCUCUGUUUCUCUUAUAUUUUGUCGUCUUUAAUAUUCUUAAUCAUAUUUUUAACAAAAAUAUUCAAACACUUAGGCAAUCUGGUCUAAUGCUAAUUGUAUGUUUUACUUUUCUUUUUCACCUGCUCCCCUUUUCAACUCAAAAGGAUGCAAUAGUUUGUGAUCACUGUUUAAGACGGAAGCAUGAUACUAAUGAAUAUCUCAUUGAAACUCAAGGAAACUAACAUUGCGAAAAGUGUAAAUCUUGAUUUGAUGCAACUAUUUAUUCGUGGAAUCUAUAGUUACAAAACUCAAAUUCUGACUGCGCCAUUGAUAAAUUAUUAAUGACGCUAUCAUCAUUAUUUAUCCCUAACUAGUUUCGACUACAACUGAACCCAAUAUUUUCCCCAUGAUAAAAGUUUUUGACUAUUUUACUGGCCUCUCUUCAAAUUUUAAAAAUUACACUAAUCUUCAUUGAGAUUAAUUAUCUUGUAACAUUUAAGUCCAAUUAAUAAUUAAAAAAUGAUAUUAUGAGAGAGAAAAUAAUAUAAUUUUAUCAUUGCCCCCCAUCUUGCUAUAUUAUUUAAUUAAUUUAAUAGCAACCCACACAUUAAAGAAAAAUACUAAAAUUUGCUGCUUUUCAUUAAAGAUCAAAUUGCAUAUGCCAUAAAACAUAGUAUAUCAUUCUAUAUGUUUCACUUAAUGUAAGAUCCCAAUUGUUCUUUUCAAUUACAAACCCAUUGUCAAUAACAAAUAACCAAAAAAUUUGCAACCAAAAUAUUACAAAAAAAAACUUCAACAUCAUAAAUAUUCUUACCACCUCUAGUGCAUUCACCCUCAUAAAAUAAUUCAAGACCCUACUGUCAUAAAAUGACUGAUCAACUCCCGUAAACCUAAUUUGACAACAUUUAAAUGGAGAACUUUAGCUAAAAGAAUUAUGGUCAAGCUAAAGAAAAAACCAGUUAUUUUCCAACAUAUGCAAUCAUUGAUCAGGGAAAAAAAAAAGAGCAAAAAGACAUCUUCAAUCAUUUAAUAGCUUACAGGGCAAAUUAACCCCUAAGCGAAAACUGGUUGCUCUAGAAUCAAAAUUUUACUUUAGUUACCCAGGCAACUUUUUUGUUGCUUUUUUUUUUUUUUUCCUUUAGUUUUGCCCCCUCUGUCAAGCUUAUAAAAUUAUUAAGAUAAUAAAAGUGCCUUGAAUAGUAUUAAUAUAUCCAUUGACUUGAGCUGUCGUCAGUUUGCGAUUCCAUGAGGCCUUUUCAAAGUACUCAGAAAAUGGGGAGUCAUGAAAUCCAUUUGUUCUAUUCAUUGCUAAGAUGCUUUUCUCUAUAAAGAGACUUCCUAACGAAAAUACUUUGUAGAUUUCUUUACUCCAAGUGGUGCAUGGAAAAUUAAUAUUUUCAAUUAUCAAAUAAAAUUCCCUUUUUUCGGCGUAGAUUUCAUCCAUCCAGCUGUUAACACAUUCUAUAAAUCCGAAUUGACUAAUCUUUUCGUUUCCAUUUUCCAACUUGCGAAUACGGCAUAUAGUGUCUGCUAAACACUAUAUAUUCUCUGCCAAAUAUGAAUACAUAUCACUUUUCUGAGCAAGUGCAGAGUCAUUAUCAUUUUUAUUCCCACCUAACAAAUUAGGGAUAAAAAAGUUAAUAAUCUUUACAUGCUAUCAGGUCACAAGUUAAUAAUCUUUUAAAGAACAUGUUAAAUUAAUUUAUUGGUAUGAAUAGUAGUCAAAGAAGUAUGUUAAAGUUAGUAAUCUUUAAAAUAAUAUGUUAAAAUCAUUCGUACAAAUUAGUCAGAGAAGUAGCAUAAACACCGCGAUGCAAUUAAUACUUUCAAUCUCAAGGUCUCUAUUAUGGAAAUUUGCAUCGGUCAAUAUACACUUGGCAUAAUAUAAUCUCCCAACUCAUUUCUUUACAAAUGCACCUUUAAUCACCACCAAAAGGUGUGGACAUGAUCUUUACCCUAGAAAACUAUUCACCGACAGGCAAAUUGACGUCAGAAAUACUGAGGAAUUCUAGUUUCCUUCGGGUUCAUGCCAUGUUGUAUCCUUCAACUGUAACUCGAUUUCUAAGCUGUAAUUUGUGACAUAAUAGUCCUUAAACUAUGAAACCCUUCUUACUUAAUUACAAUGGUUAAUACAAUGCCCGUGACUAGACAAGUAUGAAGCAACCAUAACAGAAAAAAAAUCCAAAAUUAGAGAAAAGAAAGAAGUUUCGCGACCACCACCAGUUUACAAGUCACCUCCACCACCUCCUCCAGUUUACAAGUCACCUCCACCACCUUACCAUUAUUCCUCACCACCACCUCCAGUGCAUUCACCCCCACCACCACCAGUUUACAAGUCUCCGCCACCACCUUACCAUUAUUCCUCACCACCACCUCCUGUGCAUGCACCUCCACCACCAAUUUACAAGUCACCUCCUCCAGUUUACAAGUCUCCACCACCACCUUACGAUUAUUCCUCACCACCACCUCCAGUGCAUUCACCCCCACCACCACCAAUUUAUAAGUCUCCCCCACCGCCUCCCCCAGUAUAUAAGUCACCACCACCACCUCCUCCAGUAUACAAAUCACCUCCACCACCUCCUCCAGUUGACAAAUCUCCACCACCACCAAUUUAUAAAUACAAGUCUCCUCCACUACCUCCUCCAGUGUACAAGUCAUCACCACCACCUGCUUACAAGUCUCCACCUCCUCCAGUUUACAGUUCCCCACCACCACCAAUCUACAAGUCUCCACCUCCACCCUACCAUUACUACUACAAUUCUCCUCCUCCUCCUCGUCACUACUAAGCAAUUGUAUCCAAGUUUUUGAGGUAAUAACGCUUAACCAAUAAAUUAACUUUCGCAUGAUAAACCUUAUCUCUAUCAAGACAAACUGCCAUGUGUAUCAUGCCAAAUACGUACACCUAGAUCCAUGAAAAUGAAUGGUGAGGAGGGCCAUUUAGGCUCGGAGCGCCCUAGGCCUAGUUCCCCACCAUUUCCUGAAGUGCCGCCUCGGGUAUUAUCCUGGAAGGCGAUCGCGGCCCAUUUACCACCUCGGCUACAAUGUCAGGUCGUAACACCGAGGUGGACAUUGAAUGACAACUACGAAAAGGGGAGAUGUGAUCUCUGACACCUGAGCAAAGGCUGCUCUGACCCGCCGCCUGAAUCUGACAGAAUGUCCCAUCACGUCUCUUCAUGGAGACCGGUCAAGUCCACCUGAUCCACUGACUAUCUCAGAUCUUUUGGGACCCGUGCAAACAUCUCCUCUCUCCUAUCAGUCCCCUAUAAAUACACGAUACUUCUACUGAAAAAGGAGAUGACCAAUUUCUGGUAAAACACACUCCACUCAUUAUUUACUUCUCUAUAUCCGAACUGACUUAAGCUUCGGAGUUAUACCGGGGGAUCCAGCCCCUUUCUUAUCCAAGCAGGUGACUUCGUCCAAGAGAGUUGCCCAAGGUAAAGAUAUUCUUCCAAUUGAGGUGACUCACUCCUGCGGGUCGAAAAUCACCUCUUCAAUUGGCGCCGUCUGUGGGAACCGCAAAGAUAUUAGAAGAUGAAGCCUGCGCGUUCUAGAAGCAGAAAAGCUCUCACUAUCGAGGCUGGGCAAAGCAAUGCAGCUCAACAAGAAAAUAUUUCUGAAGGGCAGGAGUCCCCAAGGACUCAGCCCGCAAACGAAAAAGCCAUAACCCGUAUGGCCGAGUUUGUGACCGAGAACCCCAACAUCUUUGAAGAGUUGGGAAGAUACCUGAAGAGGCAAGGCAAACAAAAGGCCGAGUCCUCUAAAAGGAUGUCAGAUGGGUCUCUUGAGGACUCAUCUGAGGAGGAGUCGGAUGGAAGGCACUUAAGCCGAAGUGCCUCAAAGCGAGCAUUUUCUAAGGCCACUUCUAAGGUAGCCUCCCUGACCAAGGCGUUUUCCCGAGGGCUCUUGGGCCGACGACCCGAGGAAGAACCUCGGCCCUUGGGAAUACCCGGGGUGGACUGCAUGAGGGCUCCACCGUUCACGGAUGAUAUAAACGAGGAAAGGCUUCCUCCCAAUUUUAAGCUCCCCGCAGUACAAUCUUACGAUGGCCGAGGUGAUCCCGAGAAUCACAUCCAUACCUUCAUCUCGGCCUUCCAAAUAUACUGCAUCCCAGACCCUGUCAUAUGUCGGGCCUUUCCAGUAUUCCUCAGAGGAACUGCUCGAAAAUGGUUCUGAGCUCUAGAACCUAGGAGCAUUUCGACCCUGGGUGAAUUAGUGGAGAAGUUUCUCCACCGAUUUGUCUCCUCCCGACCUACGACUAGGACCUCGGCUUACCUGCUCACCGUGCAGCAGAACCCGGGAGAGUCACUCCGGUCGUACGUCCGGAGGUUCCAUGAGGAAAGCGUUCAGAUACCUGACCCCAAUGAGCAGGUAACCCUCGCUGCCUUUACCCAUGGACUCGUUGCCGGGGAGUUCAAUACGGGGAUCCAUAAAAAAUACCCCCGCACACUGCAUGAAUUGUGGUUGAAGGUUGAAAAGGGCAUACAGGCCGAAGACCUCCAUCGCAUGAAGAAAGAGGUCCAAGCCACCCGUCCAAGGGCUGAGCCCAGAAAGGGAAAAGACGCUGGCCGAACUGAAGUAGGGUCGGGAAGUGGCUUCCGAAGUCCUGGCCGAGACCGCCGCAGCGUGUUCGACAGGAUAUCCAAGGGGAAGUCACCUAUUCCCGAGUCCGAGUUGACUCCUUUAAAUACUACCCGAUCUCACGUGUUGUCCGUGAUGGAACAAAACAACCUCGGCAAGGGCCCGCCGAGGAUGUUUGGAAGCAGAGACAAGAGGAACUCGAACCUCUACUGCUUGUAUCAUCGUGACAUUGGUCACGAAACUGAGGAUUGCAACGAUCUCAAGAAGGAGAUCGAGAACCUCAUUAGACGGGGACACUUGAAACAGUUCAUCCGCAGAGGUGGAGGUCACCAACGUGACGAAAACCGGCAUGACAAAUGAGGUGACCAACGCCGAGAUGAGCGGCGGAGCUCCAGAAGCAGUUGCCGACCUCCUGAGGAUCCCAGGGAGACGAAAAGGCCUCCCCCAGACGGAUCUUCGGGACAUGGGCCAACCAUUGCCCGGGUCAUUAACACCAUUGCCGGAGGUCCGACGGGAGGGGACAGUCAGAACUCCCGGAAGAGAACCUAUAAGCAGGCUAACCCGGAUCAGGCCGAGUCGAGUUCUCGCCUGUCCGAGGUGAUCACCUACGGGCUCAGUGAUCCCAUCCCAGCUGCAUCCAGCAGUCAUGAAACCUUGGUGAUUGAAGUCCUCACCAAUAACUACAUUGUGAAAAGGUCUACAUAGACCCGGGAAGUUCAGUUGACGUCAUGUACCUCCGUACCUUUGAGAGCCUUAAAAUGGCUAAGGGGUGCAUGACCCCGCUGAGAACCCCUCUUGUAGGGUUCGGGGGACACGUGGUGCACCCCGAAGGGAUGGUGACUCUGACAGUGACCAUAGGGCAUCACUCUCGCUGUAGAACCGUCCCUGUCAAUUUUGUGGUGGUUAAGGCUGACUCCCCAUACAACCUACUUUUAGGUCGGCCUACGCUCAAUGCCUUGCGGGCGGUCUACUCCACCUACCACCUGAGCUUCAAGUUUCCUACCCCAGCAGGGGUGGCCGAGGUCAGCAGCGACGUCUGUGCUGUCCGGGAGUGCUACCUCGCCACCCUACAAGCAGCCUCCCCGUCUACCUCCGGUGCGAGGUCCGAGAAGAGGUCAAAUAUCCUCUCAAUAGAUAGCAUCGAUCCUCAGUGAGCUGAGAAGGUCCCGAGGCUGGAGACUGGGGAUGAGGUGGAAGAGAUUCCCCUGGACCCCACGAAACCUGAUCAGACAGUUCGCGUUGGUACCCGAUUGCCCGGUCCUAUCCGAAGAGGUAUGAUGGACCUCCUCAGGGAAUACCGGGACGUCUUUGCUUGGGCCGCCGAAGAGGUCCAAGGAGUCCCGCACCAUCUCAUGAUGCAUGACUGAACGUCGACCCCCAAGUCCGUCCGGUCAAACAGAAGAGAAGGCACAUCGGCCCUGAGCGCAGCCAAGCUGUUGGUGAGGAAGUGGACAAGCUUUUACCCGCUAAAAUAAUCCGAAAAGUCCAAUACCCGAUCUGGUUGUCUAACUCGGUCAUGGUCAAGAAGGAUACGGGGGCUUGGAGAAUGUGCGUCGAUUUUACCGACCUCAACAAAGCCUGCUCCAAGGAUUGCUACCCCUUGCCCAAAGUCGAUACUUUGGUAGACUCAGCAAUGGGCUACGAGAUCCUCUGUUUCUGGGAUGCAUUCAAAGGCUAUCACCAAAUUGGGAUGAGUCAAGAAAACCAGGAGAAAACGGCCUUCUACACCGACCGCGGCACGUACUGUUAUACUACCAUGCCAUUCGGGUUGAAGAAUGCCGGAGCCACUUAUCAACGCUUGGUCAACCAAGCAUUCAAGUCUCAAAUCGGCCGGAAUGUUGAGGCCUAUGUAGAUGACAUCCUCCUCAAAAGCCAGACGAACUCCACCUUCCUGGCCGACUUGAAGGAGGUCCUUGACAUCCUGCGGAAGGUGAAAAUGAUGCUGAACCCCAAGAAAUGUGUUUUUGGGGUCACCUCGGGGAAAUUUCUAGGUUACCUCGUCUCAAGGCGAGGUAUCGAAGCAAAUCCGGAUAAGGUGCGAGCCAUCCAGGAGAUGUCUCCACCCCGGUGCGUCCGCGAUGUCCAAAGGCUGACAGGGCGAUUAGCCGCCCUGAAUCGGUUCUUAUCGCAGUCGGCAGCUAAAGCACUGCCCUUUUUCAAAGUGUUGAAGAAAGCUGACCAUUUCUCCUGGACGGAAGAGUGUCAACAGGCGUUUGAGCAGUUGAAGGAUUACCUUCACUACCUUCCAACGCUCACCUCACCUCGUCCGGGGGACAAAUUAAUCUUAUACCUUUCUGCUGCGGCCGAAGCGGUGAGUGCCGUGCUGAUAAGGAAGGAAGGGGUCCAAAUGCCCGUCUACUACGUUAGCCGAGUCCUCCGAGGUCCAGAGACCAGGUACACACAAGCAGAGAAACUUGUGCUAGCCCUGAUCCACGCCGCCCGCAGACUCAAGCCCUACUUCCUAGCUCACCACGUCUGCUUGAGGACUGAUCAACCACUUCGGCAGAUUUUGACACGACCAGAGGUUUCGGGACGUCUUACCAAAUGGGCCAUUGAGCUGGGGGAGUACGACCUAACUUAUGAGCCUCGCACAGCGAUCAAGGCCCAGGCUCUCGCAGACUUCGUAGCCGAGCUCACCUUUGACGAGGUGCAAGGAUCCGUCCCGGCUGCCACAUCGGCCACAGUUGAUGUGGCCACCACUGGGCUCCAGCGGUGGAUCCUACACGUGGACGGUUCGUCAACAGUGAGGGUAGUGGAGCAGGCUUGCUCCUCGAAGACCCCCAAGGAGAAAUAUGCUAAUAUGCCUUAAGAUUUGACUUCGCUGCUUCAAACAAUGAAGCUGAAUACGAAGCCGUCAUUGCUGGACUGCAGCUAGCUCGCAAGCUCGGGGCCGCACACAUCUUGGUUUAUAGUGAUUCCCAACUCGUCGUGUGCCAGAUAUUAGGUGAGUACGAAGCCAGGGACGAGGUGAUGCAUCGUUACCUCUCCAAGGUCCUCCAGUUGGCGACUCACUUCGAGUCUUUUGAAAUUCAAAGAAUACCGCUAUCGAAAAACAGAAGGGCUGACGCCCUCUCCCGGCUUGCCUCAACCUCUUUCUCUGACCUGAACAAGACGGUUCUCGUUGAAGUUCUAGCCGAACCAGGAUAUGUAGCCGAGGUAGUAUACCCCGUCUACCCUGGGGACACCUGGAUGGGUCCCCUGACUCGAUUUUUCAGCCAGGGUGAGCUCCCCGAAGACCGAGCUGAGUCACGGAAGCUCCAACGAAAAGCAGCACGGUACAUUCUCCGACAAGGCCUUUUAUACAAAAGGUCUUACCUCGGCCCUUAGUUGCGAUGUAUCACGCCCGAGGAAGGCCAGAGAAUCCUCCAAGACAUACAUGAGGGGCUCUGUGGUGCUCACGUCGGCUACAGAAUGCUGGUAAAAAAGGCUUUGUUACUUGGGUAUUUUUGGCCCACUAUGAGGAUAGAUGCCCAGGUCAUGGUCCUUUGCUGCCCCUCCUGCCAGCAUCACGCUCCUGAGCACCACCAGCCGACCAAUUUAAUGAUCCCUAUCACCUCGUCAUGGCCAUUUGAGCAAUGGGGAACGGACAUAAUUGGCCCCUUUCCCAGAGCUCCAGGCAAUUAUACCUACGUGGUGGUAGCAGUGGACUACUUCACCAAAUGGGUCGAAGCUGAACCCCUAAAAAAUAUCACUGGUGCGGCAGUCCAGAAAUUCUUCUGGAAGAAUGUGGUUUGCCGCUUCGGCCUACCCCGGGUGAUCAUCUCGGAUAAUGGCCGACAGUUCGCCGAUAAUCCUUUCAAGGCCUGGUGUGAGAACCUCGGGGUCAAACAGCAUUUCACUUCGGUGGGACACCCCCAAGCCAACGGACAAGCCGAAAACUUCAAUCGCACGCUCCUCCAUGGCCUCAAGACCAGGCUCCACCAGGCUGGAUCGUUUUGGAUGGAAGAGCUCCCCAGUGUGCUGUGGUCCUACCGAACUACGCCGAGAUCAGCAACCCAGGAAACCCCGUUUUCCUUAACCUACGGGUCAGAAGCUGUUGUUCCAGCCGAAUUCAUCACCCCGAGUCCACGAAUGGCCGCAUAUGCUGCCGAAGUCAAUGAAGAAGAACGGCGAGUUGACCUCGACCUCGUCGAAGAGAAGCGUGAUAUGGCCGCGGCCAAAGUUGCUGUUUACAAAAAUAUCGUAGCUGGCUACUACAACGCUCGGGUUAAACAUUUGCGGUUCAGUCCGGGAGACCUGGUGCUCAGGAAGAACUCAGUCAGCCGGGCUGAACCUCAGGGUAAACUAACCCCCAAGUGGGAGGGACCAUACCGUGUUGUUGAGUCCAGCCAAAAUGGAUAUUGUAAAUUGGCAUACCGAGAUGGGUCUCUGAGUGCCCCGAACUUGGCAUGCUGAAAAUCUUAAGUUGUACUACCCUUGAGGGUAUGUGCUUUUAAUCUUGAGUUAUUUCACACUUAUUUUCAUUUCAUUAUAAGUGAAAAAUAAGGGGACAAAGUAGCAGUAAAGAGGAAAACCGAAUUUAAUUAAAAAGAAAGCAAGAAUAUGAACUCAAUUCCAUUGAAUUACAUAAAAGUAGAAAGCCGAGGUCACCUUUAAUUAGGAAGAAAGCAAGAAUAUAAACUCAAUUCCAUUGAAUUACAUAAAAGUAGAAAGCCGAGGUCACCUUUGACCUCGGCCUACAAUGACAAAAAAAAAAACAAGUGCCUCUAGGCACUCCCUACCCUGACAUCCUGGCCCCCCGUGGUCGCGCCACCCGUUUCGGCACCCUGUCCACCCUCAGCUCCUCCACCGGCCUGGUCGUCUUCAGUACCAUCUAGUUCAAACUCCUGGAGCCAUUUGUUGAAUUCGGCUCGGACUUCGGUUAGGUCUUUCUCAGUCCGGAUGCCCUCAGCCAUGCUGUCGCAUAGCUCCUUGGCAUCCUCGUUAUAGUGCGAAGUGCUCUGAAGGGACUCCAGUUGUUCAGAGGGAAGAAAGGAUGCCGCGUCAUUAAUAGCCGACGUGUACCCGAACAUGAAGCUUGGCCGGGUGAGCUCGCCGAGGUCACGGAUGAAGGACUCUGACGUCCGGAAGGCUUCCACAGCAGUGACCCCGGCCUUGUCCAUGGCCUCCCUGUUUGACUGUUCUUCUUGGGCCCUCCUUUUUUUCUCCUCAUCAAGAGCAGUCACCAGGGAAUUGUUCGCGACCUCGGCCCUUUUGUUAGCCGCCUUGGCCUUGUCACGCUCCAACUCGGUUGCCUUCAGUUUUUCUUCCAACUCGGCAAUUCUCUUCUGGAGCUCGGCAGGAGGCUCAUAGUUUUCCAUGAACUUUCCAUACCGUUGAAUCAUCUCGACAAAAAAAGCCGUGGUAGAGGCCCAUGACACCGAGGCGCUCUGCAUCAACUCCCCUGCGGAGAGCUUCCUAGCAUAAGUGCUAUCUCGUGGCAGCACUGAAUGCACCAAGAGCUCCUGAGCGACCAAAGGGUUCUUGCAGCGAUCGUUGAAAUUAAUCUCCCACUCUGGACACCAGUGUGAUCCGGGGUGUCUCUUGUCCUCCUCAGCUGCCUUGAAAGGCACAUGAUGGAGUUUGAACAAAGAUGACCCCGUGACGGGGUUCUCCGGAAAUAUGGUCACACCCUGACCCCGGGGGGGAGUGGCAAUCGUGACCCAGCGAGAAGGGAUUCCCACCGGAAUUGCCGAGGCUCGGGAACCUCCCGGAGUGGCCGAGGUGUGCGAGCCCUCGCCCACGAUCACCACGGCAGGCUCGCGGUCGCCCGACGCCGCGGUGGUUUUCUUAGCCGGCCUGGAAGAGGACCCUGCAGUGUCCUUGCGCUUUUUGGGAGCUCUUUUGACCACCUCGACAUCUCCCGAGGUUAUCAGGUCGAAAAUCUUCGUCACUGCAAAGUAGGAGACGAAGUCAGUUAGAAUUCAAGAGGGAUAAACUAAAAGGGAAGAAAUGGAAAAAUACAAAGUCUGUGAAGCCUAGUCGAGAGUAAGACAGGCUGGUCAGAGCUCGUCAAGGCUCAACUGAUCCCGCCUUCCACGAGCACCACUUCGGGAAAAUCCCAGCAGUUUAUCCUGAGGCCCGACCCCGUUAACUUCUGGAAGUUACGCUCUUCUAACUUCCCUGGAGAUAUCUCCUUGAUCGAGGUGGGAGGCCUCCACCAGAAUCCGCGAGGGAAGUCAUCGGCCGAGACGAAGAAGAAGUUUUGCUUCCACUCCUUUAUUGAGUUCGGAGCAUCAACCACCAACUUCGGAACUUUGUUUCCGAAGUAGAACCAUCCUUUUUCACUUCUGCUGUUCUUGAGUGAGUAACAGCGGCGAAAGAGGUUGACCUAAGGUUGUAUCUCCUGAUGUCGGCAAAGUAGCUGGAAGCCAACGAGAAUGCGAAUAGCGUUAGGGGUGAGUUGAGUGAUUCUCACCCCCCAGUACCUCAGGCAGUCCCGAAGAAACCUCGUCGUGGGCACUCUGAGUCCGGCCUCCAGCUGUUCCUGAUAGAUAGUCACCUUGCCCUUUGGUGGCAGUGCGGCUGACUGAUGCGGUUGGGGUAUGUAAAUACUAUAAUCCCUUCUCCAGGGAUACCUGCGGACCACCUCGGCUAUUGAGGCUUGUCCCAUACCACUACUGAAGAACGGCAUCUGGCCGUAGUCGAGAGUUGCCACGUUUGGAGGAGUGGAAGGUUCUUGUACUCCCUCGUCUCUAGGGAUCUCAAUCCCGAGGUCAUCGUUGUAUAGGACCUCGGGCUGGACCUCGAUCUCCUCGGGCUGCACCUCAACCGCCUCAGCUCGGCGUGAUGCCUCGGCACCUCCACCCUCAGCUUGGUGAGAUGCCUCAGCACCUCCGCCCUCGGACGCGGUCCUUUCCUGGGAGGGGUCAGGCCUCUCUGCCUCAGUGAGGUCAGGUCUCACUGUCUCUUUGUGCGUACGAGCUGUUCUAGCCAUUGUAUCAGAAGGGGAAGAAGUGAACUUACUUAGAAUCUGCGACUGGAAGAAGAUGCCGAAGUAGACGUGGUUUAGAAAGGUUGCCGAAGUGAAAAGAGAAAGAAACAGAGUUCUGGGGUGAUUCUUGAUUUUUGGUGAAGAGUAAAACGGUGAAAAAAGACCACUAUUUAUAGGCCACCAGGGUGAAACCCAAGAGACGGCACCCUCUCUCUUCAUUAAUGGGAGGACUGUUCGUCUGCCAACACAGCUGACAGCCGUCCCUUCAGUUAUCACUCAGUCCCAUCUAUGCGGUCAUGACGUGUCCGUGUUCCGUGUUUUAUACGCUUCUCAGCUUCGGGAAGUAACGACCACGGCGGAUGCCCAUCUCGCCCUUCUCAAAGCUUGGGGGGCUUAGUGAGGAGGGCCAUUUAGGCUCGGAGCGCCCGAGGCCUAGUUCCCCAUCAUUUCCUGAAGUGCCGCCUCGGGUAUUAUCCUGGAAGGCGAUCGCGGCCCAUUUACCACCUCGGCUACAAUGUCAAGUCGUAACACCGAGGUGGACAUUGAAUGACAACUACGAAAAGGGGAGAUGUGAUCUCUGACACCUGAGCAAAGGCUGCUCUGACCCGCCGCCUGAAUCUGACAGAAUGUCCCAUCACGUCUCUUCAUGGAGACCGGUCAAGUCCACCUGAUCCACUGACUAUCUCAGAUCUUUUGGGACCCGUGCAAACAUCUCCUCUCUCCUAUCGGUCCCCUAUAAAUACACAAUAUUUCUACUGAAAAAGGGGAUGACCAAUUUCUGGUAAAACACACUCCACUCAUUACUUACUUCUCUAUAUCCGAACUGACUUAAGUUUCGGAGUUAUACCGGGGGAUCCAGCCCCUUUUCUUAUUCAAGCAGGUGACUUCGUCCAAGAGAGUUGCCCAAGGUAAAGAUAUUCUUCGAAUUGAGGUGACUCACUCCUGCGGGUCGAAAAUCACCUCUUCAAAUGGUAGAAAGUUUUCUUAAGAACCAAGAACAGCAUUAGUAUUCCCUCUGCUUCCAAAAACUUGUGUAUUAAAUAGAUUAAUGAAUUGUUUAACAUGCUCAUCUACUUGAAAAUGCACAAUACCCAUAACCCACUGAAAUUUUUGCAGGAAAAGGGAAAGAGAAUCUGUGUUUGAGAGCUUCAUGAAGAUGUUGAAGAAUAAGAAUAAAAGCCCAAUGCGAGGAUGUUUUCAAGUUUUUCUAUGUCCACUUUAAUUUGUAAAUUGAAUUUUACAACUCAAUUAAUUCCUUGUUUGUGAGGUACGUAUUGUUUUACGUACCAUGCCGUACAUGUUUGUAAGGAUUUCUAUCCUAUUGGCAAAAGUCGGUUCCAUACAAUUAAUCAAUUCAUUUCACUUCUAUUGGCUCUACUAUUUAUGCAUGUUACGACACUCUUUCCCUUAUAUUUUGCCUUUAAUAUUAUGAGUCAAUAGUAAUAAUGGGCCUUUUUCUUAAAAUUAUACUAUUAUACAUAGGUAGUUUGGUCUAACGCUAAAUUCAUGUUUGUCUUUCUUUUAUUCCCUUUACAUCUCAAAGUAUACUAUAGUUUGUAAUCAUUGUGGUGAUGAUAUUACCAGCUGGUACUUAUAGUUUAAGGCAGAGACAUGAUAUUAACAACUAUCUCAUUGAAACAUAAGUCAAAAUCAUGACAAGUGUGAGUCUUGGUUAAUGCACAAUUUGUUAGUGGAAUUUAUAUUUAUAAAACUCAAAAAAAAUUUUUGACAAUGCUAUUACUAAUUAAUUAAGGACUUCAUUGCUAUAAUUUAUCGCUUACUAGUUUAAACUAUAAAUGAUCUCAAUACUUUUCUCCAUGAUGUCGAUUUCUUUAGACUACGAAAGGGAAAAAUUAGUGACAUAUCCCUUACUGAUUACAACAUCAGCAAAAAUUAGUUAUAAACUUUUCCGGUGGUUUUAAAUCCCUCGGGCACUAAGGUUUUUUGCACAUCGAGUGAAUUAAGGAACAUAGGCAAUUCGUUCUGCAUACCAAGUCCUUGUUUAAGAUGCACGUACUAAAAUGCAUCCACUUCAUUAAUUUGGAAAAUUGCCAUAGUUUUUUUUAAGCAUUUUGAUUUUUUACAUGAUUCAAAAUUUUCUUAUUGGAUACAAUCACUUUGUGUCAAGAACACAUUUUCAAUCAUCUUUUUUAUCUUCUCAAUAAGAAAAUAAAAAUUUAUUCAUGCUUUUCUAACAUAUCCAAUCAUUGAUCUGAAAAAUAAAGAAUUAAAAAAAAAAGACAUUUUCAAUCAUUGCUUACAGGGCAACUUCCCCAUGUGAACCUCUUCAAACAAAGCCAAUAAUAUGAAGGAACAUCUAAAUACACUUUUGCCCUAAAGGCUGGUUGCCUUGGGGUCAAAAUUUAACCUUCGGGAGUAUAAUUACCCGCCAAAUUUAUUAUUUUUUAUGGGUAUAUAGUUCCAAUUUUGCCUCCUGUUAAGCUUAUAAAUAUAUUACGACCCAGAAAAUAAAGGAAUCUUGAAUAGUAACAUGUCCAUUGACUUGAGUUGUCAUCAAUUUGGCUACUUCGAUUCCAUGAGGCCAAUCCAAUUCACACUAGCUAGAGAAAAUGGUGAUAAAGGCACUUAGAAAUUUAUAUGUAAUAUUGAUUGGUAGUAACUGAUAAGUAUAUAUUUUACGUGUUUUAAAUAUGUUUUAUUAGUUAGUUUUGGUGUGUUUUAACUACUUUUAUAACUAAUUAACUAGGAAUCUAGUGAAAAUAUGCAUUUUGUGGUUUGAAGUGUGAAAAUUGUAUUUCUAUGGAUUUUAAUGGUGAAAACUUCAUGUUUUUGUAGGUUUAAUGAUUCAAUCAUCAAAUGACAUGAUUUGAGAAGAUAAUUAGAUGAUUGAUGAUGUUUUGAAGUGAUAAAAAGAGAAUACAAAGUGCAAGAGAGGAAAUGCAAUCAAGAAUAAAAGAAGAAAAUUUUUGUAGCUUUGACAUAUUGUGGUAUUUUGGCAAUAUAUUGAGCUACAAUGAUUGGAUUAAGGUGAUUCUUAAACCAUUUGAAGCUAAGAUAUAGAUCUACAUUUGGUAUGAAGGCAUCGAAACCCAUGUCAGUCAUUUUCCUUGUCAAAAUGUUGAAAUACAGAAGUGCAACUCUGUUCUCGAAAGCUAAAACAGAGCUCUGGCUAGUCGAGGGUAUUUUCAUCAUUUCUUAGUCCACAGAGCUCCAAAUGAGAUGAUUCUUAAGGCAUUAGAACCCUAACUCAAAGAGCUACAACUUUCAUAUUUUGUACAAGAGUUAGUUCGGCCUCCAUCAUUCAGAAAAUAGUAGUUGAAGUGGUGCCAAAUGCAUAGAAGUGAAAACGCGAGCUAUCAAUACUCGACCUGAAGUCGCGUAUUCCUGAGGUCAUGCAUUCUCUUCUAUUUUCUGCAACUUGCCCUGCUUUCACAUAAUUUUUUCAUCUCAAUUCCAACUAUCAAUUUCGGCUAUAUCUGAUCAAGAAAAGUGUGGAAAGUUUGAAAGACAACUCAUAGGAGUUUCAAGAGUCAAAAAUUACAAUUAGAAACAACUCAUUUGGCUCUUGAAUCCUCUAUAAAUAGAGGCCUUUGAAGAACAUUUUCACAACUUUGGAAGGUUAGAGAAACUCCACAAAAACAUAGUCUUCACUAGAAUUUCCUUAGUUCAUUAGUUAGGGUAGUAUAGUAUAGUUAGUGUAGCUUUUCCUUCUUGUAUUUAUAGUUAGGUUUGAAUGAAGAUUCAGGAGCAAAGAUAGAGAGGUUGAUCUCAUGUGACAAGGGUGAUAUCUCUUCUACUACUUUCUCUUUUGUAUUUGAUUUCAUAUUUAACUAUACUACAAAUUUGGCUUUGUUUUUUUUUUUUAUCAUGUUUAGUUAAAGUUUAUGCCUAGAGUAUGGAUGACCUUUCUAUAUCUUGUUUGUGAUAUUUAACUGGUUAUUUGAUGAUGUUAUUUUUGAGCAAGUUAUUUAUCACUUUUGCUUUUCUAAUCGUGAUUAACUGGCCAUUAGUUGUGAUUAUCUAAAAGUGUUAAGUUUGUAAUGAGAAUUGGAGUUUAACACUAGUUCAAGGAAGUGAUAAAUUUAGGGAGUUCACUCAUGAGAGUAGAGGAACACCUUUGUGACCUAAGUGACUUGUUUCAUAUAAUUUCAUAGAAAAAAUGAACUUGUAAUUAAUUUCAUAACCACGAGAGUAAGUAUGGUUUAGCUAUAUGUAUAGUUGAUUCACUACGAGAGUAGGUUUCACAUACAUUAGAAAAUUACAUCAUAACUAGUCAAGAUAAUAUCAUUCAUUUAAUCAGUAAUCUCAUUUGCAUGAGUAGUAAGGCAUUCCAUAUCUCUAGGAGGUUUUUAGUAUUAUUUUCAUUACUUUUAUGUUUAUGGUAGUCUAGAUAAUAAUGGAGUUCAAAAACUACUAGUAAUUGAAAAUUUUCCCUGUGGGAUCGACCUUUAAUACCCUAUACUCGCUCUCGACUCGUAUACUUGCGAAAAAUCACGUGUGCGGUAUUUAGAAUUUAUAAAUGUAAAACUUGACUGUAGAUGAACUAAUUGAUAUAUGUAUACCCCGCACUCGUCAGUAACCAGCUUGUAUUGAUCCCAUUAUUGUGGAUAAUUGUGCUCUUAUGAAAAAAAAUUAUAAAAAAAUUAGCAAAAUUUAUGAUAACAAAUUAAAUUUAUUCAUACAAAUCAGUGAAAGAAGUAGAAUUUUAAAGACCAUGAUGAAAUUAAUACUUUCAAGGGCUCUAUUAGGAAGACUUCACUUGUUGGUGAAACUACACUAGCACAGUUAUAUGCACAUUUACUGUUUUGGUAUCUAAUUUCCUUGCCUUAAGUUGGGUGCAGAUGUUUAUAUUACAAAUAGAUGGUAUCAUAAAAUUGUUGUAUUCACGUUUGUUCUUUUUUUUUCUUCCUUAAGUUUUUUUCUUUAUUCUCGUGACUUCAAAAAUACGAACUCAAGAAAUUGGCUGCUUAAUCAAUAUGUCAUACAGGCUUCGCUAGUGAGGUAUAACUUCACAACUAGAGUCAAUAGAAAUUAUCAAAUGAUUUUUUAACAUCCAAAUUAAGCAAUAAAUUUUGUUUUCAUUUUAUGACAUAUAAUAGUACUACUUCAUGAGAGAUUUUAUAGUUUCUUUUAGGUAUCAUACCUACAAGUGAUAUUUGUCAUUGGAUAGUGACAGAAGUGUUAAUGAUUGUAAGAUUAAAUAUUGUUAAAUAUUGAAAUUUAAACUAUUUAUCUUUAUUGAAAGAUACAAGUUAAAGAAUCGUUCAAGGGGGCAAUUUUCCAUCUUGUCUUUUUGAAAAAACGCUAUCACAUUGUAUAGGCAUGAUAGGUUCAAAUUUGUCAUUAAAUUUAUGAUUGAUUUCCCUUUUAUUCAAGCCAAAUAUUGUUUUAAUUAUCAAAUUCUACUUAUAUUUGGUUAAUUGUACUAAUUGUAGGGCGGUAGAGCAAAAGUUGCUAAAAAUAGGUGAUUUUCUGCAAAUUGGUUGUCAAGGCUGAAGGAUUUGGGAUUCGCAUGUUCAAGGCCUGUUUCCAAGUUUGAUUCAAACUCUGGACAGUUUUAGAGGAAGAUUUGGAAGAUUUGAAAUUUCAUUAUUAGUUUUAUGGUUGAAUUAGGAAUCUUGGAAUAAUUUCUUUUGUGAUUUAUUUUUCUAUUUAGGAGACUAGUUGUUAUUUAGUAGUAGACUUCAAUUAGAAAACAAAGAGAAAAAGAAGGCCGGAAUCCCGCUUGAUUAAUACCUUGGCCAGGGAACAAUCUCGGUGGGGAGGACGGCCACUUAGCCUCUCAAUUCAUCUUGCUUUUCGUUAGUUUGAGAGGAAAACCAAUUGCAACUAGAUUCAAUGGAGUCUGGCAGAAUUUCUUCUAGGAUGCGUAGCUAAAUCCUCAAUUUUUAGUCGAAGGUCAAUUUGAAAAUUCGGUUCCAAAUAUCUGUGAAAUCGAAUUAUUUUACUUAUUUCUUUUAUUUAUUGGUAUUCGCACGUUUUCUGAUUUAACUUUUUAUGAUUGUUUUGUUAUUUGAAUGUCAAGGGUCCGAUAUUCGAAUUAACUUAAUAAUCUACUGCCAAAUUAACCGGUUAAAUCCGUAAUUGUUUGAUUGAUUAAUAUCAGUGGCGACUAGCGUGAUUGGUCCCAUGUUAGGAAAACGUCUGAUCUAAUUUAAACAAACCGUCGUAGCGUGUUUGUUGAUUAGGGUUGGACUUUUCUAAUUCUUAAUUCAAUUGAGAAAUUAAAUCUCCCGGUCGUACCUAAGAUUAUUUUUUUGUUAGCGAAAUAGUUAAUGGUCGUACCUUGACUAUCGAAAAAGUAAGGAAGAGUUGAUUGUUUAUCGCGUGUACGACAACUAUAAUCAAUCUAUUAAUGAGUAAUUGAAUUAUCUUUGCAUCAGUAAUCAGUUGAAUGGACCGUGUCUGAAAAGUUGUACCUUUGGCUAGAGUCUUAUCUGUUGUUGAUUCAUUCAUAUCUAUCUUCAUGCGUUGUUUUAAUUUAGUUAAUUAGUUAUUUUUAUAAAAACCCCUCAUCUCUGGACUCUAAAAGAAAUAAAUUAUUUCUAGUUCCUGUGGAUUCGAUCCUACUCACCGCUAUAUACAAAAUUUGUAUUUUUUUGAAUAAAUAAUUAUUAUUACACAGGCUUGACACCUGUCAAGGCAAAAUUUCCUUAACUUCAUCAUCUGUAGACGUAAACUUUCUACGGGUGAUAUAAUAUAAGGAAAUUUUGCCUAUACGAUGUGAUAGCAUUUUUUCAAAAAAGACAAGAUGGAAAAUUGCUCCCUUGAACGGAAAAAAUCAUGAUCUUUCCUCAAACUAGUCUACUAGUCAAUUCUUUACAAAAGAAUACUCGCUCCUAAACAUAGCCUGUUCAUCUACACUGUCCCGCAGAAUUCUAGAAAGUUAGGCAAAACUAGACAAGUUGACAGGUAUAAUCAUACCCAAGAUCAGGAACAAGCAGUUGCACAUUUCAAAAUUCGCUGCUGCAACAGCUAAUUUGAUGACUUACAACACUACACGGUCAAACUUUGAAUGGCAAUGGAUCUUUUGUUGUACGUCAUGAUGUAAUUUUCAUGUUACAUACAUUAAUAGGUUGAUAUCUAUAUUCUUUAAAUUAUCAUGAUAAUACCCUUAAUUAGAUUUAACUGAUAAAAAGAACACGUGUUAAUAUACAAAAGUGUGUAACGUGAAUGUUACAUUACUGUAUUGCAGAAGACCUAUAGUCUCUUCAUAUCUCUUCCUGCACGUAUCAAUUCGUUUCCUCUAGAUAAUAAUCUCCCAACUCGUUUCUUUACAAAUGCACCUUUUAUGUUUUAUUACCUCCAAAAGCCUUUACAGGGUCUUUACCCUAAAAAUCAAUUCACCGACUCGCAUUUGAUGUCAGAAAUUCUUAAGACGAAUUCUACUUUACUCAAAGAUUGACUGUUAAUAAUGAGACAGCGACCAUUUUGUAUUAUUAGACCGUCCUUCUUGAUAGGUAAAAGAAAUAGAGAGGAAAGUGGGUCCGUAUAUGGUCUUUUAUUCAUAGAUAAUACAACAUUACGCCAUCGAGCAUUCACACAAUAUUUCAAAGUCAUAGCAUGCCUAAGGCCCUGUUUGAUAGCUCAAUUUCGUAAUUAAAUUUAAUAGAUUCAAAUUUUAACACAUUUAAAUCAUUUGAUAACAAAAAAUUGAAUAUUUAAAUUAAUUAAGUAACACUGAACUUUCUAAACAAAACUUGCUUUCAAAAUUAAGUGAUAAGUUAUUCACUUAUCUUUGAAUGUGAUAUGCACUCAAAUAUAUUAAAUUUAAUAAUUUAAUGGAUUCAGAUUUCAGAUUUCAGUUUUAUUACACACCCUAAGUUGCAAAAUAAUACCAAAACUUGUUAUUAUAUAGCUUGAGAUUCAAAAAUUUAGAGCAUAAUUCUCAACCUAACACAAUCGAAUAAUGAAUAUUCACGAUUGUUUCAAAGUACAAUUUGAGGACAACCCAUUCCAACGCGUACACGAUUUUUAACUUUUCUAAAGUUGUUGAGAGCUGUUAAAAGAGAUUUACCAUGUUUACAUCUUCCAAGUCUUGGAAGUGAAAAAUGAAGCCACUGAGUGCUAUAAAAAGGGGGCUAGAGGCUGCCUAGAAGCAUAUCAGCCUAAAACAAGAAUUUGUAGUAACAAUGGGGAGCAAAGCAAAAGCAACGGGGUCUAGGCUGACUCCUCUUCUUACCACUGUUUUAGUGGUAUUUGUCGCCCUUGGCUUGCCCUUGGAAACUGCAGCUGAUUAUUACAAGUAUUCAUCUCCUCCUCCUCCUCCUUACCACUAUUCUUCACCACCACCUCCAGUGUAUUCACCUCCACCAACCCCUGCUUAUAAGUUACCCCCACCAUCUCCUCCAGUUUACAAGUCCUCACCACCACCUUACCACUACUCACCACCUCCGGUGUAUUUACCUCCACCAUCUCCAGUUUACAAGUCACCACCACUACCCCCUCCGGUAUACAACUCCCCGCCUCCACCAGUGUACAAAUACAAGUCCCCACCACCACCUCCUCCAGUUUACAAAUCUCCAUCGCCACCAGUUUACAAAUACAAGUCACUCCCACCACCUCCUCCGGUAUACAAGUCUCCUCCGCCACCUGUUUACGAGUACAAGUCUCCUCCACCACCUCCUCCAGUGUACAAGUCCCCACCACCUCCAGUUUACAAGUACAACUCACCUCCACCUCCUCCCCCAGUUUACCUGUCUCCACCUCCACCCUAUCAUCACUACUACGGUUCUCCUUCUCCUCACCACUACUAAGCAAGUGCAUAAGUUUUGAGGUAAUAAUACCUAUCCAAAACUUUAUCAACACAAACUGCCAUGUAUAUUAUCAUGCUAAGGACGUACACUUGAUCCAUGAAAAUGACUAGUAGAAGAUUUUUUUUAAGAACCAAAGAAAUACAUUAUUUUUUCGGUCUGUUUUCAAGAAUUUGAGCAGUAUACAGAUUAAAGAGUGUUUUUUUUUUUGUAAACUUGCUUGUCAACUUAAAAAUGCACAUAGCUGAAAGCCAACUGAAUAUUUGCAGGCAAAGGAGAAGGCAAUCGGUGUUUGAGACCUUCAAGAAGAUGUAGAAGAAUAAGAAUAAAAGCCCAAUGCGAGGAUGAUUCCAAGUUUCUACGUUACCAUUUCUACAUCUAAAUUGACUUUAGCUCCUGAGUUCCAUGUUUAUGGGGUUUGUACCGUUUUACGUACCAUGCAGUACAUGCUUGCAAGGUUUUCUGUCCUGUUGGCAAACUGCAGGUCCAUAUAAUAAAUGAAUACUAUUUACAUUACGACACUUUUCUCUUUUUCUCUUAUAUUUUGUCUUUAAUAUUGUUGAUCAUUUUUUUUUUAUCAAAAGCAUCAAAUGCUUAGGUAAUUUGGUCUAAUGCUAAUUGUUUUACUUUUAUUUUUCACCUACACCCCUUUUCAACUCAAAGGAUGCUAUAGUUUGUGAUAAUUGUUUAAGACCGAAGCAUGAUACUAAUAAAUAUCUCAUUGAAAGUCAAGGAAACUAACAUUAGGAAAAGUUUAAAUCUUGAUUUGAUGAAACUAUUUAUUCGUGGAAUUUAGAGAUACAAAACUCAAAUUGUGACGGUGUUGUUGCUAAAUUAUUAAGGACAUUAUCACCAUUAUUUUUCCCUGAUCACUAGUUUCAACUGCAAUGAUCUCAAUCUUUUUGUGACUAAUUCUUUCCUUAAUAAUUUAUAAAGACAAAACUCACAAAGAAUAUGUGACUAAUUCUUUCCUUUCGUCUUCUAAAGAAAAUGCCAACUGUUAGUUUAUCAAGGGGAAAAAGGAUCGACAUCAGUUAUUAUUGAAACUAGUAAGGAAUAAAUAAUGGUGAUAAUGUCCUUAAUAAUUUAACAACAGCACCAUCAGAAUUUGACUUUGAGCUUCGGUCUUAAACAAUGAUCACAAACUACAGCAUCCUUUGAGUUGAAAAAGGAAGUAGGUGAAAAGAAAAGUAAAAAAUACAAUUAGCAUUCCCUCAAAUUGUAGAAAGUUAGGUAGCAUUAUAGACAAGUUGAUAGCGGCAAUUUUACAUUUCAAACUUCACCUAUUCAAUAACUAAUUCGAUGGCUUGCUACAUGGUCAAUCUUUGGACCCCUUCCUGCCUCCAGAUAUCCCUUUCCUCAAUCAGGGGCUUCUACAAUUACCAGUUUCAAUUGUAUGGUAUAGUGUAAAUAUCAACAAAUUAGAUGUAGAUGCUAACAUAAUAAAUGUGAAUGCUAAGACAGCAACAUACAAUCGAACCUGCAAUUGUAUGAACCCCAAUCUCGCUUCCUAGUCCACCAUCUUUCUCUAGGUAAUAAUCUCCCUUCUAAUUUAUUCACAAAAUGCACCUUUCAUCACCUCCAAUAGCGUCGACAUGAUCUUUACCCUAGAAGACUAUUCACCGACUCUCAAUUGACGUCAGAAAAUCUAAGAGUAAUUCUACUUUACCCUAAGAUUGAUAUCAACAAGACAAGGACAAUUUAGAAUUAUUACACGCCUCUUCUUAAUAGGAAAAAGAAAUAGAGAAGAAAGUCAGGCCAGGUCUAAUUUCUUUUCAAAGGCAAUACAACAUUACGAAAUCAAGCAUUCAUUCAUACAAAUAUUUCAUAGUCACCGGUUUGCUGAGUAGAAAAAUUUAGACAAAAACUUAAUAUUAUAUUGUUUAAGAGUUAACAAUUUAGAGCUUAAUCUCCUUGUACUUUGGAGUUAACAAUUUAGAGCUUAAUCUCCUUGUACUUUGGACUAAACUUGAACGUGAAAGGAAAUCCCAAAACCAUAUUGGGCAUGAAUUCACACUUAAUAUACCCAAUAAAAGAUGGCGACUGGUGAAAGGCAGUGGAGACUGGUGGAGAGAUUUGAGGAAUAGAAGCAGACGGAAAAGCAACAAAUUUUUGCCGAAAAACGGUCACUUUCAUGGUUAAUUUUGCUACUCUCCAAUUGUACUUGACCAAUUACAACAAUUUCAUGGAGUUUGAUACGUGAAAAGAAUUUUUUAUAAAUUUUAUUUUGAUCCAUAAUGUUAUCUUUACAUAUAUAAAACAUUUUACAAUUUUGAUUUUGGCGCAGCUAACUUUUGGUUAACAAAAAUGCUCAUGUUUAAAAAACCAGAAAUAAAACAAAACAAGAAACAAAAGAAAUAAGAGGGUAGCAUAGACAUUUUGGAUUUUUCCGUUAAUUUGGAUGAUUUCCACCCACGUUCUAAUUUAAUCCAAAACACAAAGGAAUUACGUAGAGGUUUUAAAUAAUGAGGGAGCUUCAUGAUCGAACCCCAAACCACAAGGCGAUUUACUAUAUUUUACUCUUAAAUUUUGGUUUCAUCUCAUAGCAUACAAGAGUUCUAUUUCACUAUCUGUAGACAAAGACUUUCUAUGGUUGAUGUACCAUAGGAAAAAAUCUGCCUAUACAACGUGAUAGCAUUUUUUCAAAAACACAAGAUGGAAAAUUGCCCCUUAAACGGGGAAAUUCAUGAUCUUUCGUCGAACAAAGAAUACUCACGCCUAUUCAAGAUGGAAAAUUGCCCCCUUAAACGUCUAUUUGUCAAUUCUUGAAAAAAGAAUACUCACGCCUAAAACACGGCCUCUUCAUCUGCAGAAUUCUAAAAAGUUAGGUAAACUCUAUAAACAAGUUGAUAGGUACAAUCGUACCCAAGAUCAAGUACAGAUAGUUGUACAUUAACUGCUGCAAUAACUAAUCUGAUGACUUAUAAACAUAUCAUGGUCAAUCGUUGAAUGGUAAUGAGUCUUUUGUUAUGCAUUAGUAUUAGUGUGUACACUCUAAUAGAUUGAUACUUAUACUCUUUAAAUUAUCAUAAUAAUACCCUUAAUUAACUUUAACUCUUAAAAAGAAUACAUGUUAAUACACGAGUGUGUGUAACCUGAAUUGUUACUUAUAAAUUAGUGUGUAAUAGAUAGGGAUGGCAAUGGGGGCGGGUGCCCGCGGGGGGCUCUCGGGGCGGGGGUUGGGGCGGGGGGGAAUUUUUUCCCCCCGUUUAGAAAUGGGGCAGGGGACGGGGGAGUAUACCCCCGCCCCAUCCCCCGCAAAAAAAAAAUUAUAUAUAAUAUGUAAUUUAAUUAGUUAUAAACUUAUGAUAAUGAUAUUAUUAGUUAGAUGUAUUAUAUAAUGUAUAUUAGUGUAUGUAAUAUAAUUAAUAUUAUCAAUUAUAUGAAUAAUUAGACAUGUCUACUAAUAGAAUUUAUGAAUUAGUUAUACUAAAUUUACUAAUACAUUUAUACUAAAUUUCUAAUUACACUUAAUAGAAUAACACUUUUUUCUAAAACAAAAAAGCACAAACACAAUAAUGAAUUAGUGAUUGUAUGAUAGGGUGUAAUUUUACUAUUUAUUUUAUUAUUAAUUUCCCCUAUCACCUGACCUGAUGUGGAUUAAUUGCUGGAUUCUGCUCACUUUUAGUACUUUGUAUUUAUUUCAGGGAGUAGAACGGAAAUUUGAUAACAGGUGCUAAUUUGGCAGAAAAAGAGUCCAGAUGAUAGAGCUUGCCCCAAGGGCAUUUUUGGAAAGGAGAACUUGUGCCCAUCUUGGUAAUUUGGGAGAAAAGGGAAACAGACAAAAUGGGUCUAACAUGGAUUGGAAGCGGCCGCACAGUAGCAGGGAAGAGGGCAGACGUAAAAGCAAUUGCAGGGGGGAAAAGGAGUUUUUUUAGUUUUUAGCUUAGCAUCUGAUUUUCCCUGGGAGACUUUUGUUAAAGAUUUCCUUUUGGCUGAUAUUACGCAUGGCAGAUGGCUUUUAACUUAUUCCUCCAUCUUUGACUUUUCUUCUUUAGCUUGUGGCAGUGGAUUGCUACUUACGAAUGUCAGCACUUAGCCAUUCGUGGCUUUUGAUCUUUUCUUCCUUAGAAAUUCUGAGUAACCUCUUUUCCUUUGUGCGCCAGACGAAGUGAAAACUAUAAACUUUUGUAGUUUUUCUAUUCAUUCAAUAUAUUGAGACGAGUUGGAUUCUACCAAAUUUCAACGGACAUGGCCGCUGGUUUCUCUUCAAUUUUAUAUGGGCUUUGUUCAUCCAACAUGAACUAAUUUCACCACUCUAGUCAAGGAGCAACGAAGGCUCUGAUUUGCCUAAAAAUUGUGAGAUCGUUUUAAUUUAAUCUUUUCCUUUUAUUUAUUGGUAUCCGCACAUUUCUUGAUUGCUAUGCUUAUGGUUAUUUAAUUAAUUGAUUGUCUUGGAUCCAGAUAAUUAAUUGAUCUGAUAGCCUAUUGUCAAUUAGGGCAUUUAAAUCCGUAAUUGUUUAAUUGUCCUGAAAUAGUGACAACUGGCACGAUUAGAUUCGUGCCAGGGGGGAUAUGCGGGCUAAUCUAAAAUAACCCUGGUAGUGUGUUAUUUGGUUAGAAUAGGGCUCCUCUAAUACUAAGGCAAUUGGGGAAUUAAAUUCUACGGGCGUACCUAGGAUUAUUUCUUAAUUAGAGCAGUGAUUAACGGGCGUACCUUGAUCACCGACACAGUAAGGAGGGGUUGACCGUCAUCGCUUGUUUGGCAGUUAUAACCUAUUUAUCAGUAAAUAAUUGGGAUUGCCUUGCAUCAAUGAUCAAUUAGGUGAACCAUUGUUGAAGUUACUUCUUGGUUAGAUCUUUAGUUAAUAUUACCUUGAUUUUGGUGAAUUGCCAUUUGAUUUUUAGUUGCCUACUUUAUUUUAUUUUUAAUUGUUUCCUUGCUUUAAUUGAGUUAGGCCUUUAAUUAUUGUUAUUCUAAGUUUAGUGAAUUGUGGUUUAAUUCCUAAUUAGUUAUUUAUUUUUACUUUCUUAUUUGAAUUUAUUUGCUUGUUAUCAUUCCUACGAAAUCACCCCCCUGUGUUACUUUGGAUUUCUUAAGAAACAAAUAUACCCAAUCCCUGUGGAUACGACCCUACUUGCUCUGUUCACGAAUUCAUAAUUAUUUGUGAAAAGAAAUAACCAUUCCACUCGGGUAUAUCGGAUCAAGCAAAUUCUUCGGGAACAGGGUGAAUCAAGUAACCCAAUGCACACCUAGAGUCCCUGCUCCAGUACUUGGAAUUGGGUUUUGGUCAUUUUAACUGGCAAUUAGGUUUAAUUUUAUUAUUGCACAGGCUGACGACCCUGUCAAUUUUUGGCGCCGUUGCCGGGGACUGGCGUUAUUAUUUGUUUCUUUUUAAAUUCAUUCUUUGUCCUAAUUUUCUGGUUUUCUUCUAGUGUAUGCCUCGAUCUUCUCGUACAGGUAAUUUGAUUUUUGACCCUGAGGUAGAGAAGACCGCAUGUAGAACGAGAAAGGAAACCAGACAGCUCAGAGAAGAGCACUCCAGUGCUACAUCUCAGAGACCCGAGUCAGAAGUUGAACUAACAGAUUCGUUUGGUAACACUUCGAGUGACUCUGACCAGGAGGAAGACACCAUGGCUAAUGCACGAACAUUAAGGGAGUUGGCUGCUCCUGAUUUAACUCAGCAGCCUUUAUGCAUUACUUUCCCCACUUUAAAUGAUAACAUUCCAUUUGAACUAAAAUCUGGUCUGAUUCAGCUUUUACCCUCUUUUCAUGGUUUACCAGGUGAAGAGCCGUAUAAGCAUCUGCAGGAGUUUGAUGUCGUGUGUAAUAGUAUGAAACCCUCGGGAAUCACAGAAGAGCAGAUAAAAAUGAGGGCAUUCCUCUUCUCCUUGAAAGAUUCUGCGAAGGACUGGCUGUACUACCUGUCACCAGGUAGCAUCACCACGUGGGACCAAUUGAAGAAAAAAUUUUUGGAUAAAUAUUUUCCUGCGUCCAGGGCUGCAAGUCUAAGGAAAGAAAUUUGUGGGAUCAAGCAGCAUCCAGGGAAGUCACUUUAUGAGUAUUGGGAACGGUAUAAGAACUUGUUGCGCAGGUGCCCCCAACACCAAAUAAGUGAGCAAUUGAUCAUACAGUAUUUUUAUGAGGGGCUCCUUUUUAGAGACAGGAGCAUCAUUGAUGCCAGGGGGGAGGGUUGGGAUGGGUGGUACGGGGGGAGGGAGUGUAAGCAAGAGGUCUCGGGUUCGAGUCCUCCCGCUUACACACAAAAAAAAAGAUGCUGCAAGUGGAGGGGCACUGGUAAACAAAACCCCUCAGGAAGCACGGGAGUUAAUAGAGGGGAUGGCAGAGAAUUCACAACAAUUCAGUACAAGAGAGGAUGUCCCAAUACGUAAGGUGAAUGAGGUAGAGACACCCUCUAUGCAGCAGCAGCUAACUGAGUUGACCGCGUUUGUUAGGCAACUGGCUGUGAGAAAUGCAUCACAAGCCAGGGUGUGCGGGAUUUGCACUGGUAUGGGUCAUUCUGCAGACAUGUGCCCAAUGAUUCAGGAAGAAACUGCAGAACAGGUGAACAUGGCUGACCACGCGCCCGCGCCAAGGAAGCAGUACGACCCUUACUCAAGCACCUACAACCCCGGGUGGAGAGAUCAUCCCAACCUCAGUUAUGGAGAAAAUAGGCAGCCCAACAUUACACCGAACAGGCAGUCUAACUUUGUGCCAAAUAGGCCACCAGGGUACCAGCAGCAAUAUCAACCCCGACCACCUCCGUCCCCAAGCUCUGGCCCAUCUUUGGAGGAGAUGAUGAAACAAAUGAUGACAACUAUGGCUCAAAAUCAGCAAAUGACGGAGGCAACCAUUAUGCAAAAUCAGCAAAGGACGGACUCCGAAAUGAAGGAUAUAAGGAAUCAGAUAAGUCAAAUGGUCACAACAAUCAACCGUUUGGAUUCCCAGAACCAAGGUAAAUUGCCAUUUCAGCCCGAAUUAAAUUCGAAGAACGUGAGCGCAAUGACCCUAAGGAGCGGGAAAGAAAUUCAGGGGUCUGAACCUGUGAUCCCUAAGGAUAAGGAUGAGGAAAAGAUCGAAAAUGAGCUUGAAAGGGAGGACAGCAAUGGUGCAGAUCUAAAGGUACUUCCUGACCCAAUAAUUACAGCUAAAACUAACCCGCCUCCUUUUCCUAGCAGGUUGGAAAAAUCGAAAAAAGAGGAUAAGGAGAAGGAGAUCUUGGAGGUUUUUCGCAAGGUUGAGAUAAAUAUCCCCCUCUUAGACGCAAUCAGACAAGUACCAAAAUAUGCCAAGUUCCUAAGGGACUUGUGUGUCAACCGAAGGCAGUUGAGGGAAGAUGAACGGGUUAUUGUUGGGGAGAAUGUGUCAGCAGUCCUGCAGAGAAAGCUCCCACCAAAGUGCGGGGACCCAGGUAUGUUUACUAUUCCCUGUAGGAUAGGUAAUACUGUGAUAGAAGGGCCAUGUUGGAUCUGGGAGCAUCAAUUAAUCUCAUACCUAAAUCUAUCUAUGCUUCUCUAAAAUUAGGUCCAUUAAAAGAAACUGGAAUAAUCAUUCAAUUAGUUGACCGAACUAAUGCAUAUCCUGAUGGGUUGGUUGAAGAUGUGUUGGUAAAAGUUAAUGAUUUGAUGUUUCCAGCUGAUUUUUAUGUACUUGAUAUGGAUGAUGAUCACUCCCCUGAUCCCUCACCUCUGUUAUUGGGUAGACCCUUUAUGAGCACAGCACAGACGAAAAUUGAUGUUAAUAAGGGUAUCUUGUUCAUGGAGUUUGAUGGGAAAAUUGUGCAUUUCAAUAUCUUUGAUACUAUGAAAUAUCCCUCAAACUCCAACUUUAGCACAGUUUUCUCUGUGAGUGCUAUUGACCCUGUAGUGCAGGAAGUGUUUGAAACUGAUGGCAGGGAUGAGUUGGAGGUGGCUUUGACCAAGCACCUCGAGUUGGAGACAACUCCUGAGGUGGAAUGGAGCGAGGACCUAAAAUGCACAAUAGGUGCAUUACACUCAUUGCAGUCCACCACGAAAAGGUAUGAAGUCUUACCUAUUUUUACUCCCGAACCUCACCAGAGGGUGUUGCCAUCUGUGGUGCAGGCACCUGUACUAGAAUUUAAACCUCUAUCAGAGCACCUGAAAUAUGCAUAUCUGGGUGAUAAUGAGACACUCCCGGUGAUUAUCUCAUCGACACUGUCAAAAAUCCAGGAGGAGAAACUGAUCCGGGUCCUUAGAGAGCAUAAAGAGGCGAUAGGUUGGACAAUCGCAGAUAUUAAGGGGAUCAGCUCGGCCAUCUGUAUGCACCGGAUUAGACUAGAAGAGGAUGCCAAACCUGUUAGGCAGGCUCAAAGGAGGCUCAACCCCCUAAUGAUGGAAGUUGUAAAGAAAGAAAUUUUAAAAUUGCUAGAUGUGGGGAUUAUUUUUGCAAUAUCAGAUAGCCCUUGGGUAAGCCCGAUCCAGGUAGUCCCAAAGAAGGCAGGGGUGACGGUGGAGGCAAACCAAACGGGUGAGCUCGUGCCAGUGCGCAAACCCACUGGAUGGAGGCAGUGUAUAGACUACCGUAGGCUAAACGCCGUCACCAAAAAGGACCAUUUCCCUCUCCCUUUCAUUGACCAAAUGGUUGAACGUUUAGCUUGUAGAGCUUAUUAUUGCUUUUUGGAUGGAUUUUCAGGAUACUUUCAGAUAGCAAUUGCUCCAGAGGAUCAAGAGAAGACAACCUUCACGUGCCCGUUCGGGACCUUUGCUUAUAGACGAAUGCCAUUUGCGUUGUGCAAUGCACCUGCAACAUUCCAGAGGUGUAUGGUAAGUAUUUUUUCUGAAUAUGUGGAGAAAAUUAUUGAAGUUUUCAUGGACGAUUUCAGUGUGUAUGGUGAUAGUUUUGAUACGUGUUUAGAUAAUCUGAAAUUGAUCCUGAUAAGGUGUAUAGAGACUAAUCUUGUGCUUAAUUGGGAAAAAUGUCAUUUUAUGGUUGAGCACGGGAUAGUCCUGGGUCAUAUUGUAUCGUCUAAGGGCAUAGAAGUUGACAAGGCUAAAAUAGAUAUUAUUUUUGCAUUACCUUACCUCGCGAGUGUGCGGAAGGUGCGUUCUUUUCUUGGACAUGCAGGUUUUUAUCGAAUGUUCAUCAAGGAUUUUUCAAAAAUUGGAGCCCCGUUAUUCCAACUCCUACAAAAGGAUGUGACCUUCGAAUUCGAUGAUAAGUGUGAGGAAGCCUUCAACAAGUUGAAAGAAUUGUUGACCUCACCCCCAAUUAUCCAGCCCCCUGAUUGGAGUCUACCAUUUGAGAUCAUGUGCGAUGCCAGUGAUCAUGCCGUAGGGGCUGUAUUGGGGCAAAGAGUAGGGAAGGCAGCUCACGUCAUCUACUAUGCAUCCCGAGCAUUGAAUGGAGCCCAAUUGAAUUACUCCACUACUGAAAAGAAGCUUCUUGCAGUUAUUUUUGCUUUAGAAAAAUUCAGGUCAUAUUUGCUAGGUGCUAAAGUAAUUGUAUUUUCUGACCAUGCAGCAUUAAGGUACCUAAUGACCAAGAAAGAUGCCAAACUGAGGCUCAUUAGGUGGAUAUUGCUACUGCAGGAAUUUGACCUGGAGAUACGGGAUAAAAGGGGCUCAGAGAAUUUAGUAGCUGACCAUCUGAGUCGUAUACCCGUUGGAGAGGAUAAUGAACCAUUGAGGGAUGCGUUCCCUGAAGAGCACUUAUUUUCUUUAAAUUCUCAGUUGCCUUUGUAUGCCGAUCUGGUCAAUUAUUUGGUAACUGGUAAUUUUCCUGCAGGUUGACCAAAAUCGAAGAGGGAUAAAUUGAAGAGCGACGCCAAGUAUUUUAUUUGGGACGACCCGUACCUAUGGAAGAGGUGUGCAGAUCAAGUGAUGCGGAGAUGUGUAAGUGAAAUGGAAUUUCAAUCGAUUUUAGCUUUUUGUCAUACUUUUGCCUGUGGAGGUCAUUUGGACCCAAGAGAACUGCUCAUAAGGUUUUAGAAAGUGGAUUUUAUUGGCCUUCAUUGUUUAAGGAUGCCUAUGUGUUUUGUAAGUCAUGUGAUCGCUGUCAAAGGGUAGGUAAUAUACCCCGUAGAGAUCAAAUGCCCCAAGUCCCGUUGAUUUUUAUUGAAAUUUUUGAUGUCUGGGGUAUAGAUUUCAUGGGGUCUUUUCCUACUUCAUUUGGUUUUUUAUAUAUUUUGCUGGCAGUUGAUUAUGUGUCUAAAUGGGUGGAGGCUAAGGCCACUCGAACUAAUGACUCGAAAGUAGUUGCAAAUUUUGUCAGGUCUAAUAUUUUUGUGCGAUUUGGAAUGCCUAGUGCUAUUGUCAGUGAUAGGGGAACGCACUUUUGCAACAAAAUCAUAGCUGCGUUGUUUCGCAAGUAUGGUGUACUCCAAUGGGUCUCAACGUCGUACCACCCUCAGACCAAUGGUCAAGCGGAGGUGUCGAAUCGAGAGAUCAAGUCUAUCUUGGAGAAAAUGGUGCGCCCCGAUAGGAAAGACUCGAGUCAAAGGCUGGAGGACGCACUUUGGGCCUAUCGGACGGCGUACAAGACUCCUAUAGGGAUGUCACCGUACAGGUUGGUAUUUGGGAAGCCGUGUCACCUUCCAGUGGAGUUUGAGCACAAAGCUUUUUGGGCGAUAAAGUAAUGCAACAUGAAUUUAGAGGAAGCCGGUGCCCAACGAAAGUUGGAUUUGCAAGAAUUAGAAGAGAUCCGGAACGAGGCUUACGAAAAUGCACUAAUUUAUAAGGAGAGAAGCCGGAUAUUUCAUGAUCAACAAAUUUCAAGAAAAUCCUUUGAAGUUGGUCAGAAGGUCCUACUAUACCAAUCCAGGCUCAAGCUAUUCCCAGGUAAACUACGUUCCCGUUGGAUUGGACCUUUUCUUGUUACUCAUGUUUUUCCAUAUGGUGCAGUUGAAAUCCGGAGCGCUAAAACAGACAACAAAUUUGUGGUGAAUGGACACCGUCUCAAGCAUUACUACGAAGGAUUUUCAGGUGAAAAGGUGGAGACAAUAAGUCUAGACGCGCCACCGUGUCCUAAUCAGUGACAUUUUACUAUGUCUAGCCAAAGACAUUAAAGACAGGCGCUCAUUGGGAGGCAACCCAAUUGUCCCUUUUAAUUAUUUGUUUGAUUUCGUGUGAUAGUUUAAAUAUGUUUUCCUUGAAUUCGACUGAUUUUGGGUUUCAGUUUUCGUUUUUGCUGAAUUGUAGGUGACCUUCAGUCUUGACGCGCCCGCGUGAUGACAUGCAGGAAGCUCACGAUCAGAAUCGUCUGAAAGCUCUCUUGCCCUUUUGACGCACCCGCGUGAUGACGUGCAGGAAGCUCACGAUCAGAAUCGUCUGAAAGCUCUCUUGCCCUCUUGACGUGCCCGCGUCACGUUCGCAGGAAAGGUACGGGUUUCAAAAAUUUAAAGAAAAAAUAAUAAUAAUAAUAAUUUAAAAUUUUGAAAUUAACUUCCGUAAAAAAAAAAAAGAAGAAAAAAAAUUUCACCGUGGCUUAAAUAGAGCCUAAAGAAGAGAAAAAAGAAACAAUUUCUUUCUUUUUUUUUUCUUUUUCUUCUUUCUUCCUUCUUUCUUUCUUUCUUCUUUCUCUUUUCCCUCUCUCUUCUCCCCUGUUUCUUCUCCCCUGUCCGUCGCCCGUGCGCCCCAUCGCUGCUCCACCUCCACACGCACGCCGACGCUGCGAGCCACCUGCGACCCCAGCGCCAGAUCUGGACCAUCGCCGAAACCCGCAGCCUCCGCCACCUCCACCUGAGCUCUGCCUCGCGCGCAACCCAGCUGCUCUGCGCCCGAAGCUCCACCGCCGCCACAGCCUCCCCACGCAGCUCCCUGCUCACGCGGCCACAAGCCCAUUGGAAACGGGACAGAGACUGCCGCCGAGCCACUUGCCCGCGUGACCGCCGCUGUUUUCCACCACCUCCCUCACGCGAGCUCUUUCCCUCUCAGCAGCAAUCCACUUCACAGCGCACCCGCUGCGCGCCGUCGCAGCCCUCGCAGCUCCAGCCCGUCUGGUCUAGUCCGCCGCGCGCACCAACCACCCACGGACGCUACCCCCAUCGCUAACCCACGCGGCCUCCACUCCAGUCUGUCCGCCGCCGCUGCUCGUGUCUCCCUUGCGCACCUCACGCCACCCGCUACUGUCCCCUUCCGUUUGGUUAGCAUCCACGGUGGAGGUAAUUGGAGGUUAUUUUCUCAAUUGUGUGACUUCCGCCUGUGAUACUGGUUGCAUUAUUUUUGCUGGGAAUUGCUACUUCUUUUGGGUUGGGUUCAACUGUGCAAUUAAUUGGCCAACUGGAGCCAUUUGUUGGGAUUUUGGGUGAGCUGAAAUACUGCAUUUGUGUGUUACAUUGGGAGGUUUAUUGGGUACAUUCUAACCGCUGUUUUCCAUUGUUACUCUCGCUGGGGUGUCUAUUAAAUUGCGAUUGAAGUAUUUUGGAUAUUGCAUGUUGAGAUUGAGGUUUCAUUGAAUUUGGCCUACGUUCUGCCCCCAGUGGUACUGGUGGGAAUAUUUUCAAUUGAAUUUGUUACCUCUAGUUGGUUGGCUACAUUAUUAUGGUCGAAUUCCUAAGUUGUCGUCAUUGCAUUUGUUGAUCUUGAUUUGGGGCAUUAACCGGCCAACUGGAGCCAUCUGUGCGUUUUUAGGCGCUAUUAUUGGUUUCUUCUCCCUUAACUUUGUCAACUAUAUUUGGUUGGGUAUUUGGUUGACUGCCACGGACUUGUAACUGUGUUUUGCUUCUAAUUGACCAGUUGCACAGCAGUUUUUUUUUAAUUGAUAGGGUGGUUAUACCUCUGGAUAUUUGUAUCCACUGGUUUGAGGACAUGGUGAGACCAAAAUCCUCCUCUAGGUCUAGGACCCCUAGAACCUCGCAAUCCCAACCCCAAGCCUCUACUCUAGUCAAUACCCCUAUAAAUCAACCUACUGCUCCCGGUGUCCGAACCUGGUUAGGUAGGGGUAGAGGUGCCCACGUGGCUUCCGCCACUCACUUGGGAGGGCAUUUGGAAUUCACUAGAGCCGCCGAUCAGCGACGCUAUGCUCAAGCUUGUGAGCGGCGUAUCAUUCCGUGCAAAUGCGCGGACCACAUUACUAUGGUUUUUCUGGGGAUCCAAGGGGAGGUUGAGCGCAUGUACACCGCCAUUGGAUGGCGCCCCUAUCUGGAUAUUUUCCAGCCAGCCUUUGUCGAGUUGACUAGAGAGUUUUACACCACUUUUAAGUUUGAAUUACCGACUAGGUAUACUGUUGCGACUCCCGAUAUCAUUCACUUCCGUCUCAUGGGCCAGGAAUUCAAUUUCUCUAUCACCCAGUUCAAUCUGGCUUUCGGUUUCAUCACUCGGGAGUAUGCAGAGACUAGGGAAUACGGUGAGAGUGCCUGCGAUUUUGUGGAACCUUUCCUUACCGCCUACCGUGAGGUGUGGGAGGACAUGUCUGUGGACAUGCAGCGUUACGAUCCCUCUCGGUCUCGGAGCUCCUUUCUAGAGGACCCGAGUGCUCGGUAUGUUCAGCGGCUUUUAGCAUAUAGCUACUCGGGCAGAAAGAACAGCUUCGGUAUUAUCUCUCGGCCGGAGCUCUUCUUCCUUUGGUGUAUGAAGAAUGGGUUCAAGGUCAAUUUGGGUUGUUGGUUGGCGGCACAGUUCAAGACCGUCAUGGCAAAGAAGAACAAGCCGUUGAUUCUUGGGUCGUAUAUCACGUACUUGGCGGUCCAGCUAGGCGUUCUGAAUCUACAGGAUCACGAUUUGCACUUGGCCUGCGACAUGGAGUAUCUCACUGCUGACCGGCUAGAGAAGAUGGGGGUUCUGGAGCUUGUCGAUGGCCACUACCGAUUUGUGCCCCCGGGACCGCCCCGCGCCCCGCCUCGCUCUUCCUCCACCCAUUCGGCCCCAGUUGGCGGUGAUCCUGGCCCGUCGACAUCCGCUCAGCUCCCUCCACCAGCAGGGGCUGAAGAUUGGCACCAAAUCAGGACGCAGAUUCAGAAUUUGGACGCCCGGAUGAUUAGCAUCGAGAGCAACGUGGCGGCUAUAUCACAGAAUCUGGCGGCAUUCCUGCAGCACUCGGGUUUCCCGCCCCCAAUCCCACCUCACCCUCCACUAUGACCCGGUUUCAGGGAAGUUUGGUUACUUUCUCCCUCACUUUUGUUGUUUUUUGACACAUUGAGGACAAUGUGUCCUAUAGGUGUGGGGGGGUCUAUAGUCUUUCUAGUUUUUAGUAGUUGUUAGUUUUUAGUUUUUUAGUAGUUUUAGUUUUAUUUCUAGUUGCGUAUUUUCUUUCUUUUCUUAGUGCUUAUUCCCCAUGUGAAAAGAAAAAGAAAACAAAAAAAAAGAGAAAAAAAUGUUGGUUUAUUGACUCUAACUCUACUUUUGCCAAGUUUUUUUUAAAUAAAAAUGUAUCGGGUUAAUGUGGUUGGAUCCAGAAUAUCUCCCUGGUGAAUAUCGGAUUGCUUGGCUCUUUUGAUUUCUGUGUUAAUUUCUCUAGGCAUAGGGAAUGACUGUUGGCAUUUUAAUGUGAACUGGUCCAAUAUUGACUCCAGUUCUCUAUGUUUGGCAAUAAUGAGGCGAGCUGUUCCUAUUUUUGGUUCUUAGUGUUGUUAUUAUGUGUUUUUGGCUUUGUUUGGCUGUGAAUAAUCUGGACUGUACUCCGCUAUGAGUUACUACUGAGUAACCGAGGAUCGGCACCUAAAAGUGUCGAUUCUCGCGUCAAAAGGUGGUACUUUAUAUGAGUACGUGGUCGUAUAGCAGUAGGAGCUGAGUAACCGGGCUCCUUCAUCUAAAAAUGUUGGAGUUCGCGUCAAAAGGCCCCGACGGCUAACGACUAAGUCUUUUUGUGUUAAUUAUUAUUGCUUUGAAAAACAAAAAAAAAAAAGAACGAAAAAAGAGAGAAUAAAUAAUAGGAAGGCUUGCCGGUUUAUGGACUUAAUAUGGAGACUUGUGUGAAUAUUUGGACCAUUAGCUAAUAAAUGUUGUGCGCCAUUCCCUUUUCUUAGAGUAGUUAACCUGGAAAUUGAAGGAAUUUGCAGUUUAGGGGCUAACCGGGGGGGAGGCUUCUUGGAUUUUAAUCACCAAUGCUCGAUAUAUGUUUUUCUCUUGAAGAUCUUGGCAAUAUAGGAGAUUGGACAAUGGCCAUCAUCGAAUUUUGGUGUUCGUUUACUAUUCUUAUGCUUGAGGACAAGCAUGGUUUAGGUGUAGGGGGAAUUGAUAGGGUGUAAUUUUACUAUUUAUUUUAUUAUUAAUUUCUCCUAUCACCUGACCUGAUGUGGAUUAAUUGCUGGAUUCUGCUCACUUUUAGUACUUUGUAUUUAUUUCAGGGAGUAGAACGGAAAUUUGAUAACAGGUGCUAAUUUGGCAGAAAAAAGUCCAGAUGAUAGAGCUUGCCCCAAGGGCAUUUUUGGAAAGGAGAACUUGUGCCCAUCUUGGUAAUUUGGGAGAAAAGGGAAACAGACAAAAUGGGUCUAACAUGGAUUGGAAGCGGCCGCACAGUAGCAGGGAAGAGGGCAGACGUAAAAGCAAUUGCAGGGGGGAAAAGGAGUUUUUUUAGUUUUUAGCUUAGCAUCUGAUUUUCCCUGGGAGACUUUUGUUAAAGAUUUCCUUUUGGCUGAUAUUACGCAUGGCAGAUGGCUUUUAACUUAUUCCUCCAUCUUUGACUUUUCUUCUUUAGCUUGUAGUAGUGGAUUGCUACUUACGAAUGUCAGCACUUAGCCAUUCGUGGCUUUUGAUCUUUUCUUCCUUAGAAAUUCUGAGUAGCCUCUUUUCCUUUGUGCGCCAGACGAAGUGAAAACUAUAAACUUUUGUAGUGUUUCUAUUCAUUCAAUAUAUUGAGACGAGUUGGAUUCUACCAAAUUUCAAUGGACAUGGCCGCUGGUUUCUCUUCAAUUUUAUAUGGGCUUUGUUCAUCGAACAUGAACUAAUUUCACCACUCUAGUCAAGGAACAACGAAGACUCUGGUUCGCCUAAAAAUUGUGAGAUCGUUUUAAUUUAAUCUUUUCCUUUUAUUUAUUGGUAUCCGCACAUUUCUUGAUUGCUAUGCUUAUGGUUAUUUAAUUAAUUGAUUGUCUUGGAUCCAGAUAAUUAAUUGAUCUGAUAGCCUAUUGUCAAUUAGGGCAUUUAAAUCCGUAAUUGUUUAAUUGUCCUGAAAUAGUGACAACUGGCACGAUUAGAUUCGUGCCAGGGGGGAUAUGCGGGCUAAUCUAAAAUAACCCUGGUAGUGUGUUAUUUGGUUAGAAUAGGGCUCCUCUAAUAUGUAAGGCAAUUGGGGAAUUAAAUUCUACGGGCGUACCUAGAAUUAUUUCUUAAUUAGAGUAGUGAUUAACGGGCGUACCUUGAUCACCGACACAGUAAGGAGGGGUUGACUGCCAUCGCUUGUUUGGCAGUUAUAACAUAUUUAUCAGUAAAUAAUUGGGAUUGCCUUGCAUCAAUGAUCAAUUAGAUGAACUAUUGCUGAAGUUACUUCUUGGCUAGAUCUUUAGUUAAUAUUACCUUGAUUUUGGUGAAUUGCCAUUUGAUUUUUAGUUGCCUACUUUAUUUUAUUUUUAAUUGUUUCCUUGCUUUAAUUGAGUUAGGCCUUUAAUUAUUGUUAUUCUAAGUUUAGUGAAUUGUGGUUUAAUUCCUAAUUAGUUAUUUAUUUUUACUUUCUUAUUUGAAUUUAUUUGCUUGUUAUCAUUCCUACGAAAUCACCCCCCUGUGUUACUUUGGAUUUCUUAAGAAACAAAUAUACCCAGUCCCUGUGGAUACGACCCUACUUGCCCUGUCCACGAAUUCAUAAUUAUUUGUGAAAAGAAAUAACCAUUCCACUCGGGUAUAUCGGAUCAAGCAAACUCUUCGGGAACAGGGUGAAUCAAGUAACCCAUUGCACACCUAAAAUCCCUGCUCCAGUACUUGGAAUUGGGUUUUGGUCAUUUUAACUGGCAAUUAAGUUUAAUUUUAUUAUUGCACAGGCUGACGACCCUGUCAUUGUAUUUGUACCAAAAGUGAAAACUUAACUAUUUUAGUUGUAUUUAUUUCAUCAUGUUGGAUUGUAUUCAAAUAAUUUUUGUUUGAUUGUUUUUAUAAGUUUCAAUUGUAAAAUUAAAAUGAAUAAUAACUUGAUGAUGUGUUGAUAUUUUAGUACUUGAUUAUUUAUUAAAAUUUAAUUAUAAUAAAAUUUUAUUAACUCAACGAGAAAAAUUUUAUUAAUCCCGUGGGGGCACCCGCGGGGAAAGCGGGGCGGGGCGAGGGGAGUGGGAGGCGGAGGACGGGGCGGGGGCGGGGGAUGGGGGAGGGGUCCCCCGCCCCAACCCCGCCAUCCCCCGUCCCGUUGUCAUCCCUAGUAAUAGACUGGCAAGCAUUGUGGUGGUCAUUGAGCAACUUAUAGGAGAAAUAGUCCUAUAAGCUGUUCAAUGACCAAUCACAACUUGCUAAUUGGAUGACUAAUAUAGCUCUAGCUGUAAUGUUUUAAUUAAAUUACAUCACUAACGUUGGGAUGACUUUUUAACCAAAAAAAAAAAGCCUUAGUUCAAGCUUUUCCCUUUAUUGUGCAUUUUUUAAAGCAUUUGAAAGGCACUGCAAAUCUGUCAUUUUGGACAUUUUAUUAUUGACUAACAAUGAAAGCCGUGGACGUCUACCCAUAACCAACACAAGAUUAAAUUAAUAUUAGAAAAAAUAAUUGAGUAAUUGGAAAAAAAAAAAAAAGAAGAGUCUAAUUUUCAUUGAAACCCACCGACAAACUAUACGUGUCCAUGGCUUUUGAAUAGUGCAUUCAACGUUUAAUUGUAUGGUCCAGUUCAUUGCAGAUUACAUGGAGUAAAGAUUGCGCUCUUUCCUUUUCACCCCUUUUGGAAUCGAUACUGUGGAGAAUUGGGUUUUUCCCUCCUUUUUUUCUUUUCUUUCCUUCUGUGGUUUGCAAAACAUACGUAAAAAUAUGAAAUCCGAAGCAUUCUUUAAUUGGUAUUAAGUAUUGUUGUUGAAAUUAAAAAGAAAAAAGAAAGAACAACAAAAUUCCCAAUCUGGGUUGAUUGUUGAGCUCUAGAUUGGUUGCAUCGUGCUUCCAUAGAAGCAAGAUUUGUAAAAUCGGAAUCCUACAUAGGAUCGAUUUUAGUUUCACAGGAUCGGAUUGUAAAAUCGUAAGAUCCUACCAAAAGCUCUCAAUUGCAAUUAAAGGUUGCAAUUCUUUAAUAAAUUACAAAUAUACCACAAAUAUUUUCAUUUACUUGCAAAAUGGAGCUUCGUAUUUCACAAAUUUACAAAAAAAUUGUAGGAUCGUACGAUCCUACCGAUCCUACGAUCCUACACGAUCCUACCGAUCCUGCUACGAUUCUAUGCGAUCCUACAAAGAUUAAUAUGAUUUGCGACUCUGCAUACGAUCCGGAUCGAUUUUGGUUAUCCGGAUCGUAGGAUCGUAUGAUCCUACGAUCCGGAUCGCGAUUUUGACAACUAUGCAUAGAAGCUCUCUUAGUGUGAUACACUGCUUUCAAUCAGUUUAACACGGGAAAAAAAAAAAGAGAUGAAAAGCAAAUUUGGUGGAGAUAAUUUCAGAAACCUCCCCUGAAGAUUUUGACUAUUCUACUGGUUUCCCUUCAGAUUUUAAAAAUUACACUAAUCUUCCUUGAAGUUAAUUAUCUUGUAACAUUUAAAUUCAAUCAAUAAUUUAAAAAAUGAUAUUAUGAGAGAGAAAAUAAUAUGAUUUUAUCAUUGCCCCCCAUCUUACUACAUUAUUUAAUUAAUUUAAUAGCAACCCACACAUUAAAGAAAAAUAUUAAAAUUUGUUGUUUAUCAUUAAAGAUCAAAUCGCUUAUAACAUCAAAUAAUAGUAUAUUAUUUAUAUUUUUCACUUAAUAUAAUAUCCAAAUUACUCUUUUCAAUUACAUACCCAUUGUUAGAGAAUCAACAACAAAUAACCAAAAAAUUUGCAACCAAAAUAUUACAAAAAAAAUAAACUUUAACAUCAUAAAUAUUCUUAUCAACAUAUUAAAGUUAGUUACUGAAAUUUUUAUGCUGUUAAACUUCACUCUUUUUGAAUACAGAUUUUUUUGAUUAUUUGUUAUUAAUUAUGUUUGAUGAUGGGUUUAUAAUUGAAAAGAACAAUUUGAAACUUACAUUAAGUAAAAUAUAUAGAGUGAUAUACUAUUUUUUAUAACAUAUGUGAUUCAAUCCUUCUUGAUAGGAUUGGUAAUAGAGGUAGAGGGGGGAGUCGGCUGCAUCCGGUCUUCUUUUCAUAGAUAGUACAAUAUUGCGAAAUCAAUCGCAUUCACACAAUAAUAUUUCGAAGUCAAUGCAUGGCUAAGUUGCAUAAAAGUACGAACACUUGUUAUUAUAUAGCUUAAGAUUCAAAACUUUCGAGCAUAACCCUCCACCCAACACAAUUGAAUAAUGAAUAUUCACGAUUGUCAAAUCUGUCAAAGCACAGUUUGAGGACAACCCAUUCCAACCUGCAAAAGAUUUUUUACUUUUCUAAAGUUGUUGAGAGCUGUAAAAAGACUUACCAUGCUUGCAUCCUCCGAGCCUUGGGAGUUAAAAAUGAAGGCACUGAGUGCUAUAAAAAGGGGAAUAGAGGCUGCCUAGAAGCAUAUCAGCCUAAAACAAGAAUUUGUAGUUAAGAUGGGAAGCAAAGCAAAAGCAAUGGGGUCUGGGCUGACUCCUCUUCUUGCCACUGUUUUAGUGGUGUUUGUUGCUCUUGGCUUGCCCUCACAAACUGCAGCUGAUGAUCACUACAAGUAUUCAUCUCCUCCUCCUCCUUACCACUAUCCCUCACCACCACCACCAGUGCAUAUACCUCCACCUCAUCCUGUUUACAAGUACAAAUCUCCACCACCCCCACCACCACACCCAGUUUACAAGUAUAAGUCACCACCACCACCUCCUCAUCCGGUAUACAAGUAUAAGUCUCCUCCGCCACCACCACACCCAGUUUACAAGUACAAGUCACCACCACCACCUCCUCAUCCGGUACCACACCCAGUUUACAAGUAUAAGUCACCUCCACCACCUCCUCAUCCGGUACCCACAGUUUACAAGUAUAAGUCACCACCACCACCUCCUCAUCCGGUAUACAAGUAUAAGUCUCCUCCGCCACCACCACACCCAGUUUACAAGUAUAAGUCACCACCACCACCUCCUCAUCCGGUGCCACACCCAGUUUACCACUACAAGUCACCACCACCACCUCCUCAUCCGGUACCACACCCAGUUUACCACUACAAGUCACCACCACCUCCUCACCCAGUUUACAAAUACGAGUCUCCACCACCACCAGUUUAUAAGUACAAGUCACCACCACCUCCUCCACCAGUUUACAAGUAUAAAUCUCCUCCACCACCACCACCAGUUUACCACUACAAGUCUCCACCACCUCCUCCCCCAGUUUACAAAUACAAGUCUCCACCACCUCCUCACCACUACUAAGCAAUUGCUUCUGAGGUAAUAACACUUGUUCAAUAUACCCACUUCUGCAUGAUAAAGCAUAUCUCUAUCAACACAAACUGUCAUGUCUAUCAUGCUAAGUGCCUUCACUUCAUCCACCAAAAUGACUGCUAGAAAAUUUUUUUUAUGUUACCAAAGAAAGGCAUCAUUUUUUCCCUCUGUUAUCAAGAACUUGUACAGUAUAUAGAUUAAAGAGUAUUUUUUUAACUAGCUUAUCAACUGAGAAAUGCAUAUAGCUGAUAGCCAGCUGAAUAUUUGCAGGCAAAGGAGAAGGAAACCAUGUUUGAGACCUUCUUGAAGAUGUAGAAGCAUAAGAAUAAAAGCCCAAUGUGAAGAUGAUGAUUUCAAGUUUUUCUACGUUACCAUUUCUUUAUCUAAAUUGGUUGUAGCGCCCAAGUUCCUUUGUUUAUGGGAUUUGUAUCGUUUUACGUACCAUGCAGUACAUGUCAUGUUUGUAAGGUUUUCUAUCCUGCCGGCAAACCGCAGGUUCCAUGUGAUAAAUGAAUACUAUUUAUGUUACGACACUUUUCUCUGUUUCUCUUAUAUUUUGUCUUUAAUAUUCUUAAUCAUAUUUUUAACAAAAAUAUUCAAACACUUAGGCAAUCUGGUCUAAUGCUAAUUGUAUGUUUUACUUUUCUUUUUCACCUGCUCCCCUUUUCAACUCAAAAGGAUGCAAUAGUUUGUGAUCACUGUUUAAGACGGAAGCAUGAUACUAAUGAAUAUCUCAUUGAAACUCAAGGAAACUAACAUUGCGAAAAGUGUAAAUCUUGAUUUGAUGCAACUAUUUAUUCGUGGAAUCUAUAGUUACAAAACUCAAAUUCUGACUGCGCCAUUGAUAAAUUAUUAAUGACGCUAUCAUCAUUAUUUAUCCCUAACUAGUUUCGACUACAACUGAACCCAAUAUUUUCCCCAUGAUAAAAGUUUUUGACUAUUUUACUGGCCUCUCUUCAAAUUUUAAAAAUUACACUAAUCUUCAUUGAGAUUAAUUAUCUUGUAACAUUUAAGUCCAAUUAAUAAUUAAAAAAUGAUAUUAUGAGAGAGAAAAUAAUAUAAUUUUAUCAUUGCCCCCCAUCUUGCUAUAUUAUUUAAUUAAUUUAAUAGCAACCCACACAUUAAAGAAAAAUACUAAAAUUUGCUGCUUUUCAUUAAAGAUCAAAUUGCAUAUGCCAUAAAACAUAGUAUAUCAUUCUAUAUGUUUCACUUAAUGUAAGAUCCCAAUUGUUCUUUUCAAUUACAAACCCAUUGUCAAACAUGAUCAAUAACAAAUAAUCAAAAAAUUUGCAACCAAAAUAUUACAAAAAAAAACUUUAACAUCAUAAAUAUUCUUACCACCUCUAGUGCAUUCACCCUCAUAAAAUAAUUCAAGACCCUACUGUCAUAAAAUGACUGAUCAACUCCUGUAAACCUAAUUUGACAACAUUUAAAUGGAGAACUUUAGCUAAAAGAAUUAUGGUCAAGCUAAAGAAAAAACCAGUUAUUUUCCAACAUAUGCAACCAUUGAUCAGGGGAAAAAAAAAAGCAAAAAGACAUCUUCAAUCAUUUAAUAGCUUACAGGGCAAAUUAACCCUUGAGUGAAAACUGGUUGCUCUAGAAUUAAAAUUUUACCUUAGUUACCCAGGCAACUUUUUUGUUGCCUUUUCUUUUUCUUUUUUGGGUAUAUAGCUCCAGUUUUGCCCCCUCUGUCAAGCUUAUAUAAUUAUUAAGAUAAUAAAAGUGCCUUUAAUAGUAUUAAUAUAUCCAUUGACUUGAGCUGUCAUCGAUCGGUUUGGGCUACUUCGAUUCCAUGAGAACAAAUGGUAAUAAAAGUACUCAGAAAAUGGGGAGUCAUGAAACCCUUUUGUUCUAUUCAUUGCUAAGAUGCUUUUCUCUAUAAAGAGACUUCCUAACGAAAAUACUUUGUAGAUUUCUUUACUCCAAGUGGUGCAUGGAAAAUUAAUAUUUUCAAUUAUCAAAUAAAAUUCCCUUUUUUCGGCGUAGAUUUCAUCCAUCCAGCUGUUAACACAUUCUAUAAAUCCGAAUUGACUAAUCUUUUCGUUUCCAUUUUCCAACUUGCGAAUACGGCAUAUAGUGUCUGCUAAACACUAUAUAUUCUCUGCCAAAUAUGAAUACAUAUCACUUUUCUGAGCAAGUGCAGAGUCAUUAUCAUUUUUAUUCCCACCUAACAAAUUAGGGAUAAAAAAGUUAAUAAUCUUUACAUGCUAUCAGGUCACAAGUUAAUAAUCUUUUAAAGAACAUGUUAAAUUAAUUUAUUGGUAUGAAUAGUAGUCAAAGAAGUAUGUUAAAGUUAGUAAUCUUUAAAAUAAUAUGUUAAAAUCAUUCGUACAAAUUAGUCAGAGAAGUAGCAUAAACACCGCGAUGCAAUUAAUACUUUCAAUCUCAAGGUCUCUAUUAUGGAAAUUUGCAUCGGUCAAUAUACACUUGGCAUAAUAUAAUCUCCCAACUCAUUUCUUUACAAAUGCACCUUUAAUCACCACCAAAAGGUGUGGACAUGAUCUUUACCCUAGAAAACUAUUCACCGACAGGCAAAUUGACGUCAGAAAUACUGAGGAAUUCUAGUUUCCUUCGGGUUCAUGCCAUGUUGUAUCCUUCAACUGUAACUCGAUUUCUAAGCUGUAAUUUGUGACAUAAUAGUCCUUAAACUAUGAAACCCUUCUUACUUAAUUACAAUGGUUAAUACAAUGCCCGUGACUAGACAAGUAUGAAGCAACCAUAACAGAAAAAAAAUCCAAAAUUAGAGAAAAGAAAGAAGUUUCGCGACCACCACCAGUUUACAAGUCACCUCCACCACCUCCUCCAGUUUACAAGUCACCUCCACCACCUUACCAUUAUUCCUCACCACCACCUCCAGUGCAUUCACCCCCACCACCACCAGUUUACAAGUCUCCGCCACCACCUUACCAUUAUUCCUCACCACCACCUCCUGUGCAUGCACCUCCACCACCAAUUUACAAGUCACCUCCUCCAGUUUACAAGUCUCCACCACCACCUUACGAUUAUUCCUCACCACCACCUCCAGUGCAUUCACCCCCACCACCACCAAUUUAUAAGUCUCCCCCACCGCCUCCCCCAGUAUAUAAGUCACCACCACCACCUCCUCCAGUAUACAAAUCACCUCCACCACCUCCUCCAGUUGACAAAUCUCCACCACCACCAAUUUAUAAAUACAAGUCUCCUCCACUACCUCCUCCAGUGUACAAGUCAUCACCACCACCUGCUUACAAGUCUCCACCUCCUCCAGUUUACAGUUCCCCACCACCACCAAUCUACAAGUCUCCACCUCCACCCUACCAUUACUACUACAAUUCUCCUCCUCCUCCUCGUCACUACUAAGCAAUUGUAUCCAAGUUUUUGAGGUAAUAACGCUUAACCAAUAAAUUAACUUUCGCAUGAUAAACCUUAUCUCUAUCAAGACAAACUGCCAUGUGUAUCAUGCCAAAUACGUACACCUAGAUCCAUGAAAAUGAAUGGUAGAAAGUUUUCUUAAGAACCAAGAACAGCAUUAGUAUUCCCUCUGCUUCCAAAAACUUGUGUAUUAAAUAGAUUAAUGAAUUGUUUAACAUGCUCAUCUACUUGAAAAUGCACAAUACCCAUAACCCACUGAAAUUUUUGCAGGAAAAGGGAAAGAGAAUCUGUGUUUGAGAGCUUCAUGAAGAUGUUGAAGAAUAAGAAUAAAAGCCCAAUGCAAGGAUGUUUUCAAGUUUUUCUAUGUUUCCACUUUAAUUUGUAAAUUGAAUUUUGCGACUCAAUUAAUUCCCUGUUUGUGAGGUACGUAUUGUUUUACGUACCAUGCCGUACAUUUUUUUUUUCCAACAAACGGUAUCAUGUUAUAGAUAUUAACACUUGACCUUACAAGGAUUAGUUACAAAAAGGGGAUACUACCCUCAACUCUGUCCUAGCUAAAUCAGUCAGCCAUAUUGGGAAAUUAGUUUCCCAUUCAAUAUCAUGUACAAGCUUCACAGCAUAUUGUGCUAAUUGAUGGCUGAUGUGAUUUUCAGUUCUAGGUAUAAACACAAAAGAACAUUUUUCAAAAGCUAGACUAAGUUCCUGCACAUCUUCUAAGAUAGUUGCAGUCGUGUAGUCAUACUCCUUGCGUUUAGUAAUCUGCUCUACCACUGAUUUGCAGUCUGUAUGGACUAUAAUUUGUGUCCAACCUGCUUGGGUAGCCAUCAGCAGAGCAUUUCUCACAGCCCGAGCUUCCACUUCACUUGCCGAUCCCUUUCCCUGUGUGACAAUUCCUUUUGCUUUCAAAAGCUGUCCUUUCCAAUUUCUUGCUAUAAUCCCUUGUCCGGUCCUGACUCGUUUAGCUGAUAUCGCUGCAUCGGUAUACAGCCUUAUCUCUUCCUUCCUUGGCCGCACUCUCCUGGUAGGUAAGGCAUCAUUCAGCUUCCCUGCGAUCUCCUUCUGGUCUGUACUCCCUACCUGUUCAAACUCAAGCCAUUCCUCCUGUGCUUUCCUUACUAUUUUUACUGGAUCCUGGUUGGCUUGUUCAAAAAAUUUUUUGUUCCUGGCUUUCCAAAUUUGCCAAAGGAUAUUGAUAGUAAGACUAACUCUCUCCUGACCUUGGUUCAGUGCCAGCGAUUGUGUGACUUGUUCCCACCAUAACCAAAAGUUAUAUUGCAUACCCAGUAAUCCAUCCCACCUGACCGGUGCUAGCUUCCACGUUUCCACAGCCUUUUCACAGAAGAAAAACAAAUGCUCAAUAGUUUCCAUAUCUUCACCACAGCAACCACAUCUGCCUUCCCCUCUAUGUAGCCUUUUCGACAUCUGUUCAUUGACUGGCAGACAAUUUUGUAAGCACUUCCACAUGAAGUGUUUUAGUUUGGCCUUCACCUUCAAAUGCCAUAGCUGCUUCCACACAUUUCGUUUUCGUAUCUCCCAACUUGUUUCUGCCUCUUGGCCUGUCCUUGUACCUGCUUUUCCUUCCCGUUGCCUUGCUAAAGCAUAACCAGAUUUCACGCUAUAAAUUCCAGCUUUGGAAUGCCCCCAUACCAACCUAUCCUUUCUUCUUCCUAUACUUGUUGGAAUUCCCUUUAUGUGCUCUGCAUCUUUUGCACAAAACCACUUGAGAAGCAAAUCAUUUUUCCAUUUCCCUUCCUCUAUCAGCUCACUUACCCAUUCCAACUUGCAUCCCACAGGUUGUGUGGUUGAUGCAAAGCCGGUAUCUGAACCAACUAUCCAUCUGUCCCGCCACAUGUUGACUGACUUGCCAUCUCCAAUUCUUUUCCAAAGACCAUCAUACAGAAAGGAGGCUGCACUAUGAAUACUCUUCCAACACCAUGAGGCUGAAGAGACUGGCUUCUUGUCCAUCCAUUUUUCAUCACUCAUAUACUUCGCCUUCAUUACCUUACUUACUAACAAAUUUGGAGCCAUUAAGAAUCUCCAAAUUUGUUUUGCCAGUAAUGCUGUGUUGAAGGCCUCCAAAUCUCUAAAGCCUAAACCUCCUCUUCCCUUAACUUCUAAGAGCUUCUUCCAGCUUGCCCAAUGUACACAGGUACCCUUUUCUCCCUUCCCCCACCAGAAACUCGCUAUUUUACCUGUGAUUUGUCUACACAAACCCCUUGGAAGUCUAAAGCAAGCCAUCACAUAUGUUGGCAUAGCCAUAAUCACUGAUUUGACCAGAAUUUCUUUCCCUCCUUGGCUCAACAGUUUUUGUUUCCAACCUUGCAACUUGUUACUAAUUUUGUUCUGGACAAAUGCAAAGACCUGUGUCUUUGAUCUUCCAAUUGCCAUUGGGAGUCCUAGGUAGGUUCCAUUCCUUGCCUCUUUAAUGUUAUCUAAUACCUCCCUCACUCCAUUCUUCCUUUGAUCAGUGGUAUUUUUGCUAUAGAAGAUAGCUGACUUUUCAAAAUUCACCACCUGUCCGGAUGCUUGACCAUAUCUUUCCAAUAUGCUUUUGACCUUCCUCGCCUCCUGCUUGGUUGCUUGGCAGCAUAGUAGAGAAUCAUCUGCAAAAAAUAGGUGAGAAACCAUCGGACUGUCCUUGCAUAUUUUGAUCCCUGUAAUUUCCUUGUUCAUCAUAGCUUUAUGGAUCAAACAUGAAAGACCUUCAGCGCAUAUAAUAAACAAGUACGGGGAUAGGGGGUCUCCUUGUCUAAGCCCUCUACUCGGUUGAACACAGCCUACCUUUUGCCCAUUUAAGUUGAAGGAGUAAGUCACAGUAGAUAGGCAAGACAUGAUCCAUUUAACAAAAAUUGGACAAAACCCCAUUUUCAUCAUAACUCUCCCCACAUAUUUCCAUUCGACUCUAUCGUAAGCUUUGGACAUGUCCAGUUUAAGAGCCAUAAAUCCUACCCUUCCCUUUCUCCUAUUUUUCAAAAAAUGCAGGAUUUCAUGUGCAACUACUACAUUAUCAAGAAUUUGACGGCCUGGGAUAAAAGCGGAUUGAGAGGGACUAAUACAAUGAUGCAAGACACCUUUCAAUCUAUUAGCUAUGAUUUUAGAAAUGAUUUUAUACAGGACAUUGCACAAGCUAAUAGGUCUAAAAUGCACCACAGAUUCAGGAGUAUCAACUUUAGGAAUCAACGAAAUAAUAGUAUCAUUCACAGCUUUGAGCAAAUGCCCAGUAUGAAAGAAACUCUUAAUAGCUGCUACCACAUCAUCCUUGAUAAUAUCCCAAUAGUGUUGAAAAAAUAGAGGAGACAUACCAUCCGUUCCUGGUGCUUUAUUAGGGUGCAUCGAGAACAAAGCUUUCCUGAUCUCACUUUCCUCCACUUGUCGUAUCAGUUGUCCAUUCAUAUGACUCGAAAUAGUGCUUGGAAUUUCAGCUAGAAUGUCCUCAAAGCAGUCCGGGUUAGUAGUGGUAAAAAGGUCUUUAUAGUACUCACAAAGUUCCUCCUCAAUCUCAUGUUCCUCCUUGCACCAUGUCCCAUCUUUUUUCUGCAAUAUAGUGAUCUUAUUUCUCCUCCUCUUUGCCAUGACCGAAGAAUGGAAAAAAGCUGUAUUCUUGUCCCCUUCUUUGAGCCACUUGUUCCUGGAUUUUUGACUCCAAAACAUCUCUUCCUCUGCAUAAGCUUUAUUCAAUUGUGCUUUUAGUUCAGCCACUUGUACUCUUUUCCCUUCAUCCUUUCUUGCUUUCACUUCAGCCAAUUUCUCCUUUAACACUUUAAUUCUAACCUUUGAGUUUCCCUGCACCUUUUUCCUCCAAUCCAGAAUAGCCAUGCGACAUUCCUUUAUUUUUGUAGCCACUCUAAACAUCCUGGACCCUGACUUCACCUUUGUCCAUGCUCCUUGAAUCACCCUUUUUGCUUCUGGAUUUAGCGUCCAUCGUUGAUCAAAGUAAAAUCUCCGUUUUCUCCUUGUGUUUUCCGGGUUUGUAUCCACAAGAAGCAUUAGAUGAUCAGAGGCUUCAGUAUCUAAAUGAGUACACUGUGCCUUUUCAAAUCUUUGCAGCCAUUCGGUGCUGCAUAAACAUCUAUCCAACCUCUCUUUCACUUCCCCAUCCCCCUCCCAACUAUUGCACCAAAUCCACGGGACCCCUUGAUAACCUAAGUCAACCAGGUUAUUGUCUUUGAUAAACCUGUUGAACUCCCUAAAACAUCUUUCAGCUCUAUCCCUUCCUCCCCACUUCUCCUCACUAGACCUCAAAUCAUUAAAAUCUCCUACAAUGAUCCAGCCAUCCCCCCAGUCCCUCAUCCUGUCCUCUAAAUAUUUCCAUUGUGCUUUUCUAAUGUUACUAUCUGUGCUUGCAUAAACACACACUAGCCCCCAGUAUCCUUUAGUAUCCUUGUCCUCAACUCUAGCACUAAUACACCAAUCAGUACUUACAAUCUGGUCUAAAAUCACCUCAUUGUUCCAGAAUAAUGCUAGACCGCCUGCUUUACCUAUUGAAUUCACAAAAAAGCUAUUGUCAUACUGAAUCUUCCUUUGAACCUUGCCCAUAAACCCUUCCUGAUUCUUAGUUUCACAAAGGAACACCACCUUAGGAGAGUGGAAGUUAGUCACUUCCUUUAGUUGGGGACUUGUCAAGGGGCCUCCUACACCUCGACAAUUCCACACCACAACCUUCAUUUACACUUUGGAGGCUUUCCGGGGCUAGCCUCCAUUUCCCCUAUUGUACUAACAUUUAUUAGAUCCAGUUUCAUAACCUUUACCUUCGGUACAUUAUCAUCAUCCUCCUCUAUCGGUUGUGUUCCCUGAAACAUACCAUCAGCCUUCCUUUUAGCACACGAAACCUGCGUUACUUGUCCAUUUGUAUCUGCCUUUAAGGAUGUUUUAGCCGGCCUCCCUCUUCUUUUAAAACUGCUUCUUUUUUCAGCUUUGUUAUCUUCUUCCCCUGGAGUAGCCUCCUUUCUUGGCAUUCUUGCAUUUGUCUCCUCCUGCUUUAUUGACCCUACCCGCAAACUUUCACAUUCCUGUUUUGAGCUGUCCGUUUCCAUAUCCUCAUAAUCUACUGGUGGGAUUACGCUGCUCCCUCCUUUACUCCCUUCCUGUACCCUACCCUCCUUUUCACCAUUUCCCUCCAUUAAGACCACAGCCAAACUUUCCACCCGUUGGUUUGCCUUUCCAUACUGCCUGCUGUCUUUUAGAAUCUCAUCCCACCUCUCUUCAUAUUGUCUCGUCAUCAUUUUCUCCUUAUCCCCCCUUUCCUUUCCCCCCAAGACUCUACCAUUUUUUCCCCCAAGAGUUAAUGUAUCUCCAGCCAUUUGUACUCCAGUUUGAACUUCACUACUAGGAGACCCUGCCCCCACCCUCCUUGCAUCAAUUUCACUUACUCCUUCCAGCCGUCCCUUUAAGGGAGAUACCAUUAUAUUUCCAGCUCUCAUCCAGGCACCAUAUUGUUCCUCUCGCUUCUCCCCCCCACCCUUCCUACCACAGUACAAGUCCUAUCACUAUGCCCAAUGAUACCACACCUAUAACAGAAAUCAGGGCAGCGUUCAUACCUGAACUCAACCCACACUGCCUGGUUCUUACAGUUGAUCUUUGUCCCUCUAACCAGUGGUUUCGUUAUAUCUACCUCAGCCAUAAUCUUCAUGUGGCGACCCUCUUUCCCACCACUUCCUGGGAGAAUCACUCCCCUCACUGAUUUAAAGAUCCCUCCUAUUUUCAAACCCACUGCUCUGCUCAACCAGUGCACCGGUAGGUUCCAUAGUUGAAUCCAAAGAAAGGAAUGCUGGAAAAAGCUGCUGUUUGUAUCAUACCCCUCUACCCACUCCUUCACUAUCAGCAACUGGUUGUCCAUGACCCAAGGCCCUCCAGAUAAGAUCUUUUUCUUUUCCCCUUCAUCUCCCAGAUGGAAAUGGAAUAAGUUAGGACCUAACUCAGUCACUUUCAUCUUUGAGGGGUAUCCCCAUGCAUGAUUUGUAAAGUUCUUUAACCCCGUAAAGUUGGCAAUUUUUUCACCAAUCAGCUUUCCUACCAGGCUUCCUUGACACUCAGAGACGCCUUCUUCCAGGUCCUCACCACUCAGAUCGACACCUCCUAACUCUGUUUCAGACAAGUCAAAAUUUUGAAAGGCUCUUUCUAAAGCAUCCGCCAUUGCUGUGACGAGAGCUCCUUGAGAAACCAAGCACUAUUUCUGAGCUAUGAGUGACCCACUGACAGACCUGUGAAGAAUUGCAAAGACAGACAAAGCUGUGUUAUCCGUACACACUAAAAACCAACCAGAAAAACAGAGAGGAACUCGACAGAAAAAGCACAGGCACAAGAAGAAACGAAAGAAAAAAGAAAAACCAACAAACCACUAUCCCACUCCCGACCACAUAACAGCAUUAAAGAAAGGGACACAAAUACGACACUCCAACUUCCGAUCACAUGCUCUGACUCAAUGGAUCAUAUCUUGCCCAAAGCGUUUACUCCUCCAACCGAUUCCAAACCACUACAGACAUUGUCUCCCAUUUUGAAGCCGGAAGAAAGGUGGCUUCUGGACAGGGAACAUGAAAGCAAAGGUUGAACUAAAGAUUUGAUUUUAGAUCUGAAAAUUACGCUGUAGGAAAAAGUGCUAUGUGUUUGUACCUCACCCACUCUCCCACACCGAGGAGGGGAACCUCUAAAGUUAGAGAGAGAAGCUCUCAAGUUAGAGAGAAGCUUUGGAAGUUAAUUACCAACGUACCAUGCCGUACAUGUUUGUAAGGAUUUCUAUCCUAUUGGCAAAAGUCGGUUCCAUACAAUUAAUCAAUUCAUUUCACUUCUAUUGGCUCUACUAUUUAUGCAUGUUACGACACUCUUUCCCUUAUAUUUUGCCUUUAAUAUUAUGAGUCAAUAGUAAUAAUGGGCCUUUUUCUUAAAAUUAUACUAUUAUACAUAGGUAGUUUGGUCUAACGCUAAAUUCAUGUUUGUCUUUCUUUUAUUCCCUUUACAUCUCAAAGUAUACUAUAGUUUGUAAUCAUUGUGGUGAUGAUAUUACCAGCUGGUACUUAUAGUUUAAGGCAGAGACAUGAUAUUAACAACUAUCUCAUUGAAACAUAAGUCAAAAUCAUGACAAGUGUGAGUCUUGGUUAAUGCACAAUUUGUUAGUGGAAUUUAUAUUUAUAAAACUCAAAAAAAAUUUUUGACAAUGCUAUUACUAAUUAAUUAAGGACUUCAUUGCUAUAAUUUAUCGCUUACUAAUUUAAACUAUAAAUGAUCUCAAUACUUUUCUCCAUGAUGUCGAUUUCUUUAGACUACGAAAGGGAAAAAUUAGUGACAUAUCCCUUACUGAUUACAACAUCAGCAAAAAUUAGUUAUAAACUUUUCCGGUGGUUUUAAAUCCCUCGGGCACUAAGGUUUUUUGCACAUCGAGUGAAUUAAGGAACAUAGGCAAUUCGUUCUGCAUACCAAGUCCUUGUUUAAGAUGCACGUACUAAAAUGCAUCCACUUCAUUAAUUUGGAAAAUUGCCAUAGUUUUUUUUAAGCAUUUUGAUUUUUUACAUGAUUCAAAAUUUUCUUAUUGGAUACAAUCACUUUGUGUCAAGAACACAUUUUCAAUCAUCUUUUUUAUCUUCUCAAUAAGAAAAUAAAAAUUUAUUCAUGCUUUUCUAACAUAUCCAAUCAUUGAUCUGAAAAAUAAAGAAUUAAAAAAAAAAGACAUUUUCAAUCAUUGCUUACGGGGCAACUUCCCCAUGUGAACCUCAUCAAACAAAGCCAAUAAUAUGAAGGAACAUCUAAAUACACUUUUGCCCUAAAGGCUGGUUGCCUUGGGGUCAAAAUUUAACCUUCGGGAGUAUAAUUACCCGCCAAAUUUAUUAUUUUUUUUAUGGGUAUAUAGUUCCAAUUUUGCCUCCUGUUAAGCUUAUAAAUAUAUUACGACCCAGAAAAUAAAGGAAUCUUGAAUAGUAACAUGUCCAUUGACUUGAGUUGUUAUCAAUUUGGCUACUUCGAUUCCAUGAGGCCAAUCCAAUUCACACUAGCUAGAGAAAAUGGUGAUAAAGGCACUUAGAAAUUUAUAUGUAAUAUUGAUUGGUAGUAACUGAUAAGUAUAUAUUUUACGUGUUUUAAAUAUGUUUUAUUAGUUAGUUUUGGUGUGUUUUAACUACUUUUAUAACUAAUUAACUAGGAAUCUAGUGAAAAUAUGCAUUUUGUGGUUUGAAGUGUAAAAAUUGUAUUUCUAUGGAUUUUAAUGGUGAAAACUUCAUGUUUUUGUAGGUUUAAUGAUUCAAUCAUCAAAUGACAUGAUUUGAGAAGAUAAUUAGAUGAUUGAUGAUGUUUUGAAGUGAUAAAAAGAGAAUACAAAGUGCAAGAGAGGAAAUGCAAUCAAGAAUAAAAGAAGAAAAUUUUUGUAGCUUUGACAUAUUGUCGUAUUUCGGCAAUAUAUUGAGCUACAAUGAUCGGAUUAAGGUGAUUCUUAAACCAUUUGAAGCUAAAAUAUAGAUCUACAUUUGGCAUGAAGGCAUCGAAACCCAUGUCAGUCAUUUUCCUUGUCAAAAUGUUGAAAUACAGAAGUGCAACUCUGUUCUCGAAAGCUAAAACAGAGCUCUGGCUAGUCGAGGGUAUUUUCAUCAUUUCUUAGUCCACAGAGCUCCAAAUGAGAUGAUUCUUAAGGCAUUAGAACCCUAACUCAAAGAGCUACAACUUUCAUAUUUUGUACAAGAGUUAGUUCGGCCUCUAUCAUUAAGAAAAUAGUAGUUGAAGUGGUGCCAAAUGCAUAGAAGUGAAAACGCGAGCUAUCAAUACUCGACCUGAAGUCGCGUAUUCCUGAGGUCAUGCAUUCUCUUCUAUUUUCUGCAACUUGCCCUGCUUUCACAUAACUUUUUCAUCUCAAUUCCAACUAUCAAUUUCGGCUAUAUCUGAUCAAGAAAAGUGUGGAAAGUUUGAAAGACAACUCAUAGGAGUUUCAAGAGUCAAAAAUUACAAUUAGAAACAACUCAUUUGGCUCUUGAAUCCUCUAUAAAUAGAGGCCUUUGAAGAACAUUUUCACAACUUUGGAAGGUUAGAGAAACUCCACAAAAACAUAGUCUUCACUAGAAUUUCCUUAGUUCAUUAGUUAGGGUAGUAUAGUAUAGUUAGUGUAGCUUUUCCUUCUUGUAUUUAUAGUUAGGUUUGAAUGAAGAUUCAGGAGCAAAGAUAGAGAGGUUGAUCUCAUGUGACAAGGGUGAUAUCUCUUCUACUACUUUCUCUUUUGUAUUUGAUUUCAUAUUUAACUAUACUACAAAUUUGGCUUUGUUUUUUUUUUUUUAUCAUGUUUAGUUAAAGUUUAUGCCUAGAGUAUGGAUGACCUUUUUAUAUCUUGUUUGUGAUAUUUAACUGGUUAUUUGAUGAUGUUAUUUUUGAGCAAGUUAUUUAUCACUUUUGCUUUUCUAAUCAUGAUUAACUGGCCAUUAGUUGUGAUUAUCUAAAAGUGUUAAGUUUGUAAUGAGAAUUGGAGUUUAACACUAGUUCAAGGAAGUGAUAAAUUUAGGGAGUUCACUCAUGAGAGUAGAGGAACACCUUUGUGACCUAAGUGACUUGUUUCAUAUAAUUUCAUAGAAAAAAUGAACUUGUAAUUAAUUUCAUAACCACGAGAGUAAGUAUGGUUUAGCUAUAUGUAUAGUUGAUUCACUACGAGAGUAGGUUUCACAUACAUUAGAAAAUUACAUCAUAACUAGUCAAGAUAAUAUCAUUCAUUUAAUCAGUAAUCUCAUUUGCAUGAGUAGUAAGGCAUUCCAUAUCUCUAGGAGGUUUUUAGUAUUAUUUUCAUUACUUUUAUGUUUAUGGUAGUCUAGAUAAUAAUGGAGUUCGAAAACUACUAGUAAUUGAAAAUUUUCCCUGUGGGAUCGACCUUUAAUACCCUAUACUCGCUCUCGACUCGUAUACUUGAGAAAAAUCACGUGUGCGGUAUUUAGAAUUUAUAAAUGUAAAACUUGACUGUAGAUGAACUAAUUGAUAUAUGUAUACCCCGCACUCGUCAGUAACCAGCUUGUAUUGAUCCCACUAUUGUGGAUAAUUGUGCUCUUAUGAAAAAAAAUUAUAAAAAAAUUAGCAAAAUUUAUGAUAACAAAUUAAAUUUAUUCAUACAAAUCAGUGAAAGAAGUAGAAUUUUAAAGUCCAUGAUGAAAUUAAUACUUUCAAGGGCUCUAUUAGGAAGACUUCACUUGUUGGUGAAACUACACUAGCACAGUUAUAUGCACAUUUACUGUUUUGGUAUCUAAUUUCCUUGCCUUAAGUUGGGUGCAGAUGUUUAUAUUACAAAUAGAUGGUAUCAUAAAAUUGUUGUAUUCACGUUUGUUCUUUUUUUUCUUCCUUAAGUUUUUUUCUUUAUUCUCGUGACUUCAAAAAUACGAACUCAAGAAAUUGGCUGCUUAAUCAAUAUGUCAUACAGGCUUCGCUAGUGAGGUAUAACUUCACAACUAGAGUCAAUAGAAAUUAUCAAAUGAUUUUUUAACAUCCAAAUUAAGCAAUAAAUUUUGUUUUCAUUUUAUGACAUAUAAUAGUACUACUUCAUGAGAGAUUUUAUAGUUUCUUUUAGGUAUCAUACCUACAAGUGAUAUUUGUCAUUGGAUAGUGACAGAAGUGUUAAUGAUUGUAAGAUUAAAUAUUGUUAAAUAUUGAAAUUUAAACUAUUUAUCUUUAUUGAAAGAUACAAGUUAAAGAAUCGUUCAAGGGGGCAAUUUUCCAUCUUGUCUUUUUGAAAAAACGCUAUCACAUUGUAUAGGCAUGAUAGGUUCAAAUUUGUCAUUAAAUUUAUGAUUGAUUUUCCUUUUAUUCAAGCCAAAUAUUGUUUUAAUUAUCAAAUUCUACUUAUAUUUGGUUAAUUGUACUAAUUGUAGGGCGGUAGAGCAAAAGUUGCUAAAAAUAGGCGAUUUUCUGCAAAUUGGUUGUCAAGGCUGAAGGAUUUGGGAUUCGCAUGUUCAAGGCCUGUUUCCAAGUUUGAUUCAAACUCUGGACAGUUUUAGAGGAAGAUUUGGAAGAUUUGAAAUUUCAUUAUUAGUUUUAUGGUUGAAUUAGGAAUCUUGGAAUAAUUUCUUUUGUGAUUUAUUUUUCUAUUUAGGAGACUAGUUGUUAUUUAGUAGUAGACUUCAAUUAGAAAACAAAGAGAAAAAGAAGGCCGGAAUCCCGCUUGAUUAAUACCUUGGCCAGGGAACAAUCUCGGUGGGGAGGACGGCCACUUAGCCUCUCAAUUCAUCUUGCUUUUCGUUAGUUUGAGAGGAAAACCAAUUGCAACUAGAUUCAAUGGAGUCUGGCAGAAUUUCUUCUAGGAUGCGUAGCUAAAUCCUCAAUUUUUAGUCGAAGGUCAAUUUGAAAAUUCGGUUCCAAAUAUCUGUGAAAUCGAAUUAUUUUACUUAUUUCUUUUAUUUAUUGGUAUUCGCACGUUUUCUGAUUUAACUUUUUAUGAUUGUUUUGUUAUUUGAAUGUCAAGGGUCCGAUAUUCGAAUUAACUUAAUAAUCUACUGCCAAAUUAACCGGUUAAAUCCGUAAUUGUUUGAUUGAUUAAUAUCAGUGGCGACUAGCGUGAUUGGUCCCAUGUUAGGAAAACGUCUGAUCUAAUUUAAACAAACCGUCGUAGCGUGUUUGUUGAUUAGGGUUGGGCUUUUCUAAUUCUUAAUUCAAUUGAGAAAUUAAAUCCCCCGGUCGUACCUAGGAUUAUUUUUUUGUUAGCGAAAUAGUUAAUGGUCGUACCUUGACUAUCGAAAAAGUAAGGAAGAGUUGAUUGUUUAUCGCGUGUACGACAACUAUAAUCAAUCUAUUAAUGAGUAAUUGAAUUAUCUUUGCAUCAGUAAUCAGUUGAAUGGACCGUGUCUGAAAAGUUGUACCUUUGGCUAGAGUCUUAUCUGUUGUUGAUUCAUUCAUAUCUAUCUUCAUGCGUUGUUUUAAUUUAGUUAAUUAGUUAUUUUUAUAAAAACCCCUCAUCUCUGGACUCUAAAAGAAAUAAAUUAUUUCUAGUUCCUGUGGAUUCGAUCCUACUCACCAUACAAUCCAACCUGCAAUUGUAUGAACCCCAAUCUCGCUUCCUAGUCCACCAUUUUUCUCUAGGUAAUAAUCUCCCUUCUAAUUUCUUCACAAAAUGCACCUUUCAUCACCUCCAAUAGCGUCGACAUGAUCUUUACCCCAGAAGACUAUUCACCGACUCUCAAUUGACGUUAGAAAAUCUAAGAGUAAUUCUACUUUACCCUAAGAUUGAUAUCAACAAGACAAGGACAAUUUAGAAUUAUUACACGCCUCUUCUUAAUAGGAAAAAGAAAUAGAGAAGAAAGUCAGGCCAGGUCUAAUUUCUUUUCAAAGGCAAUACAACAUUACGAAAUCAAGCAUUCAUUCAUACAAAUAUUUCAUAGUCACCGGUUUGCUGAGUAGAAAAAUUUAGACAAAAACUUAAUAUUAUAUUGUUUAAGAGUUAACAAUUUAGAGCUUAAUCUCCUUGUACUUUGGAGUUAACAAUUUAGAGCUUAAUCUCCUUGUACUUUGGACUAAACUUGAACGUGAAAGGAAAUCCCAAAACCAUAUUGGGCAUGAAUUCACACUUAAUAUACCCAAUAAAAGAUGGCGACUGGUGAAAGGCAGUGGAGACUGGUGGAGAGAUUUGAGGAAUAGAAGCAGACGGAAAAGCAACAAAUUUUUGCCGAAAAACGGUCACUUUCAUGGUUAAUUUUGCUACUCUCCAAUUGUACUUGACCAAUUACAACAAUUUCAUGGAGUUUGAUACGUGAAAAGAAUUUUUUAUAAAUUUUAUUUUGAUCCAUAAUGUUAUCUUUACAUAUAUAAAACAUUUUACAAUUUUGAUUUUGGCGCAGUUAACUUUUGGUAAACAAAAAUGCUCAUGUUUAAAAAACCGGAAAUAAAACAAAACAAGAAACAAAAGAAAUAAGAGGGUAGCAUAGACAUUUUGGAUUUUUCCGUUAAUUUGGAUGAUUUCCACCCACGUUCUAAUUUAAUCCAAAACACAAAGGAAUUACGUAGAGGUUUUAAAUAAUGAGGGAGCUUCAUGAUCGAACCCCAAACCACAAGGCGAUUUACUAUAUUUUACUCUUAAAUUUUGGUUUCAUCUCAUAGCAUACAAGAGUUCUAUUUCACUAUCUGUAGACAAAGACUUUCUAUGGUUGAUGUACCAUAGGAAAAAAUCUGCCUAUACAACGUGAUAGCAUUUUUUCAAAAACACAAGAUGGAAAAUUGCCCCCUUAAACGGGGAAAUUCAUGAUCUUUCCUCGAACAAAGAAUACUCACGCCUAUUCAAGAUGGAAAAUUGCCCCCUUAAACGUCUAUUUGUCAAUUCUUGAAAAAAGAAUACUCACGCCUAAAACACGGCCUCUUCAUCUGCAGAAUUCUAAAAAGUUAGGUAAACUCUAUAAACAAGUUGAUAGGUACAAUCGUACCCAAGAUCAAGUACAGAUAGUUGUACAUUCACUGCUGCAAUAACUAAUCUGAUGACUUACAAACAUAUCAUGGUCAAUCGUUGAAUGGUAAUGAGUCUUUUGUUAUGCAUUAGUAUUAGUGUGUACACUCUAAUAGAUUGAUACUUAUACUCUUUAAAUUAUCAUAAUAAUACCCUUAAUUAACUUUAACUCUUAAAAAGAAUACGUGUUAAUACACGAGAGUGUGUAACCUGAAUUGUUACUUAUACAUUAGUGUGUAAUAGAUAGGGAUGGCAAUGGGGGCGGGUGCCCGCAGGCAACCGCCCCGCGGGGGGCUCUCGGGGCGGGGAGGGGGGAAUUUUUUCCCCCCGUUUAGAAACGGGGCAGGGGACGGGGGAGUAUACCCCCGCCCCAUCCCCCGCAAAAAAAAUUAUAUAUAUAUAAUUAUAUAUAAUAUGUAAUUUAAUUAGUUAUAAACUUAUGAUAAUGAUAUUAUUAGUUAGAUGUAUUAUAUAAUGUAUAUUAGUGUAUGUAAUAUAAUUAAUAUUAUCAAUUAUACGAAUAAUUAGACAUGUCUACUAAUAGAAUUUAUUAAUUAGUUAUACUAAAUUUACUAAUACAUUUAUACUAAAUUUCUAAUUACAUUUAAUAGAAUAACACUUUUUUCUAAAAAAAAAAGCACAAACACAAUAAUGAAUUAGUGAUUGUAUUUUUACCAAAAAUGAAAACUUAACUAUUUUAGUUGCAUUUAUUUCAUCAUGUUGGAUUGUAUUCAAAUAAUUUUUGUUUGAUUGUUUUUAUGAGUUUCAAUUGUAAAAUUAAAAUGAAUAAUAACUUGAUGAAUAAUAAUGUCAAUCGUUGAAUGGUGUGUACACUCUAAUAUUAUGCAUUAGUAUUAGUGUGUACACUCUAAUAGAUUGAUACUUAUACUCUUUAAAUUAUCAUAAUAAUACCCUUAAUUAACUUUAACUCUUAAAAAGAAUACGUGUUAAUAACUCUUAACCUGAAUUGUUACUUAUACAUUAGUGUGAAAUAGAACGGCAAGCAUUGAGCAACUUAUAGGAGAAAUAGUCCUAUAAGCUGUUGGAUGACUAAUAUAGCUCUAGCUGUAAUGUUUUAAUUAAAUUACAUCACUAACGUUGGGAUGACUAAUGGUUUAAAAAUAAUUGAGUAAUUGGAAAAAAAAAAAGAGACUAAUUUUCAUUGAAACCCACCGACAAACUAAACGUGUCCAUGGCUUUUGAAUAGUGCAUUCAACGUUUAAUUGUAUAGUCCAGUUCAUUGCAGAUUACAUGGAGUAAAGAUUGUGCUCUUUCCUUUUUCACCCCUUUUGGAAUCGAUACUGUGGAGAAUUGGGUUUUUCCCUUCUUUUUUUCUUUUCUUUCUUUCUGUGCUUUGCAAAACAUAGGUAAAAUUAUGAAAUCCGAAGCAUUCUUUAAUUGGGAUUAAGUAUUGUUCUUGAAAUUAAAAAGAAGAAAGAAAGAACAACAAAAUUCCCUGAUUGGUUGCAUCGUGCUUCCAUAGAAGCUCUCUUAGUGUGAUACACUGCUUUCAAUCAGUUUAACAUGGAAAAAAGAAAGAGAUGAAAAGCAAAUUUGGUGGGGAUAAUUUCAGAAACCUCCCCUGAAGAUUUUGACUAUUCUACUGGUCUCCCUUCAGAUUUUAAAAAUUACACUAAUCUUCCUUGAAGUUAUAACAUUUAAAUUCAAUCAAUAAUUUAAAAAAUGAUAUUAUGAAAGAGAAAAUAAUAUGAUUUUAUCAUUGCCCCCCAUCUUACUACAUUAUUUAAUUAAUUUAAUAGCAACCCACACAUUAAAGAAAAAUAUAAAAUUUGUUAUUUAUCAUUAAAGAUCAAAUCGCUUAUAACAUCAAAUAAUAGUAUAUUAUUUAUAUUUUUCACUUAACAUAAUAUCCAAAUUACUCUUUUCAAUUACAUACUCAUUGUUAGACAAUCAACAACAAAUAACCAAAAAAUUUGCAACCAAAAUAUUACAAAAAAAAAUAAACUUUAACAUCAUAAAUAUUCUUAUCAACAUAUUAAAGUUAGUUACUGAAAUUUUUAUGGUGUUAAACUUCACUCUUUGUAAUAUUUUGGUUACAGAUUUUUUUUGAUUAUUUUUUAUUAAUUAUGUUUGAUGAUGGGUUUGUAAUUGAAAAGAAUAAUUUAAAACUUACAUUAAGUGAAAUAUAUAGAGUGAUAUACUAUUUUUUAUAACAUAUGUGAUUCAAUCCUUCUUGAUAGGAUUGGUAAUAGAGGUAGAGGGGGGAGUCGGCUGCAUCCGGUCUUCUUUUCAUAGAUAGUACAAUAUUGCGAAAUCAAUCGCAUUCACACAAUAAUAUUUCGAAGUCAAUGCAUGGCUAAGUUGCAUAAAAGUACGAACACUUGUUAUUAUAUAGCUUAAGAUUCAAAACUUUAGAGCAUAACCCUCCACCUAACACAAUUGAAUAAUGAAUAUUCACGUUUGUCAAAUCUGUCAAAGCACAGUUUGAGGACAACCCAUUCCAACCUGCAAAAGAUUUUUUACUUUUCUAAAGUUGUUGAGAGCUGUAAAAAGACCUACCAUGCUUACAUCCUCCGAGCCUUGGGAGUUAAAAAUGAAGGCACUGAGUGCUAUAAAAAGGGGGCUAGAGGCUGCCUAGAAGCAUAUCAGCCUAAAACAAGAAUUUGUUGUUAUGAUGGGAAGCAAAGCAAAAGCAAUGGGGUCUGGGCUGACUCCUCUUCUUGCCACUGUUUUAGUGGUAUUUGUUGCUCUUGGCUUGCCCUCAGAAACAGCAGCUGAUGAUCACUACAAGUAUUCAUCUCCUCCUCCUCCUUACCACUAUCCCUCACCACCGCCUCCAGUGCAUUUACCUCCACCAGUGUACAAAUACAAGUCCCCACCACCACCUCAUCAUGUUUACAAGUACAAAUCUCCACCACCCCCACCACCACACCCAGUUUACAAGUAUAAGUCACCACCACCACCUCCUCAUCCGGUACCACACCCAGUUUACAAGUAUAAGUCACCACCACCACCUCCUCAUCCGGUAUACAAGUAUAAGUCUCCUCCGCCACCACCACACCCAGUUUACAAGUAUAAGUCACCACCACCACCUCCUCAUCCGGUACCACACCCAGUUUACAAGUAUAAGUCUCCUCCGCCACCAGUUUACAAAUAUAAGUCUCCUCCACCACCACCUCCAGUGUACAAGUACAAGUCUCCACCACCACCAGUUUACAAGUACAAAUCACCACCACCUCCUCCCCCAGUUUACAAAUACAAGUCUCCACCACCACCAGUUUACCACUACAAGUCACCACCACCUCCUCACCCAGUUUACAAGUACAAAUCUCCUCCACCACCAAUUUACCACUACAAGUCACCACCACCUCCUCCCCCAGUUUACAAAUACAAGUCUCCACCUCCUCCUCACCACUACUAAGCAAUUGCUUCUGAGGUAAUAACACUUGUUCAAUAACACUUGAUAGCCAGCUGAAUAUUUGCAGGCAAAGGAGAAGGAAACCAGUGUUUGAGACCUUCUUGAAGAUGUAGAAGCAUAAGAAUUAAAGCCCAAUGUGAAGAUGAUGAUUUCAAGUUUUUCUACGUUACCAUUUCAAUAUCUAAAUUGGUUGUAGCGCCUUAGUUCCUUUGUUUAUGGGAUUUGUAUCGUUUUACGUACCAUGCAGUACAUGUCAUGUUUGUAAGGUUUUCUAUCCUGCCGGCAAACCGCAGGUUCCAUGUAAUAAAUCAAUACUAUUUAUAUUACGACACUUUUCUCUGUUUCUCUUAUAUUUUGUCUUUAAUAUUCUUAAUCAUAUUUUUAACAAAAAUAUUCAAACACUUCAGCAAUGGUUCACCUAGUUGAUCAUCGAAGCAGAGGCAAUUCCAAUUAUUUAUCAAUAAAUAGGAUAUAACUACCAAACAAGCGAUGGCAGUUAACCCCUCCUUACUGUGUCGGUGAUCAAGGUACGCCCGUUAAUCACUGCUCUAAUUGAGAAAUAAUCCUAAGUACGCCCGUAGAAUUUAAUUCCCCAAUUGCCUUACAUAUUAGAGGAGCCCUAUUCUAACCAAAUAACGCACUAUCAGGGUUAUUUUAGAUUAGCCCGCGUAUUCCCCUGACAUAAAUCUAAUCAUGCCAGUUGUCAUUAUUUUGAGGUAAUUAAACAAUUACGGAUUUAACACCUCAAUUGACAAUAGAUUAUUAAAUUAAUUAAUUAUUCGGAUCCAAGACAAUCAAUUAAUUAAACAACCAUAAGCACUACAAUCAGAGAAUAUGCAAAUACCAAUAAAUAAAUAAAAAAUAAAAUUAAAUCGAUCUCACAAUUUUUAGGCGAAUCAGAGCAUCCGUUGUCCCUUGACUAGAGCAAGGAAAUUAGUUCAUAUUUGAUGAACUAAACCCAUACAAAAGGGAAGCGAGAAAUGCAGCCAUUAUCCUUUGAAAUCUGGAAAAUUCAACUUGUCCGAAUAUCGAAUAGAUAGUAAUACUACAAAAGGUAAUUCAUAGCUUCCCUUUCGUCUGACACACAAGAAGAAAAAAAAGGGCUGCUAAUAACUAAAGGAGGAAAAGUCAAAGUCCUAAGCUAUGCUACAAGACGAAAAACUAAAGAAGACAAAAAGGCAGUGCUCAUUCCCUGCAAUCUCAAUUCCUAUUCUAUCUAAGUGCUCUCCAAUGUGCGGCGGCUCCCCUUCCGGAGAGGACGAAGUGGCACCCUUUUUUCCUGCGCAAUUUUCCUAUAUAAAGUAGUGCUCCUUGCAGCGGCUCCUGUGCGAAAAAAUGAAGACUUCGGCCCAAUUUGCCUAACAAGGGCUCACGUUUUGUUGUUCUAAAAAUGUCCCUAGGACAAACUCUAUCAUCUGAACUCUUUUCUUGCCAAAUUAGUACCUGUUAUUAUAUUUUCGUUCUACUCCCUGAAAUAAAUGCAAAAUAUCAAAAGUGAGUAGAAUCUAGCAAUUAAUCCACAUUAGGUCAGGUAAUAGGGAAAAUUAAUAAUAAAAUAAAUGAUAAAAUUGCAAUCUAUCACGGGACCACUGUGGUAAGGUGUGUUUCGCCUAUUAUAAGGAGUUCGGAGAGUUAGACGUGUUGGAGGCGGAGGCGCGGUCACUCCUGCACGCCCUCCAGCUGUGUGCAGAUCGCGAGGUACGGGCGUUGACUGUAGAAUCUGAUUCAAAGGUGCUUGUUCAACUAGUUUGCUCGGAUAUGAGGUCGAAGUGGCCGGUGUGUAUCGUAUUGCGGGAAAUAAGACAUUUGAUCCGGCGGAUGGGUGCAUCCCUUCAUCAUAUAUUCCGUGAGGCCAAUUCGGUGGCGGACGCAUUGGCUUCUCUGCAAUUGGGAGGGCAGCAGUACUACACCUCAGGCGUGGCGCUGCCUUUCAGGCCCAGAGGAGAGGCUCUGCUGGAUCGUCAAGGAGUACCUCGCAUCCGUGAGGCGCUCACUAAGGUUUGAUAGGCUAUGUCCUCCUUUCAAAAAACUUAUUUCAUCUACUCCUUGUAAUCAUUUUUCUUAUCAAUAAAUUGAGGCUUUUUAUUUAAAAAAAAACAUAUAAUUUAAGGCAAAAAUAUGAUCCUAGCGAGUAUCGCACUGAGACAUUAGGAAACAUCAUUAAAAGAGUAUUUCUUGAGUUAGUGCAACUAUUUCUUAGGGGAAUUUAUAGUUACAAAAUUCAAAAAUUUGAGAUUCUAUUACUGAUUAAUUAAGGGCGUUAUCACUAUUUUUCUUAUUAUCACCAUUAUUUACCCCACAUACUAUAAGUUUUUUUAGGGCACAGGAAAAGAGGUGGGCCGAUGUUUAGUUAUGUACAAAAGUUCAAAAUUUGUAGAUAACUUAUCAUGUGCCCUUAGAGCGUAGAAUACAGAAAAAAUAUCUUAAACUAUAACUAAUCCUAAUAUUUUUCUCUAUGAUAAACUAGCUCUUAUCCAUUUCUUUAGAUGAUGAAAGGAAAUAGUUAGUCACCUGUCCUCUAGUGAUUACAACAGCAUCAAAACAAAUUAGCACUCUUUUCCCGUAGUUUAAAAAUCCCUCAGCCACUAAGAUUUUGCAUGUCGAACGAAUUAAGGAACAUAGAAGGUUCGUGCUGCACCACAGUGUCCUUGUUGACGAUGCAAAGACAGAAAUGCAUCCGCGUAUACUUCCUUAAGCAUUUUGAUUACUUUAUGAUUCGAACUUUUCUUGUCUGACAGCUGGACUUAAUUGAAAAACACAAGUAACAAUAUUUCAAAGUUGAUUCGUCAAAGUUUACCCAAUUGGUGAAACUUUCUUCAUAGAGCUGACUUUGUAUUAGGUGACAAUGAUAUGGAAUUGAUGUCCUUCCCUUUUUCCUUUUUUUGUGUUGAAGACGCACAACGUUUUCAAUGGCAAAUUUAUAUGGGCUUUUCACGACAAAAUGUGUUCUGAAAAGUUCAUUCCAGAGGUUAAAAUUUUGUGUGUUAAAAAUUUGCUUCUCAGGACUUUGAUGGGAAAGUCUUGGUGUUUCCAAAAAGUUUAAGCAGGAUGCUUCUGGCUUUCUCUCCAUGUAUUUGUGAGUUAGAUCUAAAAUUAUCAGGGCUCCAGAGAUCUCUUGAAAUCGCAGCAUAUAUUGAAGUCUUUCCAGAAGGAGUCUUUUUUUUUUUUUUUAUGAAUUAUGAUAGAUAAUUAAUCUGACGGUGCAUAUAUAUAUAUAUGUGAUUUGCAGUAGGGUGUUUGACGAAAUGGUUAGGCUUCCUAAGUAAUGAUAGGAAUGCCAUUUGCAAAGAAGGACAGGGGGCUGGUGCUGUCAUAUUUUAUGCGAUUUGAUCCGUUGUUGUAUAAGUUUAAACUUUUGACGUGCAAUUGUGCUAUAAUAUUAUACUAAAUAUAUGUGUGAAAUAUUUUGUCUAUAUACAUCACUUUUAUCAUGAAUACAACAGCUGAGUAUAAUAAUAUAGUAUAAUGUAAUUGUACACCAAAUAAUGUAGCAAAUAUAACAAUUGAUCCGAAUUACACGGAACCAUAACAACAAGAUCACCGCCUCCCAAAUUUUACAAAAUUAGGUUUUUUUUUUUUCUCUUAGAUUAUUGAAAAUUUUCAAAAAUAAUCUACAUAAUUUAAGCUUUUGUCCUACAAAAAUUUGAAGAGAUUUUACAUUACAAGCUUAAGCUUAGAUAUAUUAAACUUUGCCCCCAAGAUUAAUUUUCCGUUUUUAUCUAUGAACCGAUCCAUAUAGCUAGUUAGACUGUAGUCCUCACAUUUGUGGGAUUUAACACCCAAGAUUCUCCUUCUUGGAAUGUAAAAUGUAGAUCUUCUAUGUUAAUAAUUCAAGACCCUACUGUCAUAAACGAAAUGACUGAUCAACUCCUGUAAACCUAAUUUGACAACAUUUAAAUGGAGAACUUUAGCUAAAAGAAUUAUGGUCAAGCUAAAGAAAAAGCCAGUUAUUUUCCAACAUAUGCAAUCAUUGAUCAGGAAAAAAAAAAAAAAGCAAAAAGACAUCUUCAAUCAUUUAAUAGCUCACAGUGCAAAUUAACCCCUAAGCGAAAACUGGUUGCUCUAGAAUCAAAAUUUUACCUUAGUUACCCAGGCAACUUUUUUGUUGCUUUUUUUUUUUUCUUUUCCUUUUUGGGUAUAUAUAUAGCUCCAGUUUUGCCCCCUCUGUCAAGCUUAUAUAAUUAUUAAGAUAAUAAAAGUGCCUUGAAUAGUAUUAAUAUAUCCAUUGACUUGAGCUGUCAUCGAUCGGUUUGGGCUACUUCGAUUCCAUGAGAACAAAUGGUAAUAAAAGUACUCAGAAAAUAGGGAGCCAUGAAACCCUUUUGUUCUAUUCAUUGCUAAGAUGCUUUUCUCUAUAAAGAGACUUCCUAACGAAAGUACUUUGUAGAUUUCUUUACUCCAAGUGGUGCAUGGAAAAUUAAAAUAUUCAAUUAUCAAAUAAAAUUCCCUUUUUUCGGUGUAGAUUUCAUCCAUCCAGCUGUUAACACAUUUUAUGUAUCCGAAUUAUAUAUUCUCUACCAAAUAUUGUAACUUUUCUGAGCAUCUUUACAUUUUUAUUCCCACCUAACAAAUUAGUUGUUGAGCAUCUUUACAUGCUAUCGGAUCACAAGUUAAUAAUCUUUUAAAGAACAUGUUAAAUUAAUUUAUUGGUAUGAAUAGUCAAAGAAGUAUAUUAAAGUUAGUAAUCUUUAAACACCACGAUGCAAUUAAUACUUUCAAGCUCAAGGUCUUUUUUUUUUUUUUUUUUGGUACUGUACUUCCUUGCUUUAUAGUAUGCACGUUUAUUUCUGUGGAUUGCUUAAGCUUAUAUUGUUAAUAAUUGGGCAUUUAACCAUAAAUUAUAAUGAUUAUGAAGUCAUAUAUAUAUAUAUAUAUAUAAGAAAAUUACCACAAUUAUUCAAUUUUUUUUGCAAAUUCAAAUUUUAUUAAUAAGAAAUAGGCAGUAAGCUUUUACAAACGGAAAAAAAAAAUCCUACAACAACUCUAGGACCUUUGAAAGAAAGAAAAAAAAAAGAAAAGAAAAGCUUAAGGACUCUACCUCAUAGAAGCUAAACAAUCCUACAAAUAAACUGCAAAAUAAAUCACAAUAACGCAAAAUUUUUGUCUUUCUUCCGUAUGAAAUGAAACUACGAAGUCAAGAAUUGACUCCUUUAACCGCUAUUGCCAGCGGGCUCCGUCAGCAAGAUACAACUUUGCAAUUUGAUUCAAUAGAAAUCCUCAAAUAGCUAUUUUGACAGGCAAAUUAAGCAUUAAUUUUGGUAUCCCUUCAUAAAAUACAAGAGUACUUUUGAUUAUAUCUAUAGAUCAACUUUCUAGGCUAUUUUGAUGUAUUAUAAGAAAAUCUGCCUCAACAAUUUUGAUAGCAUUUUUCCAAAAGCAGAAGAUGGAAAAUUGCCCAUUUGUACUGGGGAGUUCGUGAUCUUUUCCUCCUUCUAGUCUACUUACAAUUCUUGGAAAAAGGAAUACUCACAUCUCAAACAACUGCCUGUUCAUCUGCAAUGUCCUGCCGAAUUCUAGAAAGUUAGGUGGCAAUGCUAAUUACAUUUCAAAAUUGACUGCUGCGAUGACUAAUUCGAUGGCUUACUACAUGGUCAACGUUUGGAUCCCUUCCUGUCCUUUUUGGAUGCACAUUUUUUUUCUCUAGGCAAUAUAUAAUCUCCCAACUCAUUUCUUUACAAAUGCACCUUUAAUCACCACCAAAAGGUGUGGACAUGAUCUUUACCCUAGAAAACUAAUCACCGACAGGCAAAUUGACGUCAGAAAUACUAAGAGGAAUUCUAGUUUCCUUCGGGUUAAUGCCAUUUUGUACCCUUCAACUGUAACUCGAUUUCUAAACUAUAAUUUGUGACAUUAUAGUCCUUAAACUAUGAAACCCCUCUUACUUAAGUACAAUGGUUAAUACAAUACCCGUGACUAGACAAGCAACCAUAACAAAAAAAAAUCCAAAAUUAGAGAAAAGAAAGAAGUUUCGCGACCAAAGUAUGUAUCAAGGCAUAGUAUAGAAAUAAAAGUGUCCAAAUUAAGAGUUUAGGGAUAAAAGAGAUCAAGAUAUAGUUUAGGGAUUGAUUUGUCUCAAUUAGAGUUUUGAUGUCAACUAAGAAGAGAGAUAUAGUUGAAGGGUAGAAUAUAGAUAUAACAGUUCAAUGAUUGAUAUCAACGAGACAAUGACAACUUUGGAUUAUUACCAACCUCUUCUUGAUGGGAAAAGGAAAUAGAGAAGAAAGUCGGGCCUGGUCUAAGCCUGCUUCGGAGGCAAAACAACAUUAUGAAAUCACCGGCAUUCACACAAAUAUGUCAAAGUCACCGGCAUGCUAAGUUGCAUAAUUUAUACAAACACUGAAUAAUAUAUUGUUCUUAAAAUUUUUGUUUAAGAUUUAACAAUUAGAGCACGGUACACGAAUUAGCAAUAUUAAAUAAUGAAUGUUCACGAUUGAUAAAGUUAUCAAAGUACAGUUUGAGGACAACCCAUUCCAACGUGUACAAGAUGUUUAGCCUUUGAAAAGUUAAUUAGAGAAGGUGACGAGAUUUUACUAGGCUUAAAUCUUCUAGGCCUCGGAAGUAAAAAAUGAAGGCCUUUGAGUGCUAUAAAAAGGGGGCUAGAUGUUGCCUAGAAGCAUAUCAGCCUCAGACCACAUUUUGUAGCAAUGGGGAGCAAAGCAAAAGCAAUGGGGUCUAGGCUGACUCCUCUUCUUACCACCGUUUUAGUGGUAUUUGUUGCUCUUGGCUUGCCUUCAGAAACUGUGGCUGAUUACUACAAGUAUUCAUCUCCUCCUCCUCCUUACCAUUAUUCCUCACCACCACCUCCUGUGCAUUCACCUCCACCACCGCCAAUUUAUAAGUCACCCCCACCACCUUACCACUACUCCUCACCGCCACCUCCAGUGUAUUCAUCUCCACCACCACCUUCGCCAGUUUACAAGUCUCCGCCACCACCUUACCAUUAUUCGUCACCACCGCCUCCGGUGCAUUCACCUCCACCACCACCUGUUUACAAGUCACCUCCACCACCUUCGCCAGUUUACAAGUCUCCGCCACCACCUUACUAUUAUUCGUCACCACCGCCUCCGGUGCAUUCACCUCCACCACCACCGAUUUACGAGUCACCUCCACCACCUCCUCCAGUUUACAAGUCUCCGCCACCACCUUACCAUUAUUCCUCACCACCACCUCCAACGCAUUCACUCCCACCACCAGUUUACAAAUCACCGCCACCACCUCCUCCUAUGUAUAAGUCCCCUCCACCACCUUAUCAUUAUUCCUCACCACCACCUCCAGUGCAUUCACCCCCACUGCCACCAAUUUACAAGUCUCCGCCACCUCCAAUCUACAAGUAUAAGUCACCACCACCUCCUCCCCCAAUUUACAAGUCACCACCACCACCUCCUCCAGUAUAUAAGUCCCUACCCCCACCAGUGUAUAAGUACAAGUCUCCACCACCACCUCCUCCAGUAUACAAAUCACCUCCACCACCUCCUCCAGUUUACAAAUCUCUACCACCACCAAUUUAUAAAUACAAGUCUCCUCCACCACCUCCUCCGGUUUACAAUUCCCCACCACCACCAAUCUACAAGUCUCCACCUCCACCCUCCCAUUACUACUACAAUUCUCCUCCUCCUCCUCCUCAUCACUACUAAGCAAUUGUAUCCAAGUUUUUGAGGUAAUAAUGCUAAACCAAUAUAUUAACUUUCGCAUGAUAAACUUUAUCUCUAUCAAGACAAACUGCCAUGUGCAUCAAGCCAAAUACGUACACUUCGAUCCAUGAAAAUGACAAGUAGAAGGUUUUCUUAAGAACCAAGGAACAGCAUUAGUAUUCCCUCUGUUUCCAAAACUUGUGUAUUAAAUAGAUUAAUGAAUUGUUUAACAUGCUUAUCUACUUGAAAAUGCACAAUACCCAUAACCCACUGAAAUUUUUGCAGGUAAAGGGGAAGAGAAUCUGUGUUUGAGAGCUUCAUGAAGAUGUUGAAGAAUAAGAAUAAAAGCCCAAUGCGAGGAUGUUUUCAAGUUUUUCUAUGUUUCCACUUUAAUUUGUAAAUUGAAUUUUUCGACUUAAUUAAUUCCCUGUUUGUGGGGUACGUAUUGUUUUACGUACCAUGCCGUACAUGUUUGUAAGGAUUUCUAUCCUAUUGGCAAAAGUCGGUUCCAUACAAUUAAUCAAUUCAUUUCACUUCUAUUGGCUCUACUAUUUAUGCACGUUACGACAUUUUUUCUCUCUUUCCCUUAUAUUUUGUCUUUAAUAUUAUUGAGUCAAUAGUAAUACUGGGCCAUUUUUUUUAAAACUUAUACUAGUAUACAUAGGUAGUUUGGUCUAACGCCAAAUUCAUGUUUGUCUUUCUUUUAUUCCCUUUACAUUUCAAAGUAUACUAUAGUUUGUGAUCAUUGUGGUGAUGAUAUUACCAGCUGGUACUUAUAGUUUAAGGCAGAGACAUGAUAUUAACAACUAUCUCAUUGAAACAUAAGGAAAAAUCAUGACAAGUGUGAGUCUUGGUUAAUGCACAAUUUGUUAGUGGAAUUUAUAUUUAUAAAACUCAAAAAAAAAAUUUUGACAAUGCUAUUACUAAUUAAUUAAGGACUUUAUUGCUAUAAUUUAUCGCUUGCUAGUUUAAACUAUAAAUGAUCUCAAUACUUUUCUCCAUGAUGUCGAUUUCUUUAGAUACGAAAGGGAAAAAUUAGUGACAUAUCCCUUACUGAUUACAACAUCAGCAAAAAUUAGUUAUAAACUUUUCCGGUGGUUUUAAAUCCCCGGGCCCUAAGAUUUUUUGCUCAUCGAGUGAAUUAAGGAACAUAGGCAAUUCAUUUUGCAUACCAAGUCCUUGUUUAAGAUGCAAGUACUAAAAUGCAUCCACUUCAUUAAUUUGGGAAAUUGCCAUAGUUUUUUUAAGCAUUUUGAUUUUUUACAUGAUUUAAAAUUUUCUUAUUGGAUACAAUCACUUUGUAUCAAGAACACAUUUUCAAUCACCUUUUUUUAUCUUCUCAAUGAGAAAAUAAAAAUUUAUUCAUGCUUUUCUAACAUAUUCAAUCAUUGAUCUGAAAAUUAAAACAUUAAGAAAAGGACAUUUUCAAACAUUAAGAAGUAGUAUUUUAAAGACCAUGAUGAAAUUAAUACUUUCAAGGUCUCUAUUAGGAAGACUUCCUUUAUUAAUACUCUACUAGGCAGAGUUAUAUGCACGUUUACUGUUUUGGCCUUAAGUUGGGUGCAGAUGCUUAUAUUACAAAUAGAUGGUAUCAAAAAAUUGUUGUAUUCACGUCUGUUCUUUUUUUCUUCCUUAAGUUUUUUUCUUUAUUCUCGUGACUUCGCUAGUGAGGUAUAACUUCACAACUAGAGUCAAUAGAAAUCGUCAAAUGAUUUUUUGACAUCCAAAUUAAGCAAUAAAUUUUGUUUUCAUUUCAUAACAUAUAAUAGUACUACUUCAUGGGAGAUUUUAUAGUUUCUUUAGGGUAUCAUACCUACAAUUGAUAUUUAUCAUUGGAUAGUGAAAGAAGUGUUAAUGUCUCUAAGAUUAAAUAUUGUUAAAUAUUGAAAAUUUGAACUAUUUAUCUCUAUUGAGAGAUACAACUUAAAGAAUCCUACCCAAAAGAGACUAGAAUUUUCUCUGUUUUUCAUCAUCUGUAGACAUAAACUUUCCACGGUUGAUAGCAUUUUUCAUCAUCUAUAAGGAAAUUUUGCCUAUACAAUGUGAUAGCAUUUUUCAAAAAGACAAGAUGGAAAAUUGCCCCCCUUGAACGGAAAAUUGCCCCCUUGUCAAUUCUUUAAAAAAGAAUACCGUCCCGCAGAAUUCUAGAAAGUUAGGCAAAACUAGACAAGUUGACAGGUAUAAUCAGACCCAAGAUCAGGAACAAGCAGUUGCACAUUUCAAAAUUCGCUGCUGCAACAACUAAUUUGAUGACUUACAACACUAAAUGGUCAAACUUUGAAUGGCAAUGAAUCUUUUGUUGUACAUCAUGAUGUAAUUUUCAUGUUACAUAAUAGAUUGAUAUCUAUGUUCUUUAAAUUAUCAUAAUAAUUAAAUUUAACUGAAAAAAAGAACACAUAUCAAUACACAAAAGUGUGCAACGUGAAUGUUAUUUUAGUGUAUUGCAGAAGACCUAUAGUCUCUUCAUAUCUCUUCCUGCACGUAUCAAUUCGUUUCCUCUAGAUAAUAAUCUCCCAACUCAUUUAUUUACAAAUGCACCUUUUAUGUUUUAUUACCUCCAAAAGCCUAAAAAUCAAUUCACCGACUCGCAUUUGGUAUCAGAAAUUCUUAUUACGAAUUCUACUUUACUCAAAGAUUGACUGUUAAUAAUGAGACAACGACCAUUUUGUAUUAUUACACCGUCCUUCUUGAUAGGCAAAAGAAAUAGAGAGGAAAGCGGGUCCGUAUAUGGUCUUUUAUUCAUAGAUAAUACAACAUUACGCCAUCGAGCAUUCACACAAUAUUUCAAAGUCAUUGCAUGCCUAAGGCCUGCUUGAUAAUCUAAUUCCGUACUUAAAUUUAAUAAAUUCAAAUCUUAACACAUUCAAAUCGUUUGAUAACAAAAAAUUGAACAUCUAAAUUAAUUAAGUAACACUGAAUUUUCUAGGCAAAACUUGCUCCCAAAAUUAAGUGAUAAGUUAUUCACUUAUCACUGAAUAUGAUAUGUAUUCAAAUGUAUUAGAUUUAAUACUUAAUAAUUUAAUGAAUUCAAAUUUCAUAUUUCAUAUUUCAGUUUUAUCAAACACACCUUAAGUUGCAAAAUAAUACCAAAACUUGUUAUUACAUAGCUUGAGAUUCAAAAAUUUAGAGCAUAAUUCUCAACCAAACACAAUUGAAUAAUGAAUAUUCACGAGUGUCAAAUCUAUCAAAGUACAAUUUGAGGACAACCCAUUCAAACGCGUACACGAUUUUUAACUUUUCUAAAGUUGUUGAGAGCUGUUGAAAGAGAUUUACCAUGUUUACAUCUUCCAAGUCUUGGGAGUAAAAAAUGAAGCCACUGAGUGCUAUAAAAAGGGGGGUAGAGGCCACUUGAGAUCCUCGGUGACAUGUUUUCUAUGCCAAUCCAAUGCCACCAAUAGUGUUGCGCCAAGUGUCAUGUUAUUAUUUACACUUGUGUUAAACUAAGCCAAGUUGAAUUAUUAGAAAAUUAAAGUGUAAAUAAUAACAUGACACUUGGCGCAAUACUAUUGGUGACAUUGGGUUGGCAUAGAAAAUAUGUCACCGAGGAUCCCAAGUGGAUAGAUGCUGCCUAGAAGCAUAUCAGCCUAAAACAAGAAUUUGUAGUAACAAUGGGGAGCAAAGCAAAAGCAACGGGGUCUAGGCUGACUCCUCUUCUUACCACUGUUUUAGUGGUAUUUGUUGCCCUUGGCUUGCCCUUGGAAACUGCAGCUGAUUAUUACAAGUAUUCAUCUCCUCCUCCUCCUCCUUACCAGUAUUCCUCACCACCACCUCCAGUGUAUUCACCUCCACCAACCCCUGUUUAUAAGUUACCCCCACCAUCUCCUCUAGUUUACAAGUCCUCACCACCACCUUACCACUACUCACCACCUCCUGUGUAUUCACCUCCACCAUCACCAAUUUACAAGUCACUGCCACCACCCCCUCCAGUAUACAACUCCCCGCCUCCACCAGUGUACAAAUACAAGUCCCCACCACCACCUUCUCCAAUUUACAAAUCUCCACCGCCACCAGUUUACAAGUACAAGUCACCCCCACCACCUCCUCCGGUAUACAAGUCUCCUCCGCCACCUGUUUACGAGUACAAGUCUCCUCCACCACCUCCUCCAGUGUACAAGUCCCCACCACCUCCAGUUUACAAGUACAAGUCACCACCACCUCCUCCCCCGGUUUACCAAUCUCCUCCACCACCAGUUUACAAAUACAAGUCACCACCACCUCCUCCCCCAGUUUACCAGUCUCCACCUCCACCCUAUCAUCACUACUACGGUUCUCCUCCUCCUCACCACUACUAAGCAAGUGCAUCUAAGUUUUGAGGUAAUAAUACCGAUCCAAAACUUUAUCAACGCAAACUGCCAUGUAUAUCAUGCUAAGGACGUACACUUGAUCCAUGAAAAUGGCUAGUAGAAGAUUUUUUUUAAGAACCAGAGAAAUACAUUAUUUUUUCGCUCUGUUUUCAAGAAUUUGAGCAGUAUACAGAUUAAAGAGUGUUUUUUUUAAACUUGCUUAUCAACUUAGAAAUGCACAUAGCUGAAAGCCAACUGAAUAUUUGCAGGCAAAGGAGAAGGCAAUCGGUGUUUGAGACCUUCAUGAAGAUGUAGAAGAAUAAGAAUAAAAGCCCAAUGCGAGGAUGAUUUCAAGUUUCUACGUUACCAUUUCUACAUCUAAAUUGACUUUAGCUCCUGAGUUCCAUGUCUAUGGGGUUUGUACUGUUUUACGUACCAUGCAGUACAUGCUUGUAAGGUUUUCUGUCCUGUUGGCAAGCCGCAGGUCCAUAUAAUAAAUGAAUACUAUUUAUAUUACGACACUUUUCUCUCUUUCUCUUAUAUUUUGUCUUUAAUAUUGUUGAUCAUUUUUUUUUUUUAUCAAAAGUAUCAAAUGCUUAGGCAAUUUGGUCUAAUGCUAAUUGUUUUACAUUUAUUUUUCACCUACAUCCCUUUUCAACUCAAAGGAUGCUACAGUUUGUGAUCAUUGUUUAAGACCGAAGCAUGGUACUAAUAAAUAUCUCAUUGAAAGUCAAGGAAACUAACAUUAUGAAAAGUGUAAAUCUUGAUUUGUGAAACUAUUUAUUCGUGGAAUUUAGAGAUACAAAACUCAAAUUGUGACGGUGUUGUUGCUAAAUUAUUUUUUUUUUAUAAUAAAACACAGUUCAUUCAAGGAUUACUGGAAAUCGUCCAGCACAAUUGAGAUACAUUGUUGCCCAGGUGGCAGAUAAAUAUGCACUAAAAUUAUAGAUAUGCAAUUUAACAAAUACAUAAGAUUUGAGAAAUUAAGGACAAAUCUAAAAAGGACCAUAAAUUUGAAAAACAUUUCAUCCUAGAAUAAGUCGCUGCAACUCUCUUUGUGCAUGCUGUAAUCGUCAGAUCUACUAAUCAACAGUUGUAAGGUCCAGUAAAGAUGGUGAGAUCUGCCGAGAUUGAUCCAAAUCUGAAAUAUUCCCUCAGAUCUGCUAUCCAAUUGGUUCAAACUCAAUACUGAAAGUGAAAUCUGAUGAGAAGACUGAAAAAAUUGUAGAUCUAACAUAUAGAUCUAAAAAAACUCCAAGAUUUGAAAAAGUAAAGAAACAAAACUAAAUAAAACUCUCAUUAAGAUAGUUUAGGAGAGACUAAAACUCUCAAUAGGACACCCUAGGAGAGAAGAAAACUCUCACUAGGAUAACCUAUGAGAGACUUUAUUGAAUGAAAGGAAAAGCAAAGGACAAAGGAAGAAGAAGGGAGACCUUGGCUUAAGGCCAAGGUCUCCCUCCUAUGGAGGAGGAAGGGUAGAGGAGGAAGCCUAGAGAGAAGGAAGAGAAUCCCUCCGCUAGAGGGAAGGAAGAGCCUCUGAGAGGGUACCCGUGUUGUUGCUAAAUUAUUAAGGACAUUAUCACCAUUACUUUUCCCUUACUAGUUUCAACUGCAAUGAUCUCAAUCUUUUUGUGACUAAUUCUUUUCUUAAUAAUUUAUAAAUACAAAACUCACAAAGAAUAUGUGACUUAUUCUUUCCUUUCGUCUUCUAAAGAAAAUGCCAACUGUUAGUUUAUCAAGGGAAAAAGGAUCGACAUCAGUUGUUAUUGAAACUAGUAAGGAAUAAAUAAUGGUGAUAAUGUCCUUAAUAAUUUAACAACAGCACCAUCAGAAUUUGAGCUUUGUAUCUAUAAAUUCCACGAAUAAAUAGUUUCAUCAAAUCAAGAUUUACACUUUUCAUAAUGUUAAGUUUCCUUGACUUUCAAUGAGAUAUUUAUUAGUAUCAUGCUUCGGUCGUAAACAACGAUCACAAACGAUAGCAUCCUUUGAGUUGAAAAGGGUAGUGAAAAAGAGAAGUAAAAAAUACAAUUAGCAUUCCCUCAAAUUGUAGAAAGUUAGGUAGCAUUAUAGACAAGUUGAUAGCCGUAAUUAUACUAAAAAUCAGGCAAAAGCCAGCAAUUUUACAUUUCAAAAUUCACCUAUUCAAUAACUAAUUCGAUGGCUUGCUACAUGGUCAAAAUUCACCACAUAUCCCUUUCCUCAAUCAGGGGCUUCUACAAUUACCAGUUCCAAUUGUAUGGUAUAGUGUAAAUAUCAACAAAUUAGAUGUAGACACUAAUAUAAUAAAUAUGGAUGCUAAGGCAACAACAUACAAAAACAUAAUAAAUUUUGGCAUUCCUUAAAAAAUUACGUCCCCAAAUCAAUCUCAUACACCCAAUUUCUAAUUUAUUUAACUCAUUCCGUCUAUUAACUGCACCAUACAAUCCAACCUGCAAUUGCAUGAACCCCAAUCUCGCUUCCUAGUCCACCAUUUUUCUCUAGGUAAUAAUCUCCCUUCUAAUUUCUUCACAAAAUGCACCUUUCAUCACCUCCAAUAGCGUCGACAUGAUCUUUACCCUAGAAGACUAUUCACCGACUCCCAAUUGACGUCAGAAAAUCUAAGAGUAAUUCUACUUUACCCUAAGAUUGAUAUCAACUAGACAAUGACAAUUUAGAAUUAUUACACGCCUCUUCUUAAUAGGAAAAAGAAAUAGAGAAGAAAGUCAGGCCAGGUCUAAUUUCUUUUCGAAGGCAAUACAACAUUACGAAAUCAAGCAUUCAUUCAUACAAAUAUUUCAUAGUCACCGGUUUGCUGAGUAGAAAAGUUUAUACAAAAACUUAAUAUUAUAUUGUUUAAGAGUUAACAAUUUAGAGCUUAAUCUCCUUGUACUUUGGACUAAACUCGAACGUGAAAGGAAAUCCCAAAACCAUAUUGGGCAUGAAUUCACACUUAAAUAGACCCAAAAAAAGAUGGCGACUGGUGAAAGGCAGUGGAGACUGGUGGUGAGAUUUGAGGAAUAGAAGCAGACGGAAAAGCCACAAAUUUUUGCCGAAAGAGGGUCACUUUCAUGGUUAAUUUUGCUACUCUCUACUUGUACUUGACCAAUGACAGGUUGUCAGUCUGUGCAAUAAUAAAAACCUGUUCAAACUAAAAGUAAUUUCUGUAGAUAGUGGUAAGCAGGGUCGAAUCCACAGGGAUUAGGUGUAACUGUUUCUUUUCAAAUUCACAAUAACAAAGGGGGUGUUUUUAUGCAGAAUGUGACAAUCAAAGAAAUUCAAUUAAAAGUAAAAUAAUAAAAAUAAAAUAGCCAACUAGAAAUUAAAUAACAAUUUACUAAAAUCAAAUGAGUGAUAAUUAAGGAUCUAGCCAAGGAAUAACUUCAGCAGUGGUUCACCUAAUUGAUCAUUGGAACAAAGGCAAUUCCAAUUAUUUACUAAUAAAUAGGUUAUAACUGCCAAACAAGCGAUGACAGUCAAUCACUCCUUACUGUGUCGGUGAUUAAGGUACGCCCGUUAAUCACUGCCCUAAUUGAGAAAUAAUCUUAGGUACGCCCGUAAGAUUUAAUUUUCCAAUUGCCUUACAUAUUAGAGGAGUGUCAGGAACAAGGAAAUAGAAUGGGACGUCGUUUAAUGCAAAGGGUUGUGCGUUUAAGGCCUUAGAAGCAAUACUACGUCGUUCUAAUAACAUAGGCGGUGCUGGUGUGAUAGGCCAAGUUAGUUGAGGGUCAAUUACAUAAAUAGCCUUCUGUAACAGAUUUUUGGUUAUGUUUUUGAAUGAAAAGUAUCUCGCUGCUUUCUCUCUCUUGUCUGUUAUUUCCCUCCCUUUUCUUCUUUCUCUCUUCCCUCUUCUUAAUCUUGUUUCUUUCUUCUGAUUCUUCCCCCAAAUUCAAUACAAUUCCAGAAAUUAACCUGCAAGUCUGACAUUUGGUAUCAGAGCGGUCGAUUCUUGGCCGCGAAGGUAUCAGAAAUGGCUGAGAGCACGCGAUUCAGGACACUGGAGGAGCAACUCAAGAAGCAGGAGAAUCGGUUGCAAGAACUGGCGGAAUCCAUGGCUGCACUGCAGAGUACGAGUUCCGAGGAGUUGCGGCAUAAGCUACAGGCGGAAAUGGAGCAGAACAAUGCAAAAUUGGACGCGGUGGUGGGAAGUCUGGACCAGAAGUUCAAUAAAAUGGAACAGAGACUCAGUACAGUGUUGAAGCUGCUGAUGAAGGAGAAAGGUCUCCCUGAUGUCGAAGGAGGAAUUUCUGAUCCAAUCUUGCCGACUCCUCCAUCUCAUCUGAGGUUAGCAUCCUCAGUCGAAGGGAUUGGGCACCAACAAGAGUACAGAGGUAGGCAAUUCACUCCUAAUGUACCUCGAUUAGAACUGCCAAUGUUUAACUCUGGAAACCCUAGGGAAUGGACCAGGAAAUGCCAGAAAUAUUUUUUGAACUAUCAGAUAGCAGAGAGUCAAAAGGUAGAGGUAGCAGAGAUGUUUUUGGAAGGUAGAGCUGACAAUUGGUUUCAAGGAGUGAAAUUGGUGAGGCCAGGGUUGUCUUGGGGGGAAUUUAGUGAACUUUUGUGUGAAAGAUUUUCUGGAAGUAGUUCUCGUGACAUUGUGGAGGAAUUUAACAAGUUACAGCAGAAAGGAACUGUUGAGGAAUAUGAGGAGAAAUUUGAAGAACUAAAAGCUCUAAUGCUGAUGAAAACCCCCAGGUUGGAUGAACUUUACUUUGUUUCCAGUUUUAUUAGUGGCCUCAGGGAAGAAAUUAGACCUAUGGUGAAGAUGUUUAAGCCUCAAACACUGAUGAAGGCCUUUGAAGUUGCGGAGUUGCAGGAGUGUUCCCUGGAAAUCCAAUCGAAACAAAACAGAACUUCAAGGAGGACAGCAAUGGAACCCAAGUUUGGAAUGUAUAAGGGCACUACGAGUGAUUAGGGUCGCCAAAAUUCAUAUAAGUUGCCUGGAGUCACUCCUGUCUCCAGGAGGACUAAUGCAGUACACAAGGAAUUUAGUAAGAUAUCAGCGGAGGAAAUGCAGUAUAAGCGUAAGCACAGCCUGUGCUAUAGGUGUGGAGAGAAGUUUGGAAUAGGUCAUCAGUGUAAGAAAGGAAGUCUGAACUGUGUGAGCACUGAGGAAGAGGAGGACACUGAAUUUGAGGAUGCGGAAGGGGAACAGGAUGAGUUAACAGGAAGGGUCGGGGAACUUGCAGAAGUCUCUUUGAAUGCUUUAUCUGGUGCCAUAAGGAGGAAAUCCAUCCUGUUGAUAGGGAACUUAGGGGGGCUUCCAGUCAAAAUUUUGGUGGACACAGGCAGUUCUAACAGCUUCAUUCACCACAGGAUUGUCAACCUACUGCAUCUACCAUAUCAGGCAGUCAGUCCAUUUACUGUGACUCUAGCAGAUGGAACUGACAUUACCAGUGGAGCCAUCAGUCCCAGCGUGUCUUGGUUAAUUCAGGACUAUCAAUUCCAAUUUGACUUAAAAGUAAUGGAAUUAGGGGGAUGGGAUAUAAUUCUGGGGGUGGACUGGAUGUGCCAGUAUAGUCCCAUUACAUUUGAUUUCCACUCUCUUAGCAUUGCCCUUAGUGAUAGGGGUUCUUUACUACACCUCCAAGGACUUGUGAAGCAACCUACUAUGGAACUGGUGAGGGGCAGGGAUCUCAGCUCGUUUAUACAGGAGAAGCAAAGAAACUGUGCAGCCAUGCAUGCUGAUAGGGCCAGGGAAACAGGAGAGCAGCUUCCAAAAGCUAUAGAAAGGAUCCUGGAACAGCACUCUCAGGUUUUCUCCACCCCAACAGGAUUACCCCCAGAGAGGGAAUUGGACCAUCAGAUCAACCUCAAACCAGGAGCUGAACCCUUCAAGCUCAAACCUUACAGGUACCCCCACUCACAUAAAGCAGAAAUUGAAAAAAAAGUUGCUGAGAUGCUCACUAAUGGAAUUGUUAUACAUAGCACAAGCCCCUAUGCCUCCCCUGUAUUGUUAGUAAAGAAAAAGGAUAACUCCUGGAGAUUAUGCAUAGAUUACAGGAAGCUGAACGAGCUGACUAUAAAGGAUAAGUUCCCUAUUCCCAACAUAGAUGAACUAUUGGAUGAAUUACAUGGAACCAGAUACAUGUCCAAACUGGAUCUCAGAGCUGGUUACCAUCAGUUGAGGGUGAAAGCUGUUGAUACCCCUAAGACUGCCUUCCAGACACACCAUGGCCACUUUGAAUUCUUAGUGAUGCCUUUUGGACUCACAAACGCGCCAGCUACAUUUCAGUCCUUGAUGAACAGAAUAUUUCAGCCAUAUCUCAGAAAGUUUGUCCUAGUCUUCUUUGACUACAUAUUAGUGUACAGCCCCACACUAGAGAUGCAUGCACAGCAUCUACAGAUUGUGCUCAAUAUUUUAGAAGAAAAUCAGCUGUAUUACAAGAGGUCAAAGUGCUCUUUUGCCCAGUCCUCAAUUGAAUACUUGGGGCACGUGAUCUCAGAGGCAGGAGUGAGUAUGGAUGUGGCUAAGGUGGAGUGUAUCAAGUCCUGGUCUGUUCCUAGUACAGUCAAGGAGCUGAGAGGGUUUUUGGGAUUAAUUGGUUACUACAGGAGAUUCAUUAAAGGCUAUGGAGUGAUUAGCAAACCCUUGACUGUAUUGUUGAAAAAGGAAGGUUUUGCAUGGAACCAUGAAGCUCAAAUGGCCUUUGAAGAUUUGAAAAAGGUUAUGACCACAGCCCCAGUGCUGAGCAUGCCUAAUUUCGAACUUCCUUUUGUCAUAGAGACUGAUGCCUGUGGAAUAGGUAUUGGAGCAGUGUUGAUGCAGCAAGGACAUCCUAUUGCUUUCCUUAGCAAGGCAUUAUCAGUUCAGAAUUUGGGGUUAUCAGUCUAUGAAAAAGAGCUUUUUGCCUUAGUGCUAGCUGUAACUAAGUGGAGGCAUUACCUGGUGGGUCAUCACUUCAUUAUCAGGACAGAUCACCAAGCUCUCAAACAUUUGAUAGAGCAAAGGCUUACUCAUCCACUCCAGCACAAGUGGCUAACUAAGCUACUUGGUUUGGACUAUGAAAUACAGUAUAAAAAGGGUGCAGACAAUGGGGUGGCAGACGCCCUCUCCAGGAGAAGGAUUGAGGGAAACACUGUUGACUGUGGAGAGACUGGGCAUCAGACCUGCGCCAUAACCUCAGCUCAGCCUAGUUGGAUGCAGGAAAUGCUAGAAAGCUACAUUGGAGAUGCAGAGGCUCAACAGAAGUUAUCUGAGCUAUUGCUGGAUCCCAAUGCAGAUCCAGAUUAUCAGUUAAAGAAUGGGAUGCUCAAGUUUAAAGGGCGGCUGUACAUAGGAUCUGCUAACAACAUUAGGACCAAGGUGGUCAGAGCAUUGCAUGACUCAGCCCUUGGGGGGCACUCAGGUCCUGGAAUCCGUAAGGAUGUCCUUCAAUAUGUGAGAUCUUGUGAUGUGUGUCAAAGGAACAAACAUGAAAAUGUUCCUUAUCCUGGGUUGCUGCAACCAAUUCCUGUACCUCAGCAGGCUUGGUCACACCUCACCAUGGAUUUUAUUGAGCAACUACCCCCAUCCCAUGGAUUUGAUACCAUUUUGGUGGUGGUGGAUAGGUUAACCAAGUUCAGCCACUUCAUUCGACUCACUCACCCUUUUUCUGCACAGCAGGUAGCACAGCUUUUCCUUGACAACAUAUACAAGCUGCAUGGACUUCCUGAGACCAUUAUAACUGACAGGGACAUAAUCUUUCUUAGUAAGUUUUGGCAAGAGUUAUUUGGUAUGGUAGGGGUAAAGCUGCACUACAGUUCAUCGUAUCACCCUCAAUCAGAUGGUCAAAGUGAAAGGGUCAAUCAGUGUUUGGAAAACUAUCUCAGGUGUAUGUGCAGUGAGCAUCCUUCUCACUGGAGCAGUUGGCUUCCUACAGCUGAGUUAUGGUACAACACUAACUUCCAUACUAGCUUGCAGGUGACACCAUUCGAAGCACUAUACGGGUAUAAACCAAAUCACCUUCCCUUAGGACCUUUUCAUGAUAGCCUGGUACCUGCUGCUGGUAACAUGGUGCAGACUAGGCUCCAAAUUCUAUCCCUCAUCAAAGAGAAUCUAGCCACCGCCCAGAAUCGAAUGAAAAUGUUUACUGAUAAGCACAGGACUGAACGUGUCUUCCAAGUGGGGGAUUGGGUAUUUCUCAAGCUGCAACCUUACAGGCAACAAUCAGUGGCCUUACGGAAGAAUUUGAAGUUGGCUGCCAAAUACUUUGGACCUUUCCAGAUCCUUGCGAGAGUAGGGGAAGUCGCCUACAGACUUAAGUUGCCAGAGGGAGCUCGAGUUCAUUCCGUGUUCCAUGUGUCCUUACUUAAAAGGAAAGUGGGAGUUACACAGCAGGUAAAGCCCAGCUUGCCAGAAGUAGACGCAUCAGACCAAUGUUUGCUGAAGCCAGAGAAGAUUCUCCAGAGGCGUGUUAUCAUACGAGCUGCCAAACCAAUCAUCCAGUACCUGGUGAAGUGGAACAACUUACCAGAAUCCGAAGCAUCAUGGGAGGAUAAAAGCUUCAUUGACAGACAAUUUCCGGAAUUUCAAGCUUGAGGACAAGCUUUGCUUAAGGGGAAGAGAUUGUCAGGAACAAGGAAAUAGAAUGGGACGUCGUUUAAUGCAAAGGGUUGUGCGUUUAAGGCCUUAGAAGCAAUACUACGUCAUUCUAAUAACAUAGGCGGUGCUGGUGUGAUAGGCCAAGUUAGUUGAGGGUCAAUUACAUAAAUAGCCUUCUGUAACAGAUUUUUGGUUAUGUUUUUGAAUGAAAAGUAUCUCGCUGCUUUCUCUCUCUUGUCUGUUAUUUCCCUCCCUUUUCUUCUUUCUCUCUUCCCUCUUCUUAAUCUUGUUUCUUUCUUCUGAUUCUUCCCCCAAAUUCAAUACAAUUCCAGAAAUUAACCUGCAGAUCUGACAAGGAGCCCUAUUCUAACCAAAUAACACACUACCAGGGUUAUUUUAGGUUAGCCCGCGUAUUCCCCUGACAUGAAUCCAAUCAUGCCAGUUAUCACUAUUUUGAAACAAUUAAACAAUUACGGAUUUAACGUCCCAAUUGACAAUAGAUUAUCAAAUUAACUAAUUAUCCGGAUCCAAAACAAUCAAUUAAUUAAAUAAUCAUAAGCACUGUAAUCAGGGAAUAUUUGAAUACCAAUAAAUAAAAAGAAAGGACAAAAUUAAAUCGAUUUCACAAUUUUUAAACGAACCACAACCUCAGUUGUUCCUCGGCUAGAUUGAGAAAAUUAGCUCAUGUUCGAUGCGAAAAAUCCACAAGAAAUUGUUAAGAGAGCCGCGGCCAUUGUCCCUUGAAAUUGGGGAAAUUCAAUUCGGUUGAACUACGAAAGAAAAGUAAGCUACAGAGAGUUGCCGAUUGGGUUUUGCUUGUCCCUAACAUGCGAGGGAGCAAAGCCACGAAAGGACGACAAAGGUCAAAAAGAAAGGCUACAGAGCAUGUUCCAGGUCUUUUUGUGCUCUCCACAUCCGAGCCAACGAAAAGAAAUAAAAAACUACCAGGAGCUAAAGGAAAACCGCAAGAAAAGUCAAAGGCUAAAAAAACUUCCUAGUGCUUGUUCUCUGCUUAUCUCUUUAUCUAAUUCUAAGUCCCCGAUUUUUUGCUCCGUGCGGCGGCUCCCCCGGAGAGAAAGGAUUGCAUCCGCUGCCCUCUUCCACCAAUUACCAAAAUGGGCACACCGCUUCUUUUUCAAAAAUGCUCCUGGAUAAACUCUAUCAUCUGGACUUUUUUUCUGUCAAAUUGACAUUUAUUAUUAUAUUUUCGUUCUACUCCCUGAAAUAAAUGUAAAAUAUUAAAAAUGAGUAGAAUCCGACAAUUAAUUCACAUCAGGUCAGAUAAUAAAGAAAAUUAAUAAUAAAAUAAAUAAAUAAAUUGCAACCUAUCAACCAAAUACAACAAUUUCAUGGAGUUUGAUACACAAGCCCAAAUACACGAGAGUGUGUAACCUGAAUUGUUACUUAUACAUUAGUGUGUAAUAGAACGGCAAGCAUUAUGGUGGUCAUUGAGCAACUUGUAGGAGAAAUAGUCCUAUAAGCUGUUCAAUGACCAAUCACAACUUGCUAAUUGGAUGACUAAUAUAGCUCUAGCUGUAAUGUUUUAAUUAAAUUCCAUCACUAACGUUGGGAUGACUUUUUAAUCAAAAAAAAAAAAGCCUUAGUUCAAGCUUUUCCCCUUAUUGUGCAUUUUUUAAAACAUUUGAUAGGCACUGCAAAUCUGUCAUUUUGGACAUUUUAUUAUUAACUAACAAUGAAAGCCGUGGACAUCAACCCAUAUCCAACAAAAUAUUAAAUUAAUAUUAGAAAAAAUUAUUAAGUAAUUGGAAAAAAAAAGAAGAGGCUAAUUUUCAUUGAAACCCACCGACAAACUAUACGCUGCUUUCAAUCAGUUUUAACACGGGAAAAAGAAAAGGCAUGAAAAGCAAAAUUUGUGGGGAUAAUUUCGGAAACCUCCCAUGAAGUUUUUGACUAUUUUACUGGCCUCCCUUCAGAUUUUAAAAAUUGGACUAAUCUUCCUUAAAGUUAAUUAUCUUGUAACAUUUAGAUCCGAUCAAUAAUUUAAAAAAUAAUAUUAUGAGAGAGAAAAUAAUAUGAUUUUAUUAUUGCCCCCAUCUCACCACAUUAUUUAAUUAAUUUAAUAGCAACCCACACAUUAAAGAAAAUGACAGGUCGUCAACCUGUGCAAUAAUAAAAUUAAACCUAAUUGCCAGUUAAAAUGACCAAAACCCAAUUCCAAGUACUGGAGCAGGGACUCUAGGUGUGCAAUGGGUUACUUGAUUCACCCUGUUCCCGAAGAGUUUGCUUGAUCCGAUAUACCCGAAUGGAAUGGUUAUUCCUUUUCACAAAUGAUUAGGAAUUUGUAGACAGGGCAAGUAGGGUCGUAUCCACAGAGACUGGGUAUAUUUGUUUCUUAAGAAAUCCAAAGUAACACAGGGGGUGAUUUUGUAGGAACGACGAUAAUUAAAUAAAUUCAAAUGAGAAAGUAAAAAUAAAUAAUUAACUAGAAAUUAAACCACAAUUUACUGAACUCAGGAUAACAAUAGUUAAAGGCCUCAAUUAAUUAAAAUAAGGAAACAAUCAAAAAUAAAAUAAAGUAGGUAAUUAAAAGUCAAAUGGCAAUCCACUACAAUCAAGGAAAUAUUAACUAAAGAUCUAGCCAAGAAAUAACUUCAGCAAUGGUUCACCUAAUCGAUCAUUGAUGCAAAGCAAUCCCAAUUAUUUACUAAUAAAUAGGUUAUAACUACCAAACAAGCGAUGGCAGUCAACCCCUCCUUACUGUGUCGGUGAUCAAGGUACGCCCGUUAAUCACUGCUCUAAUUGAGAAAUAAUCCUAGGUACGCCCGUAGAAUUUAAUUCCCCAACUGCCUUACGUAUUAGAGGAGCCCUAUUCUACCCAAAUAACACACUACCAGGGUUAUUUUAGAUUAGCCCGCGUAUCCCCCUGACACGAAUCUAAUCGUGCCAGUUGUCACUAAUUUGAGGUAAUUAAACAAUUACGGAUUCAAUACCCCAAUUGACAAUAGAUUAUCAAACCAAUGAAUUAUCCGGAUCCAAGACAAUCAACUAAUUAAAUAAUCAUAAGCACUGCAACCAAGGAAUAUGCGAAUACCAAUAAAUAAAGGAAAAGAUAAAAUUAAAUCGAUCUCACAAUUUACAGGUGACCCAAAGCAUCAGUCGUUUCUUGACUAGAACGAGGGGGUUAGCUCAUAUUGGAUGAACUAAGCCCGCGGGAAAUUCCAGCAAAAGUCACGGCCGUUGUAUGCAUUUCAAGAGCCGCAAUUCGUCAAACACUUGGAAAGCGAAUGUAAGGCACGGGUAACAAUUGAAACUUUCUAAUUGUUCCUAGCAUUCGUAAAGCAAAUUCACUCCAGAAGUACAGUGAGGAAAAGUCAAAGAAAGUGGGCUUCAAUUCCUUGCUCCUGACAUGCGUGGAGACAAGCCAAUGCAAGACUACAAUAAACUAACAAGGAAAAGUCAAGAAUUGGAGCUAAGCUCCCCUGCCAUGCGCAGGAAUCCCAAAAGUAAAAAGUAAAGCUUCAAAGAAAAGUCAACAAUUCUUCCUAAGCUACAGACGGAAGAUCCAGCACAAAAGCCAGCUCCCUUUUUGAUCCCUUUUUCCCCCUUCUUAUUGCGGCGGCUCACCAGGAGAGGAGAGCCCUCCGUCCGUCCUUUCUUCCGGAAAUUACCAAAAUGGGCAUGACAUCUUCUCUUCCAAAAGUGCCCCUGGGACAAGCUUUCUCAUCUGAAUUCUUUUUUUUUCCAAUUUGGCACCUGUUAUCAUAUUUAUAUUCUACUCCCUGAAAUAAACGUCAAAUACUAAAAGUGAGUAGAAUCCAGCAAAUAAAUCCACAUCAAGUCAGGUAAUAGGAGGAAUUAAUAAUAAAAUAAAUGAAUAAAUUGCACCCUAUCAAUUCCCUCCACACCUAAACCAUGCUUGUCCUCAAGCAUAAGAAAAGUAAACGAACACCAAAAUUCGACGAUAGCCAUUGCCCAAUCUCCUAUAUUGCCAAGACAUUCAAGAGAAAAACACAUAUCGAGCAUUGGUGAUUAGAAUCCCAGAAGCAUCCCCCCGGUUAGCCUCUAACCCCCAGAUUCCUUCAAUUUCCAACUUAACUACUCUAAGAAAGAGGAAUGGCACACAACAUUUAUCAGCUAGUGGUCCGAAUAUUCACACAAGUCUUCAUAUCCAAUCCAUAAACCGGCAAGCUUCCCUAUUAUUUAGUCUCUCUUUUUUUCCGUUUUUUUUCAUUUUCAUUCUUCCCCUCUUUUUUUUUUUUUUUUAAAGCAGUAGCAAUCAACACAAAAGACUUAGUCGUUAGCCGUCAGGGCCUUUUGAUGCGAACUCCAACAUUUUUAGAAGGAGGAGCCCGGUUACUCAGCUCCUACCGCUAUACGACCACGCACUCAUAUAAAAUACCACCUUUUGACGCGAGAAUCGACACUUUUAGGUGCCGAUCCCCGGUUACUCAGUAGUAACUUAAUAGCGGAGCACAGUCAAGCUUAUUCUCAGCCAAACAAUGCACAAACGCAAAAUAACAGCACUAACAAUCAAACAUAGGAGCAGCUCGCCUCAUUAUUGUCAAACAUGGAGAACUGGAGUCAAUAUUGGACCAGUUCACAUUAAAAGGCCAUAUUCAUUCCCUACGCCUAGAAAAGUUAACAAAGAAAUCGAAAGAGUCAAACAGUUAAAUAUUCACCAAGGGGAUAUUCAGGACCCAACCACACUAACCCGAUACAUUUUGUAUUUUAAAAACUUGGCAAAAGUAGAUUUGGAGUCAAUGAGUCCACAUCUCAAUUUUAGCCUUCACAUGAAAGGCAAUCACCAAGAAGAAAGAACGGAAAAAUAAGCAACUAGAAAUGAGACUACGAAAAACUACUAAAACUAAAAACUCACUUUUUUUCUUUUUCUCUUUUUUUUUCUUUUUGAAUUUUUUUUUCAUUUUUAUUUUUUUUUAUUUUUUUUAUUUUUUAAACAUUAACUAUAAACAUUAACUACUAAAAACUAAAAACUAAAACUACUAAAAACUAAAAACACUAAAAACUGCUAAAAUGAAAAGCUGAAAACUGAAAACUACUAAAAACGGAGCACACUAGCAUAACUUUAGAUCCCCCCCACACCUAUAGGACACAUUGUCCUCAAUGUGACAAAUAAGAACCAAAAGUGAAGCACAAGUGAGAGGGGAAUCAGCCAAACUUCCCUGAAAUCGGGUCACAGCGGAGGGCGAGGUGGAAAUGGAGGUGCAAAGCCUGUAUGCAUCAGGAACUGUGCCAAAUUCUGUGCUAUGCCGGCGACAUUGGCGUCGACGUUGGUCAUCCGGGCCUGCAAAUCCUGAACCAGCUCCCUGAGAUGCUGCCAAUCAUCGGUCCCAGGUGGUGGAGGUGGCGCAGAAGUAGAGGUAGACGGCCCAGCAGUGUCCGCGGCCGACCCAGGGAAUGAAGAUGGCCCUGCCCGGGCCGAAUGGUGUGCACCCGGGGCUCGAGGUGGUCCCGGACGGGUAAACUGGUGAAAACCAUCUGGCAGACGCUCGACGACCCCCAUUUUCUCUAAGCAAACUACGUCCAAGUGCUCCAUCUCAAAUGCCAAAUGGAGGUCGUGGUCAUCCAGGUUAAGAACUCCCAACUGGGUCGCCAAGUGAGUGAUGUAGGACCCAAGGAUCAGUGGUUUGUUCUUCUUGGUCAAGACCGUCUUGAACUGUGCGGCCAACCAACAUCCCAAGUUCACCUUGAUAUUGUUCUUCAUACUCCAGAGAAAGAAGAAUUCGGGCCGAGAGAGUAUACCGGAGCUGUCCUUGCGCCCCGAGUAGCUAUAAGCUAAGAAUCGCUGAACAUAGCGGGCGCUAGGGUCCUUAAGAAAGGAGCUCCUGGACCGGGAAGGAUCGUAGCGUUGCCUAUCGACGGACAUGUCCUCCCAUACAUCAUGGUAGUGGGAGAGGAAAGGCUCUACGUAGUCACAGGCACUCUCCGCAUACUCCCUAGUCUCAGCAUACUCUCUAGUGAUAAACCCAAAUGCCAGAUUGAAUUGAGUAAUGGAGAAAUUGAAUUCUCGACCCAUGAGCCGGAAAUGAAUGACAUUCGGUGUUUCACCCGUGUAUCUCGUAGGUAAUUCGAACUCAAAGGUGGAGUAAAACUCCCGGAUCAGCUCAACAAAAGCGGGACAAGAAAUAUGGAAAUAUGGGCGCCACCCAAUGGCUGUGAACAUUUGCUCAACCUCCUCCCGUAUACCCAGGGCAGUUAGAGAGAGUCUAUGACAAGACUUACAGGAUAUUAUACGCCUCUCGCAGACCUUAGCGUACCUCUGCCGAUCGGCGGGUCUGGUAAAUGUUAAGUGCCCCCCAAAAUGAACAGGUGCAUCUACCUGAGCACCCCUAUCCCUACCCAAACGGGUUCGAACACUAGAAGAGGAGGGUAGGUUGGUAGGUGAGUUGACAGGAAUAGAGGCUUGUGGAGGGGGUUGAGACUGAGAGGUCCUAGACCUAGAGGAGGAUUUCGGUCUCACCAUUCCCCCCAAAGUAAGUUCAAGGCAACAGAAAAUCCGACAAGUAUAGAAACCAGCAAUUGACAAAGCAAAAAUCUCCCAGUAGUAACCCAGCCAAUAGCAAACAAAAGAGUUCCAGCAAGUAAUCAACAAGCAAUUCAGAAAUAUCUCAACUAAAAUCUCAAGAGAAACCCCAGCGAGUUAUCCAGCAAUUCAAGCAAUAUCCCCAAGCAAUGUGGUGGUCAAAAUGUCAUCUCCAAAUUGAACAAAUAAUCAGAGCAUUGCAACACAUUGAAAAUCUCAAUAAACGGCUCCAGUUGGCCAAGAAAAAUUGCUAACUCAUACUCAGCAAUAGUAGUGCAGCAAAGGGACAGUAACCACGCAAUAAAAACACUUAGCUUGCACUCAAAUGGUCACCCCAAAUAACAACCCAGUAUGAAACCCGCAGGCAGAGUAUUCCUCAAACCGUUAGCCUAAACCCAGUCAACAACCACGGCCAGAAAUAACCCCAUAAAUAGUGCAAUGAGUAAUCCCCAGCAACAUAAUCAGGUGUAAUCAACUGGAGCAAGCAAUUUACAUGGCAUAGAAACCUCCCAAUCAAACAAGUGCAUUAUUCUAGCGCACCCCAAAAUUCCAAGAAAUGGCUCCAGUUGGCCAAUUAAUUUCACAAUGUCACCCAACUCAGGAGAAAUAGCAAUUCCACACAAAAAUAGUCAAACCAGUACCACUGGCGAAAAAUCUUUCAAAUAUGCACAAUUUGCUACCAAAUAUCACCGGCUAACACUGAAAAAUUGAGGGCAAGUGUCAAAUACCUCCACAGGGACUACCCCAGGCGGCAGACAGAGAAGCGGCGUUGAAGCUGGUGGUCGAGCGGGGCGGCGCUCGCGUCGGCGUGCGCAGCGGCGACGGCGCGCGAGGAUGGAGUUUCGGGAGGUUGCGUGCGGGCUUGGCUGAAGACGCGGCGCGCGCUAGGGCUUCGCUGCGGCAGGCGUGCAGCAGGGGAGAAGAAAGAAAAGAGAAAGAAAGAAAGAAAAAGAAAGGAAAGAAAGAACAGAAAAGAAGGAAAAGAAAAAGGAAUUUUUCUUUUUUUUCUUUUUCUUUAGGCUACGGUUUAGAGGACAAAUUUUUCUUCUUCUUGUUUUCUACUUUUUUAUUUUUUUAUUUUUUAGUUUUUAAUUUAUUACUAUUAUUAUCAUAUUUAAUUGAGGAAAAAAAAUGUUUUUUUUUAAAUCCCUACCUUUCCCACGAACGUGACGCGGGCACGUCAAGAGGGCAAGAGAGCUCCCAGAAGUUUCAGAAUUUUCUGAUCGUAAGCGUCCUGCACAUCACCACGCGGGCACGUCAUGAGGACAGGAGAGCUCCCAGAAGUUCAGAAUUUUCUGAUCGUGAGCGCCCUGCACGUCACCACGCGGGCACGUCAUGAGGCCAGGAGAGCUCCCAGAAGUUUGAAGUUUCUGAUUCCUGCCCGUCAUCACGCGGGCGCGUCAUGACUGAAGGUCACCUACAAAUCAGCAAAAACGAAAACUAACACCCAAAAUCAGUCAAAUUCAGGGAAAGCAGAUUUAAACUAUGCUACAAAACCAACAAACAAUUAAAAGAAAUAAUUAGGUUGCCUCCCAAUGAGCGCCUUUCUUUAAUGUCUUUGGCUAGACAUGGUAAAGUGUCACUGAUUAGGACACGGUGGUGCGUCAAGCCUUAUUGUCUCCACCUCUCUACCUGAAAAUCCUUCGUAAUAAUAUUUGAGACGGUGUCCAUUCACCACAAAUUUGUUGUCUGUCUUAGCACUCUGGAUCUCAACUGCACCAUAGGGAAAAACAUGAGUAACAAUGAAAGGUCCAAUCCAACGGGAACGUAGCUUACCUGGGAAUAGCUUGAGCCUGGAUUGGUACAGGAGGACCUUCUGACCAACUUCAAAUGUUUUUCUUGAAAUUUGUUGGUCAUGAAAUGCCCGGCUUUUCUCCUUAUAUAUCAAGGCGUUUUCGUAUGCUUCGUUCCGGAUCUCCUCCAAUUCUUGCAAAUCCAACUUCCGUUGAGCACCGGCCUCCUCUAAAUUCAUAUUGCAGUGCUUUAUCGCCCAAAAAGCCUUGUGCUCGAACUCCACUGGAAGGUGACACGGCUUCCCAAAUACCAACCUGUACGGUGACAUCCCAAUAGGAGUCUUGUACGCCGUCCGAUAGGCCCAGAGUGCGUCUUCCAACCUUUGGCUCCAGUCUUUUCUAUCAGGGCGCACCAUUUUCUCUAAAAUGGACUUAAUCUCCCGAUUCGACACCUCCGCUUGACCAUUGGUCUGAGGGUGGUAUGACGUUGAGACCCUGUGGAGUACACCAUACUUGCGAAACAACGCAGCUAUGGUUUUGUUGCAAAAGUACGUUCCCCUAUCACUGACAAUAGCUCUAGGCAUUCCAAACCGCACAAAGAUAUUAGACCUGAUAAAAUCUGCAACUACUCUCGAAUCAUUAGUUCGAGUGGCCUUAGCCUCCACCCAUUUAGACACAUAAUCAACUGCCAGCAAAAUAUAUAAAAAACCAAAUGAAGUAGGAAAAGGCCCCAUGAAAUCUAUACCCCAGACAUCAAAAAUUUCAACAAAAAUCAACGGGACCUGGGGCAUUUGAUCUCUACGGGCUAUAUUACCUACCAUUUGACAGCGAUCACAUGACUUACAAAACACAUAGGCAUCUCUAAACAAUGAAGGCCAAUAAAAUCCACUUUCUAAAACCUUAUGAGCAGUUCUCUUAGGUCCAAAAUGACCUCCACAGGCAAAAGUAUGACAAAAAGCUAAAAUUGAUUGAAAUUCCAUUUCACUUACACAUCUCCUCAUCACUUGAUCGGCACACCUCUUCCAUAGGUACGGGUCAUCCCAGAUAAAAUACUUGGCAUCGCUCUUCAAUUUAUCCCUCUUCGAUUUCGGCCAACCUGCAGGAAAAUUACCAGUUACCAAAUAAUUGACCAAAUCAGCAUACCAAGGCAACUGAGAAUUUAAGAAAAAUAGGUAUUCUUCGGGGAAUGCAUCCUUCAAUGGCUCGCUAUCCUCUUCAACUAGUAUGCGACUCAAAUGGUCCGCUACUAGAUUUUCUGAGCCUUUUUUGUCCCUUAUCUCCAAGUCAAAUUCCUGUAGGAGCAGUAUCCACCGUAUGAGCCUCGGUUUUGCAUCUUUCUUGGUCAUCAGGUACCUCAAUGCUGCAUGAUCAGAAAAUACAAUCACUUUAGCACCUAACAAGUAUGACCUAAAUUUUUCCAAAGCAAAAAUAACUGCCAGAAGCUCCUUCUCAGUGGUGGAAUAAUUCAACUGGGCUCCAUUCAAGGCCCGGGAUGCGUAAUAGAUGACAUGAGCCGCCUUGCCUAUUCUUUGCCCCAGUACAGCCCCAACAGCGUGAUCACUGGCAUCGCACAUGAUCUCAAAUGGCAAAUUCCAAUCGGGGGGUUGGAUGAUUGGGGGUGAAGUCAGCAAUUCCUUCAGCUUGUUAAAGGCUCUCUCACACUUAUCAUCAAAUUCGAAGGCUACAUCUUUUUGUAGGAGUUGGAACAACGGGGCUCCAAUCUUUGAAAAAUCCUUGAUGAACCUUCGAUAAAAACCUGCAUGUCCAAGAAAAGAGCGCACCUCCCGCACACUCGCGGGGUAAGGUAAUGCAGAAAUAAUGUCUAUUUUAGCCUUGUCAACUUCUAUGCCCUUAGACGAUACAAUAUGACCCAGGACUAUUCCGUGCUCAACCAUAAAAUGACAUUUUUCCCAAUUAAGCACAAGAUUAGUCUCUAUACACCUGAUCAGGAUUAAUUUCAGGUUAUCUAGACAAGUAUCAAAACUAUCACCAUACACACUGAAAUCAUCCAUGAAAACUUCUAUUAUUUUCUCAACAUACUCGGAAAAGAUGCUUACCAUACAUCUUUGGAAAGUCGCAGGUGCAUUGCACAACCCAAAUGGCAUUCGUCUGUAGGCAAAGGUCCCGAACGGGCACGUGAAGGUUGUCUUCUCUUGAUCCUCCGGGGCAAUUGCUAUCUGAAAGUAUCCUGAAAAUCCAUCCAAAAAGCAAUAAUAAGCCCUACCAGCUAAACGUUCAACCAUUUGGUCAAUGAAAGGGAGAGGGAAAUGGUCCUUUUUGGUGACGGCGUUUAGCCUACGGUAAUCUAUACAUUGCCUCCAUCCAGUGGGUUUGCGCACUGGCACGAGCUCACCAGUUUGGUUGGCCUCUACCGUCACUCCUGCAUUCUUUGGGACUACCUGGACCGGACUCACCCAAGGGCUAUCAGAUAUUGCAAAAAUGAUGCCCACAUCUAGCAAUUUUAGAAUCUCUUUCUUUACGACUUCCAUCAUGAGGGGAUUGAGCCUUCUUUGAGCCUGCCUAACAGGUUUGGCAUCGUCUUCCAGCCUAAUCCGGUGCAUACAAAUGGCCGGGCUGAUCCCCUUAAUGUCUGCGAUUGUCCAGCCUAUUGCCUCUUUAUGCUCCCGAAGGACCCGGAUCAAUUUCUCUUCCUGGGUCUUUGACAGUGCCGAUGAGAUAAUCACUGGGAGUGUCUCAUUAUCACCUAGGUAUGCGUAUUUCAGGUGCUCUGGUAGAGGUUUCAACUCCAGUACAGGUGCCUGCACCACAGAUGGCAAUACCCUCUGGUGAGCCUUGGGAGUAAAAAUAGGUAAGACUUCAUACCUUUUCGUGGUGGUCUGCAACGAGUGUAAUGCACCUAUUGUGCAUUUUAAAUCCUCGCUCCACUCCACCUCAGGAGUUGUCUCCAACUCGAGGUGCUUGGUUAAAGCCACCUCCAGCUCAUCCCUGCCAUCAGUUUCAAACACUUCCUGCACUACAGGGUCAAUAGCACUCACAGAAAAAACUGAGCUAAAGUUGGAGUUAGAGGGGUACUUCAUAGUAUCAAAAAUAUUAAAAUGCACAAUUUACCCAUCAAACUCCAUGGACAAGGUACCCUUAUUAACAUCAAUUUUCGUCUGCGCAGUGCUCAUAAAAGGUCUACCCAAUAACAAAGGUGAGGGAUCAGGGGAGUGAUCAUCAUCCAUAUCUAGUACAUAAAAAUCAGCUGGAAACACCAAAUCAUUAACCUUUACCAACACAUCUUCAAUCAACCCAUCAGGAUAUGCAUUAGUUCGGUCAGCUAAUUGAAUAAUUAUUCCAGUUUCUUUUAAUGGACCUAGUUUCAAAGAAGCAUAGAUAGAUUUAGGCAUGACAUUAAUUGAUGCUCCCAGAUCCAGCAUGGCCCUUCUGAUCACAGUAUUACCUAUCUUACAGGGAAUAGUAAACAUACCUGGGUCCCCGCACUUUGGUGGGAGCUUUCUCUGCAGGACCGCAGACACAUUUUCUCCAACUAUGACCCGUUCAUCUCCCCUCAACCGCCUUCGGUUGACACACAAGUCCCUUAGGAACUUGGCAUAUUUUGGUACUUGUUUGAUGGCGUCUAAGAGGGGGAUAUUUAUCUCAACCUUGCGAAAAACCUCCAAGAUCUCCUUCUCCUUAUCCUGCUUCUUCGAUUUUUCCAACCUGCUAGGAAAAGGAGGCGGGUUAGUUUUAACUGUAAUUAUUGGGUCAGGAAGUACCUCUGGAUCUGCACCAUUGCUGUCCUCCCUUUCGAGCUCAUUUUCGAUCUUCUCUUCAUCCUUGUCCUUGGGAAUCACAGGUUCAGGCCCCUGAAUUUCUUUCCCACUCCUUAGGAUCAUUGCGCUCACGUUCUUCGGAUUCAACUCCGGUUGAGAUGGCAGCUUCCCUUGGUUCUGGGACUCCCAACGGUUCAUUCUGGUGGCCAAUUGACCUAUCUGAUUCCUUAUGUCCUGCAUUUCGGAGUCCGUCUUUUGCUGAUUUUGCAUAAUAGCUGCCUCCGUCCUUUGCUGAUUCUGCGCCAUGGUUGUCAUCAUUUGUUUCAGCAUCUCAUCCGUAGAUGAACCAGAUUGAGGGAGCGGAGGUGGUCGGGGUUGGUAUUGCUGCUGGUACCCUGGUGGCUUAUUUGGCACAAAGUUAGACUGCCUGUUUGGCGUGAAGUUGGAUUGCCUAUUUCCACCAUAACUGAGGUUGGGAUGAUCUCUCCACCCGGGGUUGUAGGUGCUUGAGUAAGGGUCGUACUGCUUCCUUGGCGCGGGCGCGUGGUCAGCCAUGUUCACCUGUUCCGCAGUUUCUUCCUGAAUCAUUGGGCACAUGUCUGCAGAGUGACCUAUACCAGUGCAAAUCCCGCAUACCCUGGCUUGUGAUGCAUUUCUCACAGCCUAUUGCCUAACGAACGCAGUCAACUCAUUUAGCUGCUGCUGCACAGAGGGUGUCUCUAUCUCAUUCACCCUACGUAUUGGGACAUCCUAUCUUGUACUGAAUUGCUGUGAAUUCUCUGCCAUCCCCUCUAUUAACUCCCGUGCUUCCUGAGGGGUUUUGUUCACCAGUGCCCCUCCACUUGCAGCAUCAAUGAUGCUCCUGUCUCUAAAAAUGAGCCCCUCAUAGAAAUAUUGUAUGAUCAACUGCUCACUUAUUUGGUGAUGGGGGCACCUGCGCAACAAGCUCUUAUACCGUUCCCAAUACUCGUAAAGUGACUCCUCGGGAUGCUGCUUGAUCCCACAAAUUUCUUUCCUUAGACUCGCAGCCCUGGACGCAGGAAAAUAUUUAUCCAGAAAUUUUUUCUUCAAUUGGUCCCACGUGGUGAUGCUACCUGGUGACAGGUAGUACAGCCAGUCCUUCGCAGAAUCUUUCAAGGAGAAGGGGAAUGCCCUCAUUUUUAUCUGCUCUUCUGUGAUUCCCGGGGGUUUCAUACUGUUGCAAACGACAUCAAACUCCUGCAGAUGCUUAUACGGCUCUUCACCUGGUAAACCAUGAAAAGAGAGUAAAAGCUGAAUCAGACCAGAUUUUAGUUCAAAUGGAAUGUUGUCAUUUAAAGCUGGGAAAGUAAUGCAUAACGGCUGCUGAGUUAAAUCAGGAGCAGCCAACUCCCUUAAUGUUUAUGCAUUAGCCAUGGUGCCUUCCUGCUGGUCAGAGUCACUCGAAGUGUUACCAAACGAAUCUGUUGGUUCAACUUCUGACUCGGGUCUUUGAGAUGUAGCACUAGAGUGCUCUUCUCUGAGCUGUCUGGUUUCCUUUCUCGUUCUACGCGCGGUCUUCUCUACCUCAGGAUCAAAAACCAAAUCACCUGUGCGACAAGAUCGAGGCAUACACUAGAAGAAAACCAGAAAAUUAGGACAAAAUUGAAUUUAAGAAGAAACAAAUAAUAACGCCAGUCCCCGGCAACGGCGCCAAAAAUUGACAGGUCGUCAACCUGUGCAAUAAUAAAAUUAAACCUAAUUGCCAGUUAAAAUGACCAAAACCCAAUUCCAAGUACUGGAGCAGGGACUCUAGGUGUGCAAUGGGUUACUUGAUUCACCCUGUUCCCGAAGAGUUUGCUUGAUCCGAUAUACCCGAAUGGAAUGGUUAUUCCUUUUCACAAAUGAUUAGGAAUUUGUAGACAGGGCAAGUAGGGUCGUAUCCACAGAGACUGGGUAUAUUUGUUUCUUAAGAAAUCCAAAGUAACACAGGGGGUGAUUUUGUAGGAACGACGAUAAUUAAAUAAAUUCAAAUGAGAAAGUAAAAAUAAAUAAUUAACUAGAAAUUAAACCACAAUUUACUGAACUCAGGAUAACAAUAGUUAAAGGCCUCAAUUAAUUAAAAUAAGGAAACAAUCAAAAAUAAAAUAAAGUAGGUAAUUAAAAGUCAAAUGGCAAUCCACUACAAUCAAGGAAAUAUUAACUAAAGAUCUAGCCAAGAAAUAACUUCAGCAAUGGUUCACCUAAUCGAUCAUUGAUGCAAAGCAAUCCCAAUUAUUUACUAAUAAAUAGGUUAUAACUACCAAACAAGCGAUGGCAGUCAACCCCUCCUUACUGUGUCGGUGAUCAAGGUACGCCCGUUAAUCACUGCUCUAAUUGAGAAAUAAUCCUAGGUACGCCCGUAGAAUUUAAUUCCCCAACUGCCUUACGUAUUAGAGGAGCCCUAUUCUACCCAAAUAACACACUACCAGGGUUAUUUUAGAUUAGCCCGCGUAUCCCCCUGACACGAAUCUAAUCGUGCCAGUUGUCACUAAUUUGAGGUAAUUAAACAAUUACGGAUUCAAUACCCCAAUUGACAAUAGAUUAUCAAACCAAUGAAUUAUCCGGAUCCAAGACAAUCAACUAAUUAAAUAAUCAUAAGCACUGCAACCAAGGAAUAUGCGAAUACCAAUAAAUAAAGGAAAAGAUAAAAUUAAAUCGAUCUCACAAUUUACAGGUGAUCCAAAGCAUCAGUCGUUUCUUGACUAGAACGAGGGGGUUAGCUCAUAUUGGAUGAACUAAGCCCGCGGGAAAUUCCAGCAAAAGUCACGGCCGUUGUAUGCAUUUCAAGAGCCGCAAUUCGUCAAACACUUGGAAAGCGAAUGUAAGGCACGGGUAACAAUUGAAGCUUUCUAAUUGUUCCUAGCAUUCGUAAAGCAAAUUCACUCCAGAAGUACAGUGAGGAAAAGUCAAAGAAAGUGGGCUUCAAUUCCUUGCUCCUGACAUGCGUGGAGACAAGCCAAUGCAAGACUACAAUAAACUAACAAGGAAAAGUCAAGAAUUGGAGCUAAGCUCCCCUGCCAUGCGCAGGAAUCCGAAAAGUAAAAAGUAAAGCUUCAAAGAAAAGUCAACAAUUCUUCCUAAGCUACAGACGGAAGAUCCAGCACAAAAGCCAGCUCCCUUUUUUAUCCCUUUUUCCCCCUUCUUAUUGCGGCGGCUCACCAGGAGAGGAGAGCCCUCCGUCCGUCCUUUCUUCCGAAAAUUACCAAAAUGGGCAUGACAUCUUCUCUUCCAAAAGUGCCCCUGGGACAAGCUUUCUCAUCUGAAUUCUUUUUUUUUCCAAUUUGGCACCUGUUAUCAUAUUUAUAUUCUACUCCCUGAAAUAAACGUCAAAUACUAAAAGUGAGUAGAAUCCAGCAAAUAAAUCCACAUCAAGUCAGGUAAUAGGAGGAAUUAAUAAUAAAAUAAAUGAAUAAAUUGCACCCUAUCAGAAAAAUGCAAAAAUUUGUUAUUUAUCAUUAAGGAUCAUAUCGCAUAUAACAUCAAAAAAUAGUAUAUUAUUUAUAUCUUUCACUUAAUAUAAUAUCCAAAUUACUCUUUUCAGUUACAUACCCAUUGUUAGACAAAAUCAACAACAAAUAACCAAAAAAUUUGCAACCAAAAUAUUACCAAAAAAAUAAACUUUAACAUCAUAAAUAUUUUUAUCAACAUAUUAAAGUUAGUUAUUGAAAUUUUUAUGGUGUUAAACUUCACUCUUAGCAAUAUUUUGGUUACAGAUUUUUUUGAUUAUUUAUUGUUGAUCGUGUUUGACAAUGGAUUUGUAACUGAAAAGAAUAAUUUGAAUCUUACAUUAAGUGAAAUAUAUAAAAUAUUAUACUAUUUUUUAUGGCAUAUGUGAUUCUUUUUUUUUUUUUUAUCAGAACGGCAACAUUGUAUUAAUAGUAAACCAAUUACAGUAUAGGUGGGCAACCGCCCUCACAAUCUGCCUGGACUUGUUCCAGCAGCCAAACUGGGAAGUUUUCCUUCCAUUCAGUAUUUUGUUCCAAAGUAAUAGCUACUUUAGCUAGUUUAUGGCUAACAAAGUUGUUCACCCUAUUUGCAAAGGUAAAACAACAUUCAUCAAAUUUUAUUCAUGUACAAUUGUUGCUAUCACCACGUCCUCCUCCUCCUCCUCACUGCACACUACUUGACUACCACCCUUCGCCAACCUUGCUGUUGCAUGUGCAACUAUCAUGGCCUCUCUUAGCGCCUUUGCUUCUUCGACCUUUGGACUGGCACAGCUAAAAUUUGGAACAGCCCAGGCCCACCCGCAAUCUUCCCAACCAAUCCCUGGCCACCCUUUUCCCACCCAGCUUCUAUGGCAUGUGUGAUUCAAUCCUUCUUGAUAGGAUUGGUAAUAGAGGCAGAGGGGGGAGCCGGCUGCAUCCGGUCUACUUUUCAUAGAUAGUACAAUAUUGCGAAAUCGAUCGCAUUCACACAAGAAUAUUUCGAAGUCAUUGCAUCGCUAAGUUGCAAAAAAGUACAAACACUUGUUAUUAUAUAGCUUAAGAUUCAAAACUUUAGAGCACAACCCUCCACCUAACACAAUUGAAUAAUGAAUAUUCACGAUUGUCAAAUCUGUCAAAGCACAGUUUGAGGACAACCCAUUCCAACCUGCAAAAGAUUUUUGACUUUUUUAAAGUUGUUGAGAGCUGUAAAAAGACUUACCAUGCUUACAUCUUCCGAGCCUUGGGAGUUAAAAAUGAAGGCACUGAGUGCUAUAAAAAGGGGGCUAGAGGCUGCCUAGAAGCAUAUCAGCCUAAAACAAGAAUUUGUAGUUAUGAUGGGAAGCAAAGCAAAAGCAAUGGGGUCUGGGCUGACUCCUCUUCUUACCACUGUUUUAGUGGUAUUUGUUGCUCUUGGCUUGCCCUCAGAAACUGCAGCUGAUGAUCACUACAAGUAUUCAUCUCCUCCUCCUCCUUACCACUAUCCCUCACCACCACCUCCAGUGCAUUUACCUCCACCAGUGUACAAAUACAAGUCCCCACCACCACCUCAUCAUGUUUACAAGUACAAAUCUCCACCACCCCCACCACCACACCCAGUUUACAAGUAUAAGUCGCCACCACCACCUCCUCAUCCGGUAUACAAGUACAAGUCUCCUCCGCCACCUCCUCAUCCGGUACCACACCCAGUUUACAAGUAUAAGUCACCACCACCACCUCCUCAUCCGGUACCACACCCAGUUUACAAGUAUAAGUCUCCUCCGCCACCAGUUUACAAAUAUAAGUCUCCUCCACCACCACCUCCAGUGUACAAAUACAAGUCUCCACCACCACCAGUUUACCACUACAAGUCUCCACCACCUCCUCCCCCAGUUUACAAAUACAAGUCUCCACCACCACCACCACCAGUUUACCACUACAAGUCACCACCACCUCCUCCCCCAGUUUACAAAUACAAGUCUCCACCACCUCCUCACCACUACUAAGCAAUUGCUUCUGAGGUAAUAACACUUGUUCAAUAUACCCACUUCUGCAUGAUAAAGCAUAUCUCUAUCAACACAAACUGUCAUGUCUAUCAUGCUAAGUGCCUUCACUUCAUCCACCAAAAUGACUGCUAGAAAAUUUUUUUUAUGUUACCAAAGAAAGGCAUCAUUUUUUCCCUCUGUUAUCAAGAACUUGUACAGUAUAUAGAUUAAAGAGUAUUUUUUUAACUAGCUUAUCAACUGAGAAAUGCAUAUAGCUGAUAGCCAGCUGAAUAUUUGCAGGCAAAGGAGAAGGAAACCAGUGUUUGAGACCUUCUUGAAGAUGUAGAAGCAUAAGAAUUAAAGCCCAAUGUGAAGAUGAUGAUUUCAAGUUUUUCUACGUUACCAUUUCUUUAUCUAAAUUGGUUGUAGCGCCUUAGUUCCUUUGUUUAUGGGAUUUGUAUCGUUUUACGUACCAUGCAGUACAUGUCAUGUUUGUAAGGUUUUCUAUCCUGCCGGCAAACCGCAGGUUCCAUGUAAUAAAUCAAUACUAUUUAUAUUACGACACUUUUCUCUGUUUCUCUUAUAUUUUGUCGUCUUUAAUAUUCUUAAUCAUAUUUUUAACAAAAAUAUUCAAACACUUAGGCAAUCUGGUCUAAUGCUAAUUGUAUGUUUUACUUUUCUUUUUCACCUGCUCCCCUUUUCAACUCAAAAGGAUGCAAUAGUUUGUGAUCACUGUUGAAGACGGAAGCAUGAUACUAAUGAAUAUAUCAUUGAAACUCAAGGAAACUAACAUUAUGAAAAGUGUAAAUCUUGAUUUGAUGCAACUAUUUAUUCGUGGAAUCUAUAGUUACAAAACUCAAACUCUGACUGCGCCAUUGAUAAAUUAUUAAUGACGCUAUCAUCAUUAUUUAUCCCCAACUAGUUUCGACUACAACUGAACCCAAUAUUUUCCCCAUGAUAAAAGUUUUUUACUAUUUUACUGGCCUCUCUUCAAAUUUUAAAAAUUACACUAAUCUUCAUUGAGAUUAAUUAUCUUGUAGCAUUUAAGUCCAAUUAAUAAUUAAAAAAUAAUAUUAUGAGAGAGAAAAUAAUAUAAUUUUAUCAUUGCCCCCCAUCUUGCUAUAUUAUUUAAUUAAUUUAAUAGCAACCCACACAUUAAAGAAAAAUACUAAAAUUUGCUGCUUUUCAUUAAAGAUCAAAUUGCAUAUGCCAUAAAACAUAGUAUAUCAUUCUAUAUGUUUCACUUAAUGUAAGAUCCCAAUUGUUCUUUUCAAUUACAAACCCAUUGUCAAACAUGAUCAAUAACAAAUAACCAAAAAAUUUGCAACCAAAAUAUUACAAAAAAAAACUUUAACAUCAUAAAUAUUCUUACCACCUCUAGUGCAUUCACCCUCAUAAAAUAAUUCAAGACCCUACUGUCAUAAAAUGACUGAUCAACUCCUGUAAACCUAAUUUGACAACAUUUAAAUGGAGAACUUUAGCUAAAAGAAUUAUGGUCAAGCUAAAGAAAAAACCAGUUAUUUUCCAACAUAUGCAAUCAUUGAUCAGGGAAAAAAAAAAGAAGCAAAAAGACAUCUUCAAUCAUUUAAUAGCUUACAGGGCAAAUUAACCCCUAAGCGAAAACUGGUUGCUCUAGAAUCAAAAUUUUACUUUAGUUACCCAGGCAACUUUUUUUGUUGCCUUUUCUUUUUCUUUUUUGGGUAUAUAUAUAGCUCCAGUUUUGCCCCCUCUGUCAAGCUUAUAUAAUUAUUAAGAUAAUAAAAGUGCCUUUAAUAGUAUUAAUAUAUCCAUUGACUUGAGCUGUCAUCGAUCGGUUUGGGCUACUUCGAUUCCAUGAGAACAAAUGGUAAUAAAAGUACUCAGAAAAUGGGGAGUCAUGAAACCCUUUUGUUCUAUUCAUUGCUAAGAUGCUUUUCUCUAUAAAGACACUUCCUAACGAAAAUACUUUGUAGAUUUCUUUACUCCAAGUGGUGCAUGGAAAAUUAAUAUUUUCAAUUAUCAAAUAAAAUUCCCUUUUUUCGGUGUAGAUUUCAUCCAUUCAGCUGUUAACACUCCGAAUUGACUAAUCUUUUCGUUUCCAUUUUCCAACUUGCGAAUACGGCAUCUUACAUAUUGUCUGCUGAAUAUGAAUACAUAUCCCUUUUCUGAGCAGGUGCAGAGUCAUUAUCAUUUUUAUUCCCACCUAACAAAUUAGUUAAUAAUCUUUUAAAGAACAUGUUAAAUUAAUUUAUUGGUAUGAAUAGUAGUCAAAGAAGUAUGUUAAAGUUAGUAAUCUUUAAAAUAAUAUGUUAAAAUUAUUCGUACAAAUUAGCCAGAGAAGUAGCAUAAACACCGCGAUGCAAUUAAUACUUUCAAUCUCAAGGUCUCUAUUAUGGAAAUUUGCAUCGGUCAACAUACACAAAGCAUUAUUGUAUGCACGUCUCUCUAUUAUGGAAAUUUGCAUAGGUCAAUAUACACUUGGCAUAGUUGCAUGCACGUCCAAUUUUUUUUUAUUUUUAUUUUUGGUAUUUUACUUCCUGCCUUAAGUUGCCUGCAGAUGUUUGUAUUACAAAUAUAUGGUAUACUAAAUAUAUAGUAUGCACAUUAAUUUCUUUGGGUUGCUUAAGGGUAUAUUGUUAAUAAUAGGGGGUUUAACCAUAAAUUAUAACAAUGAUGAAGUAAUAUAUAUUAGAAAAUUAACACAAUUAUGAUUUUUUUUUUUGUAAAAUUCAAAUUUUAUUAAUAAGAAAUGAAAUAGGCAGUAAGCAUUUACAAACCGAAAACAAAAUCCUACAACAACUCUAGGACUCUACACCUUAUUAAAAAAAAACAUUUUGAUAGCGUUUUUCCAAAAGCAGAAGAUGGAAAAUUGCCCAUUUGUACUGGGGAGUUCGUGAUCUUUUCCUCAUUCUAGUCUACUUACAAUUCUUGGAAAAAGGAAUACUCACAUCUCAAACAACAGCCUGUUCAUCUGCAGUGUCCUGCCGAAUUCUAGAAAGUUUGGUGGCAAUGUUAAUUACAUUUCAAAAUUGACUGCUGCGAUAACUAAUUCGAUGGCUUACUACAUGGUCAACGUUUGGAUCUCUUCCUGUCCUUUUUGGAUGCACAUUUUUUUUCUCUAGGUAAUAUAUAAUCUCCCAACUCAUUUCUUUACAAAUGCACCUUUAAUCACCACCAAAAGGUGUGGACAUGAUCUUUACCCUAGAAAACUAUUCACCGACAGGCAAAUUGACGUCAGAAAUACUAAGAGGAAUUCUAGUUUCCUUCGGGUUAAUGCCAUUUUGUACCCUUCAACUGUAACUCAAUUUCUAAGCUGUAAUUUGUGACAUUAUAGUCCUUAAACUAUGAAACCCUUUCUUAUUUAAUUACAAUGGUUAAUACAAUGCCCGUGACUAGACAAGUAUGAAGCAACCAUAACAAAAAAAAAAUCCAAAAUUAGAGAAAAGAAAGAAGUUGCGACCAAAGUAUGUAUCAAGGCAUAGUAUAGAAAUAAAAGUGUCAAAAUUAAGAGUUUAGGGAUAAAAAAGAAUCAAAAUAUAGUUUAGGAAUUGAUUUGUCUCAAUUAGAGUUUAGAUGUCAACUAAGAAGAGAGAUAUAGUUGAAGGGUAGAAUAUAGAUAUAACAGUUCAAUGAUUGAUAUCAACGAGACAAUGACAACUUUGGAUUAUUACCAACCUCUUCUUGAUGGAAAAGGAAAUAGAGAAGAAAGUCGGGCCUGGUCUAAGCCUGUUUCGGAGGCAAAACAACAUUAUGAAAUCACCGGCAUUCACACAAAUAUGUCAAAGUCACCGGCAUGCUAAGUUGCAAAAUUUAUACAAACACUGAAUAUUAUAUUCUUCUCAAAAUUUUUGUUUAAGAUUUAACAAUUAGAGCACGGUACACGAAUUAGCAAUAUUAAAUAAUGAAUGUUCACGAUUGAUAAAGUUAUCAAAGUACAGUUUGAGGACAACCCAUUCCAACGUGUACAAGAUGUUUAGCCUUUGAAAAGUUAAUUAGAGAAGGUGACGAGAUUUUACUAGGCUUACAACUUCUAGGCCUUGGGAGUAAAAAGUGAAGACACUGAGUGCUAUAAAAAGGGGGCUAGAUGUUGCCUAGAAGCAUAUCAGCCUCGGACCACAUUUUGUAGCAAUGGGGAGCAAAGCAAAAGCAAUGGGGUCUAGGCUGACUCCUCUUUUUACCACCGUUUUAGUGGUAUUUGUUGCACUUGGCUUGCCUUCAGAAACUGCAGCUGAUUACGACAAGUAUUCACCUCCUCCUCCUCCUUACCAUUAUUACUCACCACCACCUCUUGUGCAUUCACCUCCACCACCGCCAGUUUAUAAGUCACCCCCACCACCUUAUCACUACUUCUCACCACCACCUCCAGUGUAUCCAUCUCCACCACCAUCUGUUUACAAGUCACCUCCACCACCUUCGCCAGUAUACAAGUCCCCACCACCACCUUAUCAAUAUUCCUCACCACCACCUCCAGUGCAUUCACCUCCACCACCACCGAUUUAUAAGUCACCUCCACCACCUCCUCCAGUUUACAAGUCCCCGCCACCACCUUACCAUUAUUCCGCACCAUCACCUCCAGUGCAUUCACCUCCACCACCACCGAUUUACAAGUCACCUCCACCACCUCCUCCAGUUUACAAGUCUCCAUCACCACCUUACCAUUAUUCCUCACCACCACCUCCAGUGCAUUCACCCCUACCACCACCGGUUUACAAGUCUCUGCCACCACCUUACCAUUAUUCCUCACCACCACCUCCUAUGCAUGCACCUCCACCACCAAUAUACAAGUCACCUCCACCACCUCCUCCAGUUUACAAGUCUCCACCACCACCUUACCAUUAUUCCUCACCACCACCUCCAGUGCAUUCACCCCUACCACCACCAGUUUACAAGUCUCCGCCACCACCUUACCAUUAUUCCUCACCACCACCUCCUGUGCAUGCACUGCCACCACCAAUUUACAAGUCACCUCCACCACCUCCUCCAGUUUACAAGUCCCCACCACCACCUUACCAUUAUUCCUCACCACUACCUCCAGUGCAUUCACCUCCACCACCACCGAUUUACAAGUCACCUUCACCACCUCCUCCAGUUUACAAGUCUUCACCACCACCUUACCAUUAUUCCUCACCACCACCACUCUUCAAUUUGGAUGUAAUUCAAUUUUCCUUGUAAUCGGUGGCCCUCCUUCGGAAUCCAAAUAGUCAUUGAGUGCAGCCUUCUUUCUUUAUUUUUUACUCAUUUUCACCUCAUAAAUUGCUUUCAUCCCCUAAAACUUGUUCGCUGGAAUUUUGAAUUUACCCAUACAACUAAACUCAGAAAAUUCUUACACAAAGGGAUUAGUAGCAUGAAUAGCAAACACAGAAUAAGAGAUAACAGUAUGUUUUAUUGUAUUAAAAAUAUUAAAGUGGAUUAUUUCUCCAUCGAAUUCCAUUGUGAGAGUAUCGUUACUAACAUCAAUCUUAGUUUGAGCAGUACUCAAGAAUGACCUUCCUAAUAUAAUGGGUGAUGGAUUUGGGACACUUUCAUCAUCCAUAUAAAACACAUAAAAAUCAACAGAAAAAAUUAAUCCAUCUACUUGAACUAAAAACAUCCUCAACUACCCCAUUUAGAUAAGCAAAUAUACGAUCAGCCAAUUGAAUUAUUAUCCCUAUUUCUUUUAAAUGUUCUAAAUUUAGGGAAUCAUAAAUUGAUUUAGACAUCACAUUAAUAGAAAUCUUUAAAUCUAUCAUGGCAUUUUUUAUAUUAGAAUGUCCAAUCUUACAUGAGAUAGUAAACAUACCUAGAUUCUCGCAUUUAGGUGGUAGUUUCCUUUGUAAAAUUGCUGAAACGUUCUCAUCUACCACAAUAUGCUUGUCCUCCUCAAUUUCUUCUUGUUGACACACAAGUUUUUCAAGCAUUUAACGUAUUUUGGAACUUAUUUGAUUUGCGUCCAACAAAGGGAUAUUGAUUGCCACCUUGCGAAAAUCUCUAAAAUCUCCUUUUCUUUAUCUUGUUUCUUUGAUUUCUCUAACCUGCUUGGAAAAGGUGGUGAGUUAGUUCCAACUCUAAUUAUAGAAUCAACAAUUACCUUUGGAUUCACAUUUCUCAUUCCUUCCUCCUCAAGCUCUUUGUCGAUUCGAUCUUCAUUUUUAUCCUUUGGAAUCACAACUUCGGAUCCCUGAAUUUUCUUCUCGCUCCUUAAGGUCAUUACACUUACAUUCUUCAGGUUCAGUUCAGGUUGAGACGACAAUUUUUCAUAGAUUUGGGAUUCCAGGCGGUUGAUUGCUAUUACCAUCUGACUCAUCUGACUCUGCAGUGCUUGCACCUGUCCCAAUUGAUUCCUCAUACUUUGCAAGUCAAAAUCCAUCUUUUGUUGAUUAGCAAUUAAUUGCUUCAUUAUCUCUUCUAUAGAUGGACUUGAGUUUGAAAGAGGUGGUGGCGGGCGAGACUGAUACUGUUAUUGAUACCCUUGCUAUCUAUUUGGUGCAAAAUCUGGCUACCUAUUUCCUCCAUAGCUGAGGUUGGGAUGAUCUCUCCAACCAAUAUUGUACGUAUUCGUGUACGAGUCGUAUGGUUUUCUUGGCACGGCGCGUGACCAGCCAUGUUCACUUGCUCCGUACUUUUCUCUUGAAUCAUUGAGCACAUCUCUGUAGAAUGACCCAUAGCAGUGCAGAUCCCACACAUCUUGACUCGUGAUGCAUUUCCUAUAGCUAAUUGCCUAACAAAGGAUGUUAAUUCGGUCAACUGCUGUUGGAUAGAAUAUGUUUCUACCUCAUUUACUUUGCGUGUUGGGGCAUCCUCCCUCGUACCAAACUGUUGCGAAUUUUCCGCCAUUCCUUCAACUAGCUCCCACGCUUCUCGAGAAGUCUUGUUCACCAAUGCCCUUCUACUUGCAGCAUCAAUUAUACUCCUGUCUCUAAAACGCAGCCCCUCGCAAAAAUAUUGGAUGAGCAAUUGCUCACUUAUUUGGUGUUGAGGGAACUUGAUGCAUAACUUCUUGAAUCGCUCCCAAUAAUCAUAAAGCGACUCUCCUGGAUGCUACUUGAUACCGUAUAUCUCCUUCCUUAGACUUGCAGCUCGAGAUGCAAGAAAAUAUUUGUCCAAGAACUUUUUCUUCAGCUGAUCCCACGUGGUGAUGCUACCUGGUGGUAGAUAGCACAGCCAGUCUUUUGCGGAGUCCUUCAAGGAGAAGGGAAAUGCCCUCAUUUUUAUCUAUUUUUCUGUAAUUCUCGGAGGUUUUAUGCUGUUGCAAACGACAUCAAACUCUUGCAAGUGCUUAUACGGUUCCUCACCUGGUAAACCAUAGAAAGAUGGCAAGAGAUGAAUUAGACCAGAUUUUAACUCAAAUGAAGUGUUAUCAUUUAAAAAUAGAAAAGUAACUGAGAUGCAGCACUGGAAUGUUCUUCUCGAAAUUGUCUGGUCUCUUUCUUUGUUCUACGCGUAGUCUUCUCUACCUUAGGAUCAAAAAUUAAUUUACCUGUACGAGAAGAACGAGGCAUACACUAGAAAAACACUAGAAAAUUAGAACAAAAAUGAACAUAAAAAGAAACAAAUAAACCAACGUCAGUCCCCAGCAACGGCGCUAAAAAUUGACAAGUUGUCGAUGCCUGUGCAAUAAUAAAAAUAAACCUAGUUACCAAUUAAAAUAAUCAGAGCCUAAUUCUGAGUACUAGAGCAGGGACUAUAGGUGUGCAAUGGGUUACUUGAUUCACCCUAUUCCUGAAGUUUGCUUAACCCGAUAUACCAGAAUGAGAUUGCUUAUUCAAAAGGAAUUAUUGAUUUGUAAACAGGGCAAGUAGGGUCGUAUCAUCAGGGAUUGAAAAAAUUUGUUUCUUUUCAAAUCCACAGUAACAAGGGGAUGUUUUUGUAUAAAUGAUAACAAUCUAAGGAGUGCAAAUAGAAAUAAAUAGAUAACUAGAAAUUAAAUGACAAUUCACUAAAAUUAGAGUAAUAAUAAUUAAAGGUCUAGCUAAGAAAUAACUUCAGCAAUGGUUCACCUAAUUGAUCAUCGACGCAAAGGCAAUUCCAAUUAUUUACUAAUAAAUAGGUUAUAACUGCAAAACAAGCAAUGACAGUCAACCCCUCCUUACUGUCGGUCGGUGAUUAAGGUACGCCCAAUCACUGCUCUAGUUGAGAAAUAAUUUUAGGGACGCUCGUAAGAUUUAAUUUUCCAAUUGCCUUACGUAUUAGAGGAGCCAUAAUCUAACCAAAUAACGCUACCAGGAUUAUUUUAAAUUAACCCGUGUAUUCCCUUGAUACAAAUUCAAUCAUGUCAGUUGUCACUAUUUCAAGGUAAUGAAACAAUUACGGAUUUAAUAUCCUAAUUGACAAUAGGUUACUAAAUCAAUUCACUAUUUCGAUCCAAGAUAAUCAAUCAAUUUAACAACUAAUAGCACUGCAAUCGGAGAAUAUGUAAAUACCAAUAAAUAAGAGGAAAAGAUAAAAUUAAAUCGAUCUCACAAUUUUUAAACAAAUCAAAGUAUCCGUUGUUUCUUGACUAGAAAAGAAAAUUUAGUUCAUUCCUAAUGUGAAAGACCCACGUGAGAAUUCAAAAAUAAUAUUCACGGAUAUUGUCUUGAUUCAAUAGAUUCAAUUGCGUUGGAAUAAGGAUAAAAAGCCAAACUAUAGAGAGUGAUUCAAUGUUUUGUUUCGUUUGCAUUUUUUCUACACAUAUGGAAGAAGAAAAACAACUAAAGGACGAAAAAAAAAAGUCAAAGAAAGGCACCCAAAGUAGUGCUUGGUCUCUACCAUCCUAUUUCCUAUCUAAUUACUACUUCCCUUCUGCGGCUGCCUAGAGGAAGAAAGAGAAAGCAGACUUCAGGUCUUGUUCCAUCUCCUCCCUUUUCGGCAAUUCCCCAAAAGUAGAAAAGUUCCUCCGUUUACCAAAAUGCCCCUGGAAUGAGGACUGCUACUUGAACUCAUUUUCUUGAUAACUGUCAAAUUAGCACUUGUUAUGGUAUUUGCGUCUACUUCCUGUAAUAAAUGUAAAUUGCCAAAAGUGAGUAAACUGAUAAUUAAUUUACAUCAGGUCAGGUAAUAGGAAAAAUUAAUUAUAAAAUAAAUGAUAAAAUUGCAACCUAUCACUUAGAAUAACCAGAAAUAAAACAAAACAAGAAAUGAAAGAAAUAAGAGGGUAGCAUAGACAUUUUGGAUUUUUCUGUUAAUUUGGAUGAUUUCCACCUACGGUCUAAUUUAAUCCAAAACACAAAUGGAUUAUGUGGAGAUUUUUAAACAAUGAGGGAGUAUCGUGACCGAAUCCCAAACCACAAAGGGGAUUUACUAUAUUUUACUCUUAAAUUUUGGUUUCAUCUCAUAGCAUACAAGAGUACUAUUUCACUGUCUGUCGACCAGGGAGGAGGGUUGGGUUGGGUGGUACGGGGGAGGGAGUCUAAGUAAGAGGUCUCAGGUUCGAAUCCUCCUGUUUAUACUAAAAAAAAAAAUUUACUAUCUGUCGACAAAGAUUUUCUAUGGUUGAUGUACCAUAGGAAAAAUCUGCCUAUACAAUUAUUUGGAAAAAUUAUCCAUCCAAACAUAGUCACGAUAGCAUUUUUUCAAAAACACUAGAUGCAAAAUUGUCCCCUUAAACGUGGAAAUUCAUGAUCUUUCCUCGACUAGUCUACUUGUCAAUUUUUGAAAAAAGAAUACUCACGCCAAAAACACGGCCUCUUCAUCUGCAGAAUUCUAAAAAGUUACGUAAACUCUAUAAACAAGUUGAUAGGUACAAUCGUACCCAAGAUCAAGUACAGAUAGUUGUACAUUCACUGCUGCAAUAACUAAUCUGAUGACUUACAAACACAUCAUGGUCAAUCGUUGAAUGGUAAUGAGUCUUUUGUUAUGCAUUAGUAUUAGUGUGUACACUCUAAUAGAUUGAUACUUAUACUCUUUAAAUUAUCAUAAUAAUACCCUUAAUUAACUUUAACCCUUAAAAAGAAUACGUGUUAAUACACGAGAGUGUGUAACCUGAAUUGUUACUUAUACAUUAGUGUGUAAUAGAACGGCAAGCAUUAUGGUGGUCAUUGAGCAACUUAUAGGAGAAAUAGUCCUAUAAGCUGUUCAAUGACCAAUCACAACUUGCUAAUUGGAUGACUAAUAUAGCUCUAGCUGUAAUGUUUUAAUUAAAUUCCACACUAACGUUGGGAUGACUUUUUAAUCAAAAAAAAAAAAGCCUUAGUUCAAGCUUUUCCCCUUAUUGUGCAUUUUUUAAAACAUUUGAUAGGCACUGCAAAUCUGUCAUUUUGGACAUUUUAUUAUUAACUAACAAUGAAAGCCGUGGACAUCAACCCAUAUCCAACAAAAUAUUAAAUUAAUAUUAGAAAAAUUAUUAAGUAAUUGGAAAAAAAAAAGAAGAGGCUAAUUUUCAUUGAAACCCACCGACAAACUAUCCGUGUCCAUAGCUUUUGAAUAGUGCAUUCAACGUUUAAUUGUAUGGUCCAGUUCAUUGCCGAUUACAUGGAGUAAAGAUUGUGCUCUUUCCUUUUUCACCCCUUUUGGAAUCGAUACUGUGGAGAAUUGGGUUUUUCCCUCCUUUUUUUCUUUUCUUUCCUUCUGUGCUUUGCAAAACAUACGUAAAAAUAUGAAAUCCGAAGCAUUCUUUAAUUGGGAUUAAGUAUUGUUGUUGAAAUUAAAAAGAAGAAAGAAAGAACAACAAAAAUCCCAAUCUGGGUUGAUUGUUGAGCUCUAGAUUGGCUGCAUCGUGCUUCCAUAGAAGUUCUCUUAGUGUGAUACGCUGCUUUCAAUCAGUUUUAAUAUUUAAGUAGAGUGCAAAAUAACUUUACUAUUUAAUGGGUUAUAAUGCACCAUUUGGUACCUCUCACCCACCUAUGAUUUGAUUUACUACUGGCAUGGUAAUGGACAGAGUUGGGGGAGCAGGAGGAGGGAGAUGGCGGUACCAGUCCGUCAACCACAGCACACCCUCCCUCGGACUUUGCGUGGUAGCGAAGUGGAGGCAGAUCGAGCACACAUGCACUAACGCCUUAAGUAUGUACAAUAUAUGUAUGCCAAAAGCAUAGCCAAGCCUACCAGCGCAUUUCAAUAAUAUAACCCGGAAAUUAAGGGCAUUGAAUUAAGUACGAUGAAUCAUAUUGGUGCACAAUUACAGUUUGAAGCUACCGAUUCGAGUAAAUUUAAGCGUAAGCACAAUCAAUCGCCAGUCAAAUGCUGAAAUAUGCAUAUGCAUGGAUGAAUGUAUGGGUUUCUUAGUUCCAGACCAAAGGCCAACAAUAAGGGAAGGAAGGACAGUUCUCAUUUUUAGCACGGACAAGGAGAUGAAGAAAAGUGUAUGUAGCUUGAGACAGAACAAUGGCAUGUGACCGCUCCUGAGACCACAUAACGUGGGGUGGGGAUGGGACGGCCAAGAAUGAAGAUGCCUGUCGGUCUCUCCGUGCUGCUACCAUAUGAAUCCCCCGUUAACCAAUUCAAGAUAAGCCUGAAGUUCUUUUCAUCCCCAAACCCUGUCCCAUCUGUGUAAAUCCAACAUCAUCAUUUACGACCUGCAACUCAGGUUAAGCAUGUUCUAUUGAGAUUCAGACACCACCCUUCAAAAGAUAUACUACUGUGAAACCAGCAGCUUAAUAUCAUUGUAUAAAAAAAAAAAAAAAAGAAAGAAGAAAAGACAUGAAAAGCAAAUUUUGUGGGGAUAAUUUCAAAAUCUCUCCUAAAGUUUUUUACUAUUUUACUGGCCUCCUUUCAAAUUUUAAAAAUUACACCAGUCUUCCUUGAGAUUAUUUAUCUUGUAACAUUGAGGUCCAAUCAAUAAUUAAAAAAUGAUAUUAUGAGAGAGAAAAAAAAUAAACUUUAACAUCAUAAAUAUUCUUAUCAACAUAUUAAAGUUAGUUACUGAAAUUUUUAUGGUGUUAAACUUCACUCUUUGUAAUAUUUUAGUUACAGAUUUUUUGAUUACUUGUUGUUGAUUUUUUUUUUUUUAGUGUAAACAGGAGGACUCGAACCUAAGACCUCUCACUUACACUCCCUCCCCCCGUACCACCCCAACCCAACCCAACCCUCCCCUCGUUGUUGAUCAUGUUUGACAAUGGAUUUGUAAUUGAAAAGAACAAUUUGGAUCUUACAUUGAGUGAAAUAUAUAGAAUGAUAUACUAUUUUUUAUGGCAUAUGUGAUUCAAUCCUUGAUGAUAAAAGCAAAUUCAAGUGUUUUCUUUAAUGUUUGUGCUGAUAUUAGAUUAAUUAAAUAAUUUAGUAGAUGAAGGAAAAUGGUGAAAUCAUAUUAUCUUCUCUUUCCUAAUAUCACUAUUUAAUUAUUGAUUGAACUUAGAUAUUACAAAUAAUAAAUCUCAAGGGAGAUUAGUAUAAUUUUCAAAUUUUGGAGAGAAGCUAAUGAAAUAGUCAAAAACCUUAAGGGAGGUUUACAAAAUUAUCCCAAAUUUGUGGGAAUUAGAAUAAUUGUACUGGACGGCACUGCCGCAACAGAGGGAAAGAGGAGGAGGUGCAGUUAACUUUUUGUUGUUUGAAAUCCUUGGUGAAAUAUUACAGAAAGACAGAUAAAACAGUUAGUACAUAGAUGUAUAUGACAGGGAAAAUGGUACGUCUGUUAAUCACAUUUGAAACACUUUCAUUGGUGAAUGACGAAAACUAUCAGGCUUGCCCAAUAGUUGAUCAUUGACCAAGACAAAUCUUGCCAUGCUAGAGGUACCAUCUUUUCGUACCUCUUUAGUGCACAGGACAUUCCUUUGUUUCAUCUAGCUAAUAAUCUACCAACUCAUUUCUUUGCAAAUGCACCUUUUAUGGUCACGUCUACGAAAGCUUUACAGGAUCUUUACCCAAAAAAUCAAUUCACCGACUCGCAUUUGAUGUCAAAAUUUCUUUACUUUACUCCAAGAUUGACUGUUAAUAAUAAUGCCACUUUGAAUUAUCACACCAUCCUUCUUGAUAGGAUUUGUGCUAGAGGUAGGGAGGGAGUCGCUGCAGCCGGUCUUCUCUUCAUAGACAGUACAAUAUUGCGAAAUCGAUCGCAUUCACGCAAUAUUAUAUUUCCAAGUCGUUGCAUGGGUAAGCUGCCAAAAAGUACGAACACAUGUUAUUAUAUAGCUUAAGAUUCAAAACUUUCGAGCAUAACCCUCCACCUAACACAAUUGAAUAAUGGAUAUUCACGAUUGUCAAAUCUGUCAAAGUACAGUUUGAGGACAACCCAUUCCAACCUGCAAAAGGUUUUUUUACUUUUCUAAAGUUGUUGAGAGCUGUUAAAAGAUUUACCAUGCUUACAUCUUCCGAGCCUUGGGAGUUAAAAAUGAAGGCACUGAGUGCUAUAAAAAGGGAAUAGAGGCUGCCUAGAAGCAUACCAGCCUAAAACAAGGAUUUGUAGUUAUGAUGGGAAGCAAAGCAAAAGCAAUGGGGUCUGGGCUGACUCCUCUUCUUGCCACUGUUUUAGUGGUGUUUGUUGCUCUUGGCUUGCCCUCAGAAACUGCAGCUGAUGAUCACUACAAGUAUUCAUCUCCUCCUCCUCCUUACACUAUCCCUCACCACCACCUCCAGUGCAUAUACCUCCACCUCAUCCUGUUUACAAGUACAAAUCUCCACCACCCCCACCACCACACCCAGUUUACAAGUAUAAGUCACCACCACCACCUCCUCAUCCGGUACCACACCCAGUUCCUCAUCCGGUGCCACACCCAGUUCCUCAUCCGGUGCCACACCCAGUUUACAAGUAUAAGUCACCACCACCACCUCCUCAUCCGGUACCACACCCAGUUCCUCAUCCGGUACCCACACCCAGUUUACAAGUAUAAGUCACACCACCACCUCCUCAUCCGGUACCACACCCAGUUUACAAGUAUAAGUCACCACCACCACCUCCUCAUCCGGUAUACAAGUAUAAGUCUCUCCGCCACCAACACCCAGUUUACAAGUAUAAGUCACCACCACCACCUCCUCAUCCGGUGCCACACCCAGUUUACCACUACAAGUCACCACCACCACCUCCUCAUCCGGUACCACACCAGUUUACCAUACAAGUCACCACCAAUCCUCACCCAGUUUACAAAUACGAGUCUCCACCACCUCCAGUUUAUAAGUACAAGUCACCACCACCUCCUCCACCAGUUUACAAGUAUAAAUCUCCUCCACCACCACCACCAGUUUACCACUACAAGUCUCCACCACCUCCUCCCCCAGUUUACAAAUACAAGUCUCCACCACCUCCUCACCACUACUAAGCAAUUGCUUCUGAGGUAAUAACACUUGUUCAAUAUACCCACUUCUGCAUGAUAAAGCAUAUCUCUAUCAACACAAACUGUCAUGUCUAUCAUGCUAAGUGCCUUCACUUCAUCCACCAAAAUGACUGCUAGAAAAUUUUUUUUAUGUUACCAAAGAAAGGCAUCAUUUUUUCCCUCUGUUAUCAAGAACUUGUACAGUAUAUAGAUUAAAGAGUUUUUAUUUUAACUAGCUUAUCAACUUAGAAAUGCAUAUAGCUGAUAACCAGCUGAAUAUUUGCAGGCAAAGGAGAAGGAAACCAUGUUUGAGACCUUCUUGAAGAUGUAGAAGCAUAAGAAUAAAAGCCCAAUGUGAAGAUGAUGAUUUCAAGUUUUUCUACGUUACCAUUUCUUUAUCUAAAUUGGUUGUAGCGCCCAAGUUCCUUUGUUUAUGGGAUUUGUAUCGUUUUACGUACCAUGCAGUACAUGUCAUGUUUGUAAGGUUUUCUAUCCUGCCGGCAAACCGCAGGUUCCAUGUGAUAAAUGAAUACUAUUUAUGUUACGACA
rnacentral:lncRNA from 1 species